CAUUUCUGUGCUAAAUAAAUGGGACAAAAUGACGUGAACCUUGAAGAGGGACAAGUGUAGUCUCUUGAUGCGAAAUGUGUUGACUGUCACCUUGCAAAACCCAGAUUACCAUAACAGAUGCAAAAUCUGAUCGGUGAAGAUAAGAAAAUGGAGACCAUGGGAAAUCUUCUAAUCCUGUUUACAGCUUCUUUAUGCCUCUACCUUUUCGUUGCUUUACUCAAUGUUUUCUACAAGUAUUGGUGGAUACCUCAGCGGGUACAGUUCAUCAUGAAUUCACAAGGAAUCAGAGGACCUCCUUAUGAAUUUAUCCAUGGAAACAACAAAGAAAUUGCCCAAAUGUUCAUGGAAGCAUCUACGAAACCUAUGGCCUUGACACACGAUAUAUUUCCCAGAGUCGUGCCUCAUGUUUACUCCUGGAUCAACAAAUACGGUGAGAAUAUGUUUUUUUAUUUUUAUUUUUUGGGUAGUAUUUUCUGAUUAACCUCCACUUUCCAUGAAGAGAAAUCAUUUUUCUUUCAGGGAAGACUUAUCUUAGUUGGAAUGGAAUUCGAGCUCGACUGCUAAUUACAGACCCAGAACUGGUCAAAGAGGUCCUUAAAAACAGUGAAAAAGCUUUUCGAAAGACAAAGGCUUCAUAUUUCUUCGACAAGCUAAUAGGCGACGGGCUUGCUUCAACCGAACGUGAGAAAUGGGCAAGGCUAAGGAAACUGGCCAAUUAUGCCUUUCAUGGGGAGAGCUUAAAAGUAAAUCAUCUCUACCUUCUAAUCUAAUUAUUGUAGUGGGACAUUUACAAACUUGAUACUUUUUUGCAGACUAUGACUCCAGCUGUAGUUGCUAGCGUUGAAACCAUGCUUGAGAAAUGGAAAAGUAAGGAGGGCAAAGAGAUAGAAGUGUUCCAAGAGUUCAGAUUAUUGACUUCAGAAGUGAUAUCCAGAACCGCCUUUGGUAGCAGUUACUUGGAAGGGGAGAAGAUUUUUGACAUGUUACGAAGUUGUCAGUAAUUACAGGCAGAAAUAUUUUUAAAGCAAAGAUUCCCAUCAUCAGGUAACUUCAUCAAAUCUUUACUUUGUUAAUCAACAUACUGCAGCUGCCAAUGGGUUGAUUUAAUCUGGUUGUCCUUUUCAGCAAGUUUUGGAAAUCUGCUGAUGAAAUUGAAUCAGAAAGAAUUGCCAAAAUGAUACAUGAUUCUGUGAUGAGCAUUGUUGAAAAAAGGGAAAAGAGGGUAGUGACCGGAGAAGCUGAUAAUUUCGGCUGUGAUUUUCUGGGAUAACUUGUUAAUGCUUAUCAUGAGGCGGACGAGAAAAACAGACUUUCGAUACAAGAUUUAGUAGAUGAGUGUAAAACUUUUUAUUUUGCUGGGCAAGAAACAGUCAAUUCCUUGCUUGCAUGGGCAACCCUGCUUUUAGCAAUACACACCGAUUGGCAAGACAGAGCAAGAGCAGAGGUGAUUGAGGUCUUUGGUAAUCAAAACCCAAAUUUUGAAGGGAUGGCCAAAUUAAAAACGGUAAGCAAACUAUACAAAUUCAAAAGCUUGAAACUAACAGUGACCAUUUAUAUUGCCUUUUGGAUUUCUUUUUCUCCAACAGAUUACCAUGAUUAUCAAUGAAACUUUACGGCUCUAUCCUCCUAUAAGUGGCGUGAUAAGAGAAGUAGGAAGAGAAGUCCAAUUAGGAAAACUUGUCCUGCAUACACAUUCAGAGGUCGACAUGCGAAUCAUAGCACUUCACCAUGAUCCUGACUUAUGGGGAGAUGAUGUUAAUCUUUUCAAGCCAGAGAGGUUUGCUGAAGGGAUAGCGAAAGCUACUAAGUACAAUGCAGCUGCAUUUAUGCCUUUUGGAUUGGGACCUCGAUCUUGCAUUGGCAUGAGCUUUGCAAUCACUGAAGCGAAAACUGCACUUUCCAUGAUUCUACAACGCUACACUGUCACCGUCUCCCCUACCUAUGUUCACGCACCUGCACCACGUCUUACACUCAAGCCACAACAUGAGAUGCAGUUGUUGUUUCAUUCACUACAUUAUGAUGCGUAAAAUUCUAGGUUGUUGGUCUCCAAUAUAGUAAUAUAUAAUAAAAUGUGGAUGAUACUGUAUUUUUCAACCAUAGAUGAUAUAUGGUUUGGGGAUUGGCAUAUAUAAUAACAAUAAAUAAAAGAAGAAUAUCAUAUUAUAAAAUUAAAAGAAAGGAUUAGCACGUGAAUGUAAUAUUUUUUCCACCAACAGUGAAUAUAGUUGCGGAUUCAAUGGCAACAUUAGGAAGAAAUGUUCCUAUUGGUUUAAAAAUUUAUAAUGUUCCCUCCAAGAUUAUCGGGAUGGAGAUUUUACAAGAUAGUAUUGGUGUUAAAUAUAAUUCCUAUUAUGAUUAAAUGUAUUUAGCUUCUUUGUUUAUCAAAAAGAAUUUAAAAAAAAAAAGAGACGAGUUUGAGUUGAGUUAAGUCUAGAUGACUGGAGCCUUAGCUUGACUUAUAAUAUAAGUAGACCCAAUUUUUUUUUGUUUAAACUCUUUUAAAUAUUAAAUCGACUUUUGAAUUUAAAUGGGUAAGCUGAAAUAUUACAAUAAUUUUUAUAUAUGCUAAAGUAAAUAUUAAAAAAUUAUUAUAUGGUUUACUCGCAAAAGCACAUUGCGUGAUUUACGAUAACGAACUUUUCCAAUAUUAGAUUAUUGCCAAACAUGUAAAUAAGUUCGAAAACAGGAAAAAAUAUGGGGAAAAUAAAAUAAAAUAGGUAAAAACCAGUUGUUAGUCCUUAUACUUGAACGAAGUUUAAGAUUUAGUCCCUAAUUUAAUAUUUAAUAAUAAAUUUAAAAUUUAAAUCAUCUCAAUUUAUUCAAUUUAAAAAUCCUAGUUUAGUUGUUGUCAUAGUUUCUUUUUUUUUGUCUUUCAAAAUUUGCCAUCAAUACAUCCAUGCAAAUCAUACUAACUUCUAAAGUAAUAUAUUAUGGUAUUAGAGUGGAUUUGGACGAGCAGUGCGUUUAUUUGCGGUUAUUGUAAAAAUAGUGAUGAUAAUAAAAUUAGAUACUAUAGUGUGAGACAAAAAGUAAGCUAAACGCACUGCAUCGUACCCCAUCAUCCAUUAAAAUUUUUUUAAACAAUUUUUCUAAUAUUAAAUUUGACACCUUAAUUCAAGUCCAUAUAAAUGAUUUUUUUUAAAAAUUAUCUCUCAUGUUUCUAUUAUAGAACAAUAAUGGCCAAAUAUGUUUUCAUUAUUGAAAAUAAAAUUUUAUUUCUAUUUGCCAAACAUAUUUUUAAUUUUUAAAAAUAAAAAAUGAAAAUUAUUUUCUAAAAAUGAAAAAUAGAAAAUAUUUUCAAAAGUCAAAAGGACCCUUAGUUUUUACUUUUUUAAGUAUAAAAAACGAAAAUCUUAAAUUUUACGGAAAUACAAGGACCAACUGUGUAUUUUGACCAAUCAAAAUUUUUUUUUAAAAAAAAGGAGAGUAAACCAUGAAGAAAUGUGAAUGACUUUUGAGAAAAUGUCAAAAUAAACCUCUAAAUUUCCUUUGUUUUUCAGUUUCUAAAAAUUUUUGCCUACCAACGUUUUGAAAAGGUUAUUAAUAUGGCAGUUUCACUCAUUGUUUCCCUAUAAAUUCCUGUCUGCUCAUCCUCCAAUUGCAUCAAACAAACACCCAAGUUUUCAUACACUUUCUUUUUGGUCUUUAAAACUUGACUGUUUUUCCAAAAAUGGGUUCCACAUUUGCUCAUCAAGGACUUGUUUUGGUGCUUGUUGCUGCUUCCAUGGUGGGAGUAAGCUUAGCAAACAAGGAAUGGAGGAGCUUGGGUUCCCAUCCUCAUCCUCAUCAUCCCCACAACCAUACCAAUGGCCACAAAAGAAUCAUAGUUGGGGGAUCCCAAAACUGGCAUUUUGGUGUCAACUACACUGAUUGGUCACGCAAAAAUGGUCCCUUCUACAUCAAUGAUACUCUAGGUAACUAAGACGAUCCCAAACUUUCUUAUUUCUCAAGUGUUUUUAGUUCAAUUUUGAUAUCGUUCCCUCUGCUAUACACAAAUUUUAUCUUUAGUCUUUAUAUUUUAAUUUUACAUAAUUUGGUCAUCUAUUUCUAUAAUAUUAGUAGAUAGUUCAAACAGUAUUCUUAACUAAUUCAAAUAAGAUGCUAACAUGGACUAUAAAAUACAGGGACUUUUCUAAAUUUGAGCAUAGCCAGGACCAAAAUCAUAAUUUGACCUUUUUCUAAAUUUUUGACAAUUUCUUUUGUAGUGUUGGGAGGGAUAUAUAUAUAUAUUUUAAAAUAACAUAUACUAUUUAAACUAAUUAAUGAUAUUAUAAAAAUAGAUGGAUCAAAUUCUAAAUUUGAGGGACCAAAACUAUAAUUUAACCCCUUUUUUCUUUACUAGCAUUGCUCAAUGUUUGUAAUUUUUGAGCAGUAUUCAAAUAUGAUCCACGAAGCAACACCACAUUUCCUCACAGCGUAUACUUGCUACCCCACUUAAAGAGCUUCCAGCUUCCUCAACCGCGACUUAAGAAAAGCUAAGAUGAUUGCCAACCCAACUCAGGGAAGUGGUAAUGGGUUCGAGUUCAUAUUGAAAAAGUGGAAGCCCUACUAUUUUGCUUGCGGUGAACGUAAUGGCUUCCAUUGCAAGGUUGGCCUCAUGAAAUUUGCCGUAGUAUCGCGGCUCUGUCGCUGCCAUUGAUGGAUCACUUAAGCCUUCAGGGAAGAUGCAGUGCCUGUGUUUUCUUUCAUUUCCAUUUUUGUUCACGACAACGUGUUGAAUGUUGAGCCUCUUUUUUUUUAAUAUUGUCCAAUAAGUUAGAGGUUUGAGACCUUAGGGUUAAAUUCUGGCCAUGUUAUUUUGUCUUUUUGCAGUAAUUUGUGAUUUCUUUUUUUACAAAGGAAUACCAUGUUUUGUGUUUUGUUAACAUCUUGUUUUGGUUUCAAGUUAUUUCGUUUGGGAUGUUUCAUUUGUGUCUUGCAACAUUCUUGACUUCACCCCAUGUAUGAGCUAACAUUGAUCUAAACGCUUGGAAUUGGGUCUAAUCGAAAAUGUCAAGACCAUCGACACUUAUUUUGAGCAAUGGUUAGAGCUUUCAUCAAGUUUGUAGAUAAUACAGAUUCAAACUCUUCCUCCUUUAUUAUUGUAUAGAUAAAAAAUAUUUAAAAUGACUCGCAAAUUUUUGAAGAUUGUGAGUUUGAGUGGAUUAAGGUAUUUAAUGUCCUCGGAUGAGUAUAAAUAUAAAUAAUUUAAGAUUUGAGGUUAAGAGUAAAUGAUAAAAUGAGUUUAUAUUGAGAAGUUAGUUCAACUACUCUAAUUUUUUAAAAUUUGAUUUGUUGUACUUUACGAGAAUUGAAUAAUUAGUCCAAUUGGAUGACAUUAUUAAACCUUGCCACUAAUGUGACAUAGAAAUCAACAAUUCAAUAAUUUAUAUAUAAAAAAUUAGCAAAAAUAAACAAUUCAACAAAAAUCAACUGUUUAAAUUCAUAUAUUUAUCAUCAAUCCAAUUAAUUUUUAUAAAGUGAAAAGUACAAAUAUUGAGAAAUUAAAGUCAAUACUAAAAUCCAAUGAGAGUCAAAAUUAAGAUAUUUCAAAAAAGAAAGUAGAUUAUAAAAUAUAUUGGUAUUUGUCUAAUAACAAAGUUAUACUAUAAUCAAAAGUACUUGUUUUUUGGGUCGAAUAUUAUAAUCAAAAAGUACUUAAACCAUGAGGUAAAGAAUGUUGAGAUUCACCUAACUUCUUUAAUUAAACCAUGAGGUAAAGAAUGUUGAGAUUCACCUAACUUCUUUAAUUCCCACCUUAAAGCCAAAAGCCAUUCAAUAAAAUAAAUAAAUAAAAAUCAACUGGAUUGACGGAUGAAAUUGAUUGAAUGAGAAAUUUUCAAGAUUAUAUCAAUUUAAUCAGAAGUAAUAUAAUAUACGGUUAUCUUUAUCUCUCGGUCUAAAUAAUAUUAUAUUUAGAUUGUAAAAUAGUUGAGGAUACUUGUGGUUAUAUAUCCCAAAAAAUUUAUCUUUGGUAAUAAUAUUGUUUAGCACAUUAUUGAAUAUGUUAUAAUAUUCUAUUAUUUGAUUUAUUUCGUUAGGAUCUAAGAUUACAUUUGGUUCAUUUGGUUGGAAUGUAACAAUCGUUCUUGUACUAUACUUUGUAUUGCAUUUUGGUCUCUCUAUUGGAAAAAUGAGUAAAUUGGUUCCUAUAUGUUAGAUGGAGAAAAAUAGUCCAUCCGUUAAAAUUGUGCUGUCAAAUGCUUAUUUUGGUGUUUUCGUAUAAGAUAUAAUAACAAAUUUAACUCUUAAUAUUUACAUCUUUAUACAAUUUGCCCCUACUCUUUUUAUUUGAAGCAAAUUGUCCUUCAAUCUUUCAUUUAUGAUGUGACUAUAUAUCAAUAAUUGAAGUAUAUAUCAGUUGUAUUUAUGUAUAAUAAACGUGUGCAUACCUUUGACUCGGUUACAUUUUGUAGCAAACCCAUCGUUAAUCAGCUUUAAUUUUAUAGGGUUUGAAUCGUAUUUAUUGAAAAGUAGAAGAAUGAUCAAAAUAGGCCUGGCAUCAUGACGAGCAGGUAGCGCUUGUCGAGACAACGCGAUGUAAAGCCUAGGCAAAUAUGGCAUUGACGUUGUGAUGAGGAGAGUCGGCACGUCACGACAUGCUCUCCUAUUUGGUAACUGUGUUUUAGACUUCAAUCAGAGUUGCUUCUUCUAGCUGGACUCUAAUUAUUUCAGAAAUAUUUUAGUAUGAUUAGAAUUCUAAUCUAAGUCUAUUUGAAUGGACCAUUGUAUCCCUGUUUUGACACGUCAGUUAAUAAGGGCUUUUCUUGAGGGCAGUAAGAUGUAGUCGUAGAUGAGUUUUGCUGCGAAUUUUCAUGGUAACUAUGGAGAAAAUUAUGUUUCCGAGUGAGGGCUUUGUUUUCGGGGUCUGGGUAAUGUACGUUUAGUAUAUUUAAGAUUAUUCUCUCCAUAUUGUACUUUCAUUUGUUUACUCAGUUAAUGAAAAGCCAAAGCCUCCUUUACCCGAGAUUUUUAUCUACUUCGGAGGAGUUUUUCACGUAAAAUAUUUGUGUGAUCAUUAUUCUCUAUUUUACUUAUUCAUUUAUACAGGUCAAUCUCCAACAAAUUUCUCUGUGUAAAUCUAAAUUCAAGCUUUAUAAGCUUAGUCAUCAAUUUCAUGAAACUCAUUGAUGAAAAAGAAAACACAAGAACAACGUUGAAUUUUAGUUCACAUUUUUCAUUUUUUUUUAAAUUUUAUUAUUUUGUGAUUACUUAGGUAUGUAUAAUUCGAUCUUAAAUUAUUUUUAAAAUUUUUUUAGAUGCAAGUUACUUAAGCUUUUAUUUGGUUACCAAUUAAAAUUUAAACAAAAAAUAUUACCGUAAGUUUUAUUUGGACAAAGUGAUAAAGUAACGUGGGUAAAAAUAAUUAUGUACUAUAUUUAAUUAAAAUUGACUUGAAAAUUAAAUAAUACUUUAGUUGAAAUGGUUAAAGUUGAAAGAAAAAUGUUAUGAUAUCUGGGGAGCUUGAUAGCAUAACCUUUUGUAAAAUUGAAGUUUAAGUUACAUUUCAAUUAGAGACUGUAUAAUCCCCGUCAAUUGGGACCUUAAGUUGCAAUGUGAUCCAGUUUUUCGGGUGAUGACUCCAUGCUUACACGCCAGAUGAAAUUCGUAGGUCAUCCAAAUCUACAACACCACCGUAGAUUCAAACAUACCUUAAAACUGUAACAAUGUCUAUCUUAAACACAGGAAAAAAUAAAUCUACAAACUUCUAAUUUCAAACCGUAAGAAAAAAAAUUUAGCAAAGUGAAAACACAUCUCGUUUUUAUGAAAGAAAAGAAAACGCAUUCUACAAGGCGCGUUUUCUUUACCAGAUAAAUACUGUAAAUAGGAAAUUUUAAUAAAAAAAAUCUAGUUUCUCCAUUGAUAAUUUUUUUCAACAUAUUUAGAUAAUUUUGCCCUAUUAGUUGUCUUAUGAAAUCAAGCUAUUCUUCCCAAAUGGAUUUGGAAAUAUGGGCAAUUUUAUUAAUCUAACUCAAAAAAUUUUGAUAUUUACAAAAAUGACUCGGGUUUAAAAACAAUCACUAAAAUGACCUGAAAUGAACAGUAGAAUGGGGUUUUGGAAACUCAAUGGCCGGCACUACCUAGUGUUUUGGCCCGAUGAUUGCCUGAUGAUUGUGUUAGGCUUUAAAAAAUUCUUUUUUUUUUACUUUGGGAACCCAAUGGCCGACACUAGCGUUUUUUUUUUUAAAAUCGUAUCAUAUUGGUAUACAAAAAUAUCAGUAUUUAAAAAAAAUUAGGUGCAUGCCAUGUAAUGACUGGCAUCAGAGAUGUAAAAAUAAAAUAAAAUUUAGGUGUUGGCCAGUAGAUGGCCGGCACCAGGUACCUUUUUCGUGUCCCAAUGCAAUUUUUUUUUACUUUGGUACACUGAUGGCCGACACCAGAUGUAAAAAAAAAAUUUGAGUGCUAGCCAGAGAUGUAUUUUUUUUUGUGUGUGUUGGCCAAUAGAUGGCCGGCACUAGGUACUUUUUUCGAUCCCCAAUGCAAAUUUUUUUAACUUUGGGACAAUGAUGACAAGCACCAAUGACAUUUAAAAAAAUAAAUUGGUGCUGGGUAGUUGAUGGCUGACACCAAAUUUAUCAUAUGUAUAUAGGUGUUUUUACUUCUAUUUGAGCUUUUUUUUUUACUUUUUCUUUGCUUUAUUAGUUGAAAAUAUAGAUUAAAAAUAUUAUUUUUUUCUUUGUUGAGAAGGAAGCAAAAAAAAUUUAAGAUGAGUUCCCAAAUUUUGUUUGUUUAUGUUUAUUUUGAUGGAGAAAUGAUAAAUACAACUGAAGAAGGGUGUGUAUUUCAAAGUCGGAGUAAAAUAGGAAUGAGAUUCAACAAGCGUGUUUCGCUAGCGGAUUUAAAACGAAAAAUUAAUACAAAGAUAGCAACCCGUUGCGAAAAGCAAAUGUUGAGACUGUUUUACAAAUUUUCGGUUUCAACUGAUCUACUCAAGUUCUCAAAAAUGGAGCUUCAAGAUGAUGAUGAUCUAGUGACAAUGAUAGCACUUUAUUGCCCCCCUGAGAUAGAAAAUCCCAGCCCGGUUGAGUUUUUCGCCGAGAUAGCUGAACCGGAUCCCAUUUAAGUUGUAAUUCCAGCAAGCCAACACUUUGGAAUUAAUUUUAAUCUUAAUGUCUCCUAGGAAGAUCAGUUGGAUUUUAGACGGUCAAUGGCAACUCCUGAAAAUCCAAACACCGGAGGAUGUUCGUAUAACAUCCCAAACUCGUGUACUCGUCUAGAGAUCCAUCUAGAGGUGUUGGCCACCAUAGAAGAUGGUGAUGAAGGGUCUAAUAAUGAUGAUCAGUCACAUUGUGAUCCCAACGAUGAUUUCAGUGACCCCGAUUUGGAUGACAUCCCUGAAGGCAUAGAUGAAGAAGGGUUGGUAGAGGGUGAAAAUACAAACCCCCACUUGGCUGGGAACACGGGCCCUGGUAUAGUUAUAAGAAAUAAUCCAAGGUCCUUCAUGACCGAUAUGGAUCCUGAUGCAGCUCUUGUAUGCGAGUUCCUGGAAUAUACAAACAUUGUACCGGAUAACCUACUUGGUGGUGAAUUCGGUGAUGAACAAUUUUUUGUAAGAUAACAAUUCGAUAACAAAAAAGACUGUUUACAUGCUAUAAAACAACUUAGCUUAAAGUUAGGUGUGAAUUAUAAAGUAAUGAAGUCGACGUGGUUUUUGUACAUAAGAGAAUGUUGGAAAGCGUCAAGUGGUUGUAACUGGCGUGAUUGAGCCGCGUUAAUGUAGCAGACACAGAUGUGGAUGAUAAGUAAACUAGAAGGUCCACACACAUGCAUGUUUGCUCGUAUGUCGCAAGACCAUAGAAAGUUAGAUGCAAAAACUAUAUACAACUACUUCAUCCCUUUGGUGAAAAAGUCGCCCACCAUCCAGGUGUCGGUACUUAUUGCGGACAUGCAAGCUUGAUUCAAGUAUAAAGUUUCAUACUGAAAUGCAUGGUGGGAAAAGAAAAUGACGAUGUGAGAGUUGUAUGGUGACUGGGAUGUGUCAUAUAACGAGCUUCAAGGGUGGAUAGUCGGGAUGCAGGAGUAUGUGCUUGGGACAGUGACUGAUUUUGAAAAUAUUACUGUAUAAAGGCGCGGACGGAAAGAUUCAAUCAGGGAAAUGAGUUUUUCACCUACUGUUUUAGACGUUCAAGCCGUGUGCUAGGGUCUUCCUUCACUGCAAGUCGAUGGUGCAGAUGGACGGGACAUUGUUGUAUGGAAAAUACACACAAAUACUCCUGAUUGCUUUCACCCUCACUGCAAAUACAAGCAUCCGAAAUGUACUUCCGAUCGCUUUCGCCAUUGUGGAGCGUGAGUGCUUUGGGUCUUGCGAAUUUUUCCUCAAAAAUAUGCUGAAACACAUUGUCAGAGAAGAUAACAUUUACCUUAUAUCAGAUAGAUCAAAAGGAUUACUUGCUGUGAUAAGGCGAUCGGGGGUUCCGUGGAGGUCUGUUUAUCACAUCCAACACAUAGCGACAAACUUCCACAAAGAUUAGAAGAAUAAAGAUUGGAAAAAAGAACUCUUGAACAUGGGUAAAAAGUUUUUGUUUGUAUUUAUUGCAAGAAUUACUUUUCAAAAAUUUCCAGCCUGUAAUUUUUUAAAAUGAUGAUUUCAAAUUAAAUAUGCAGCUCAUGAGUUAGAACAAUGAAGAUUCAGGCAGAGGUUCACGAGGCUUGAAGCUUAGAUGUCAUCUUUACCAAUAAAUCUUCGGACAUAGUUGGGCAGCAUGGAGAACUAGCAAUGGACUCAAAAGUUACGAUGAGGGGUUUCGGUAUGGGCAGAUGACGACCAACCGGUAGAGGCGGUGAACUCUAUAUUGAGGUGCACACGUCAUCUGUCGAUUUAUGUUGUUUUUGAUGACGUCACGAACUAACUAAAAUACGAUAAAGACAAGCGCACCUAUCGAAUGGUAGUAUAGCUACGGUGAGUUAAGAAUAUCGUAUCCACGAGGACUAAAAGUACUAGUAAUUACUAUCUUUUUAUUAUCUAGCCUAUAAAUUGAAGGGUUGUUUUUAAUCUAAAAUUAAACUAAACUAAUUACUAAGCGACAAAGAGCAAAUUGGAAAAAUAAUUGAAGAAAACUUAUGAGAGAGACAAUACCCAGGAAAGAAUCCACCUAGACUUCACUUAUUAUUCUAAAUAUGAAUUAAACGAUUUAUUCAUUUGACUUGAUCUGUAGAAAUCCCUAAAUUAUAUUAAUAUCUCUUUUGAGAAUAAAAAAAAACUGACUCUAAGUUGAUUAAUUAAAGUCUCUUUCUAAUUAAAACCCCUAUCAUCACAUUAACUCGAUCUAUGGAUUUUCCUAUUAGAUUUGACUCUAAUCCGGUAGAUUUAUGUCGUCCUAUUUCUAGGGUUGCAUUCAACUCCACUCAAUUAUGCGAGAUCUACUCUUAAACAGAGACUUUUGCUCCACUGAAUAAGCACAUCAAUCAUGAAUUAAUAUCCUGAAACAUUAAAAACAUGAAAUAAGAACACAUAAUUGAGAUCAAGAAUAAAUAUUUAUCAUGUAAUUCAGAAUAAAUCAAAUAAUAAGAUCCGUCUUAGGUUUCAUCUUCCCUAGGUAUUUAGGGAAUUUAGUUCAUACUGUAUGAGGAAAACAUAUCAAAAAUAGGAAAACAACAAAACAUAAAGAAACCUAAAAACUUCAAGAGAAAUUGAAUAGAAAUCUUCAGUCUUGAAGGAGAUCCUGCUUCUGAGUUGAACGUGUUUGCAUUCUUCGAGUCUUUUCAGCAUUCUACUCUGGAUCUCCCCUUAGGUCCUCUUCUAGUGUGUAUUUAUAAACUUUAGAAUGCUCAGAAACCCCCAAAAUUGGCUUUUUCCGUACGUGUUUUGGAAACAGGGAGCGAUAUUGACACGGGCAGGCACAUGGGCGUGUGGCCAGCCCAUGUGGGAUUGGCUUGGCCGUAUGGAUCUUAAGACAACCUAUUUUGUCCGAUUUUGGCCCGUUUUCCUCUCUUGUUGCUCCCUUAUGCUCACCUAAGUAUAUAAACAUGAAAUUAAAGGAUUAGGAGCAUCAAAUUUACUAAUUUAUGUAAUAAAUCAUCCAAAAACAUGCCAAGCAUAGGAUUAAAACAUGUUACAUUUAUGUUUUAUCAGUUUUCUUGGCAACAUUCUAUAGGUUGGCCACAUUGAUGCCUAGGGUAGGAUUGAAACAAACUAAGUAGAUUGAGGCCGGGCACGUGAACGUUGAGGGCGUCCAAAAGGCCAUGACGGUAAAUAGUCGAAGGGCACAAACAAUGAACGUAGAAUUGUAUUCGCGCGACUUAGAGAAUUUCCAAGUUCAAGAGUACAUCGAUCGUCGUUCGGGUCUUCCACCUAGGUCGUACGCAGUUAAUCUGUGAAACAUGAUAUGCGAGUGCGAGAUCUUUCAGACUUUUCGAUAUCCGUAUGCACAUGUUCAUGCAGCGUGUGCGAGAGCAAAUUUAAAUGUUGAACAAUUCAUAGACGAGAUCUACACGUUGCAACGUACAUUGCGUAUAUGGGGGAACGAAUUUCCUGUAAUGCCCGAUGUCUUAAACUGGGAAGUUCCACCGCCUGCUUUCGAGAUGGUACCUGACCAUAGUCUCCGUAGACAUCCUAAAGGUCGACCACAAUUGGCGAGAAUUUGAAAUUAUAUGGAUGUCAGGGAGACGGGCGAACCCAAAUUGUGCAUUGCGUGUCGAUCAUUCGGACACAAUCGAUCAACAUGCCCACAUCGUGUCUAUGUUUCUGGUCAAUCGUCUCGUAAUGUCGGACUCGAAGAUGACGAAUGAUAAAUUAUUGAGCGCAUGUUCUUGAAAAAACAUUGUAAAAAUAUGAAAAAUUAGAUAAAUGAUAUACUUUAUUCAAAUUAUACACUUGAUUAAAUAUAAUACAAUAUACAUACAUAUUUAAUUUAAAAGACAUUAAAAUGAAAUAAAUAUAACAAUGAGAGAAAAAUUAAUAUGAAAAAAAUGUAAAUUAAAAUGGAAAGAAAGAUAAUUUAAAUGAAAUGAGAAAAAAAAAAUUUAAAUGAAAUGAGAAAAAAAUUAAAUUUAAAUUAAAAUAAAGAUAAUUUAAAUAAAAUGAGGAAAAUAUUAAAUUUAAAUGGAAAAAAAUAAUAUAAAUGAAAUGAGAAAAAAAUUAAAUUAAAAUGAAAUGAGAGAUAAAUUAAAUGAAAUGAGAAAAAAAUUUUAAAUUUAAAUGAAAUGAGAAAAAAAUUAAAUUUAAAUGGAAAAAAUAAUAUAAAUAAAAUGAGAAAAAAAUAAAUUAAAAUGGGAAGAUAGAUAAAUUAAAUGAAAUGAGGAAAAAAAUUAAAUUUAAAUGGAAAAAAUAUAAUUUAAAUGAAAUGGAAAUGAAAAUGAAAUGAAAAUUGAAAUGAAAUGAAAUAGAAUUGAAAUUGAAAUGAAAUGAAAAAAAAAGGUGAUAUGACAUUUUAGGCAGCCCGUGCCAGCCUUAGAAAUGGGCUAGCAUUGGCAGGCACUAGAGGAAUAAAUAAAUAAAAAAGUGAAAUGACAGGUCUGAUAAAUGGCCUGGCAUUGACUGACACCAGCACGAAAAAAAUUUAAAUGAGAAUUGUUUUUUAAAGCGAAAUAGCCUAAAUUUUAUAAUGGAAUGAUAUUUAAAUUGACAAAAAAUUUAAAUAAAAUAUAAAAAAAUUUAAAUAACCCUGAUUAAUAUGAAAAAAUAUAAAUGAAUUGAAAAAAGAUGAACUGAAAUGAGACUACUUGUGAUUAAUAUAAAAAAAAUUGUAUGUUAGAAAAAAAUAAAUUUAAAUGAAAAAAAUUAAUAAAAUAAAAUGUUAAAUGAAAUAUGAAUAUGAAAUGAAAUGUAAUUUAUAAUGAAUAUGAAACGAAAUGAAAUGAAAUGGUGAUUAUGAAAUUGAAUAAAAGUUUAAAUGAAAAUAAAUUAUAAAUUUAAAUGAAAAAAAUGAAAUAAAAAAUUGAAAUGAUAAAUAAAUAAAUUAAAAUGGAAAAUAUAAAUUUAAAUGAAUUGAAAUGUAAAUUAAAUUUGAAAUUCAAAUAUAAAUAAAAAAAUCUCUUGACAUGAUAUGACAUUACAUGGCUAACACACAAUUUUUUUUUUUUUACAUUUUUGGUGCCAAGCAUCAAUGUACUAAAAUAAAAAAAAAUUGUGAGACACGAAAAAAAUAUCUGCUGCAGGUCAUCUACUGACCGGCACCCAAAUAUAUUUUUUUUUACAUCUCCGGUGCUGCCCAUCUACUGGCCAGAACCAAUAUUUUUUUUUACAUCUCUGGUGAUAGCCAUUAUACAUAACCAGUACCCAAUUUUUUUUUAUAUCAAUGGCCAACACUCAAUUUUUUAUUUUUUUUACAUCUUUGGUGCAGACCAUGCCAAAUUUUUUUUUAACAUCUCUGGUGCUGGCCAUCAGUGUCCAAAGUAAAAAAAAUUUGCAUUGAGACACGAAAAAGGUACCUCGUGUCGGCAAUGUACUGCUCAGCACCCAAAUUUUUUUUACGUCUCUAGUGCCCGCCAUUACCCAAUUUUUUUAAAUACUAGUAUUUUUAUAUUCUAGUAUUAUACGAUUUAAAAAAAAUACCCUAGUGUAGGCCAUUGGGUUCCCAAAGUCUAAAAAAUCAAUUUUUUAAAGCCUGACACAAUCAUCAGGCAAUAAUGGGGCCAAAACACUAGGUAGUGUCGACCAUUGGGUUCCCAAAACCCGAUUCUAUUGUUCAUUUCAGGUCAUUUUGGUAAUUAUUUUUAAACCUGGGUCAUUUUUAUAAAUAUUAAAAUUUUUUAGGUUAGAUUGAUAAAAUAGCCGGAAAUAUGCCAUUGAUGCCAACUCUUUCUUACGCAAAAUAGUCAUUUCAAAAUAUGGAGUUAAUCUUUAAGUGGCUACUAAGAUAGAUGAAAAAGUUAAAAUUUUGUUAAUUUUGCUGACGUAAUAUAUAUGUGAAAGUUCAUAUAUAUAUCAAUUUCUUAAAAAUUAUAUAUUUUUAAUUUUUAACUUUUUUAAAUUUUUUUAAAUUAUUUUUUUUAAAACUUUUUAUAUUUAAAAAAUUAAUUGAUCGUUAAUGUAAGAAUCUAUAGUCAACAAAGUUAACAAAUGUCAACUCUUUCAUCCAUUUUUAGGAGAUUUAACAAGUAGUAGAAGUUUAAAGUUAAAAGAAGUGGAAAAUUAAAUGAAGAGCUAAAAUGACUUUUUUGUAAAGUUAGAGAGUUAAAUAAGCUAUUUUAUUUUAUGUAAAAAUAAAAUUAAUUACUAGUUUAUUAAUUAUUAUGUUCAAGACAAAAAUAUUUAUAACUAAUAAAAGAUUAAUUACUAGUAAUUAAUUUAAAUAGUCCUUAAAAAUAUAAAAAUAAUAAAAAUAAAUUUUUUUCAAAUUUUAUUCUUUUUAAAAAAAUAAUAAACUCAAAAAACUAUAUGAGGAAAAUUCUUAAAAGAUAUAUUUGGAUAAUUUAAAUAAGAAAUUUUUAUAUUUUAUUAUUUUUAAAAAGAUUUAUUUUUUCUUAAAUUUUUAAAGACUACUUAAAUUUAAUUUCAAAUAGGGCAUGCUUAAUAUGCAAAUAGACAUUUAAUUGGUGUCCAAAAGGAAUGGCGUCACUCUUAUUUUUCAUUUAGUUUAAGAAUGAUAAUUACUUUAUUGGGUGUCUAAGCAUUUUAUAUAAUUAUCUUUUAAUUCAGUGUCCUCGAUGACGACAACUACACUCAAAAAAAUUAUUAUUUUUUUAAAAUUAGAGGUGGUGACACCAAUAACAAUGAUAUCACCGACAUUUACUAUUCAAAAACGGAUCAUUUACAUACAUAAUUUUCAAAAUAAGUUAUUUUUAUAAAUAAUUAAAAGUUUUGAAUAUUUUUAAUAAAAAAACUUAAGUUUGAUGAAUGGCGUCAGUCAUGAUGUAGGUCUACUUAGUACAAAAACGACGGCUUGAUUUUGUUGGCCUAAAGGAAAGUACCUUUUGGGUUUUGCUUUGCCCAAAUGCUAGAAAAGUCUUUGCAUACAUUUGUUUGAUUGCAAAAGUGAGAAAUAGAUGAAUAUAGUAGGGAAAAAUUCUACCUAUUUUACCAAUUUAACUUAAAAAAAUUGAUAUUUAUAAAAAUAAUCCAGGUUCAAAAAAUUUACUAAAAUAAUUUAAAAUAAAUAGUAAAAUUAGGUUAUGGGAAAUAGAUGGCCGGCAUUACUUUUUUCUAUUAAAAAAUAAUUUUUUGGAUUUUAGACAUUAGAUGGUCGGCACCAUGUAUUUUUUUUAAAUUUUGGGGGCGCUGGUACACUAAUAACCGGCAACCCUUUUAUUUGAUUAAAAAAAUAAUUUUUUUUGAAAUAGUGGUACCGGCCAACAGAAGCCCAAAAUCACUGAACAAAAAAAUUGGUAAUAUUGCAACAUAUCCCCUCCUUGUUUUUAUAUCUUUUUUAUUUCCCAAGUUUAAUUACAUAUUUUAUAUUUUAAAACAAUAUUGAACUACUUAUCAUGUUUUUUAAUUAUUAUUGCAUCAUUCAUAAUAUUUUAUAAAAUAUGUAGUUCAAUAUAUUUUAAAUUAAUUUUUAAAUUUAAUAAUAACGUGAGUGAUGUAAUAAUAAUUAAAAAACAUGAUAAUUAGUUAAAAUAUUGUUUUAAAAUAUAAAAUAUAUAAUUAAACUUAGGAAAUAAAAAAGAUAUGGAAACAAGGAGGGGUUAUGUUGCAAUAUUACUAUUUUUUUUGUUGGAUGAUUUUGGGCUUGUGUUAGCCGGCACCAUCAUCUCCAAAAAAAUUAUUUUUUUAAUCAGAUAAAAAGAGUAUUGGCCAUCAAUGUAUUAGCACUUAAAAAAAAUUUGAAAAAAAAAUACAUAGUGCUGGCCAUUUAGUGCCCAAAACCCAAAAAUUAUUUUUUUAAUAAAAAAAAUGUGAUGCCGACCAUCUAUUUCCCAUAAUCUAAUUUUAUUUUUUAUUUCAAAUCUUUUUAGUAUGUUUUUGAACCUAGGUUAUUUUUAUAAAUAUCAAAUUUUAUCAGGUUAAAUUAAUAAAAAUUCUAGACAUUACUAUAUCACCUAUAAAAUUUAGUUAUCUUUUUAAUUUCUUUGGCGUAUUAUAGAAAAACAAUUUUAGAGUAAAUUUCUAACCACACCGCAAUUAACACGAUUUGAAUCAAAUCAUAUCUUAGUCAAGAGACAAAAUCCUGUUAUUGAGGGCCCUAGUAGCAGGUAUUUAAUAAUAACUAGAAGUCAAAUCCUGCACGCUUCCCAGUUCUGUGUAUUGCAUUGGCUGUAAUUUUCAAAGAAAAAUAUACUAAAUAAAUGAGAGAAAAUGACCUAACCUUGAAGAGGGACAAGUGUAGUCUCUUGAUGCGAAAUGUGUUUGACUGCCAGCUUGCAAAACCCAGAUUAAUAUAACAGAUGCAAAAUCUGAUCAGUGAAGAUAAGAAAAUGGAGACCAUGGGAAAUCUUCUAAUCCUGUUUGCAGCUUCUUUAUGCCUCUACCUCUUCGUUGCUUUGCUCAAUGUUUUCUACAAGUAUUGGUGGAUACCUCAUCGGGUACAGUUCAUCAUGAAUUCACAAGGAAUCAGAGGACCUCCUUAUGAAUUUAUCCAUGGAAACAACAAAGAAAUUGCCCAAAUGUUCAUGGAAGCAUCUAUCAAACCUAUGGCCUUGACACACGAUAUAUUUCCCAGAGUCAUGCCUCAUGUUUACUCCUGGAUCAACAAAUACGGUGAGAAUAUGUUUUUUUUUCUUUUUUGGGUAGUAUUUUCUGAUUAACCUCCACUUUCCAUGAAGAGAAAUCAUUUUUCUUUCAGGGAAGACUUAUCUUAGUUGGAAUGGAAUUCGAGCUCGACUGCUAAUUACAGACCCAGAACUGGUCAAAGAGGUCCUUAAAAACAGUGAAAAAGCUUUUCGAAAGACAAAGGCUUCAUAUUUCUUCGAUAAGCUAAUAGGCGACGGGCUUGCUUCAACCGAACGUGAGAAAUGGGCAAGGCUAAGGAAACUGGCCAAUUAUGCCUUUCAUGGGGAGAGCUUAAAAGUAAAUCAUCUCUACCUUCUAAUCUAAUUAUUGUAGUGGGACAUUUACAAACUUGAUACUUUUUUGCAGACUAUGACUCCAGCUGUAGUUGCUAGCGUUGAAACCAUGCUUGAGAAAUGGAAAAGUAAGGAGGGCAAAGAGAUAGAAGUGUUCCAAGAGUUCAGAUUAUUGACUUCAGAAGUGAUAUCCAGAACCGCCUUUGGUAGCAGUUACUUGGAAGGGGAGAAGAUUUUUGACAUGUUGACGAAGUUGUCAGUAAUUACAGGCAGAAAUAUUUUUAAAGCAAAGAUUCCCAUCAUCAGGUAACUUCAUCAAAUCUUUACUUUGUUAAUCAACAUACUGCAGCUGCCAAUGGGUUGAUUUAAUCUGGUUGUCCUUUUCAGCAAGUUUUGGAAAUCUGCUGAUGAAAUUGAAUCAGAAAGAAUUGCCAAAAUGAUACAUGAUUCUGUGAUGAGCAUUGUUGAAAAAAGGGAAAAGAGGGUAGUGACCGGAGAAGCUGAUAAUUUCGGCUGUGAUUUUCUGGGAUUACUUGUUAAUGCUUAUCAUGAGGCGGACGAGAAAAACAGACUUUCGAUACAAGAUUUAGUAGAUGAGUGUAAAACUUUUUAUUUUGCUGGGCAAGAAACAGUCAAUUCCUUGCUUGCAUGGGCAACCCUGCUUUUAGCAAUACACACCGAUUGGCAAGACAGAGCAAGAACAGAGGUGAUUGAGGUCUUUGGUAAUCAAAACCCAAAUUUUGAAGGGAUGGCCAAAUUAAAAACGGUAAGCAAACUAUACAAAUUCAAAAGCUUGAAACUAACAGUGACCAUUUAUAUUGCCUUUUGGAUUUCUUUUUCUCCAACAGAUUACCAUGAUUAUCAAUGAAACUUUACGGCUCUAUCCUCCUAUAAGUGGCGUGAUAAGAGAAGUAGGAAGAGAAGUCCAAUUAGGAAAACUUGUCCUGCCUACACAUUCAGAGGUCGACAUGCGAAUCAUAGCACUUCACCAUGAUCCUGACUUAUGGGGAGAUGAUGUUAAUCUUUUCAAGCCAGAGAGGUUUGCUGAAGGGAUAGCGAAAGCUACUAAGUACAAUGCAGCUGCAUUUAUGCCUUUUGGAUUGGGACCUCGAUCUUGCGUUGGCAUGAGCUUUGCAAUCACUGAAGCGAAAACUGCACUUUCCAUGAUUCUGCAACGCUACACUUUCACCGUCUCCCCUACUUAUGUUCACGCACCUGCACCACGUCUUACACUCAAGCCACAACAUGGGAUGCAGUUGUUGUUUCAUUCACUACAUUAUGAUGCUUAAAAUUCUAGGUUGUUGGUCCCCAAUAUAGUAAUAUAUAGUAAAAUGUGGAUGAUACUGUACUUUGCAACCAUUCGAUGAUAUAUGGUUUGGGGAUUUCAUGUUUUGGCAACAAGAUUAUAUGCUUUUUUUGUUGUUGUUGAUAUUGUUAAAGGUGAAAAAGGUAUUACAGCAAACAUCGCCACCGCAGGAGCAGGCCCUACAGUCCUGUGAAUAACAUAAUCAACAACAAAAUAGUCCACCAAAGAGAAAUCAAUUCAAAUUACCCCAAAAAGCUGGAACGGCAGCAGCAAAUCCAGUCAGCUCCCUGAACAUCAUACAGAAACAAGAACAUCACAACCCAGUCAUAUACACGCCAAAGCAGUUAGAUUCUUUAUACACAUUCACAACGGAGACAUUAUGGGAUCUCAUCACACAGCUUGGUAUAUGACCUAUCCAGCAUUUGAGAAAUAGUGAAGAUGUCAAGUCCAGGAGCUCCAAACAAUGCCUCAGCCGGUGGAUCCUAUAAUUAGGUGUCUUUCUUCCAUUACUACUGCAGUAGUGAAGUUUUUAUUCCAUUCGGUUCCCUUCUUCCAGAGUUUCUGCUUGAAACACUCACUCCUGGAGCCGGCCAUUACAUUGCUUGUUUAACUUUCAUGGAAGGCUCGAAGCUCAUUAGACCAGAAACUUUGUUCCUUUGCCUAUGUAUCUUUUUGACAUAUUCUCUUAAGGAAGAGCGACUUAUAUCAAGGCUCCAUCUUUUUGAGUCGCAGGGCAAAAGUCCGUUCUCCAUGAAAAACUACCCAUUUCCACUAAAGCACACCAGCUUUCGCCAUCCCAUCCGCGAAAAAACCUGAAAUGAUACACCAGAAACUCCCUUAAGACAGACAGAGCCAAGUCACUUUCUCGCUAAUCCCCAUUGAACCCUCCAAUUAAGCAAAGCCAUUUCAUAUUUAAACCCAAUGGCCACCACAAUUGCCGUACAAAAUUUACAAAUUAAAAUGCAAAAGUAAUACAGAAAAAUACACAGCCCAAGCUCCAAAAUGCAAGGAAGUCCAUUUAAAAUAUCCAUUUAAAAUAUAAGCCAAAUUUAGGUUCGAGUUUAAAAACUUGAAUCUAAUUCAUUUUUAAUUUUGUAAUAUAGUAUAUUCACUGGAAAAUAUGAAUUGUCAAUGUCGAAACAAUUUUUAAAUCGAGUUUUGGAAAAUAGGAAUCGACUUUGAGAAAAACGAAAACGGGAGUCGCCACCAAUCUUUUUAGGUGUGAUUGGAUCACCUUAUAAAAUGUUUUGUUUUAAAACAUUAAUUUUGGUCUACGAAAGUCGAGAAAACGGAUUCGGGAGUCGGUUACGUACGAGGAAGGGUUAAUACCCUCGUAACGCCCAAAAAUUGGUACCUAAUUGAUUAUCAAGUGUCUUUAAUGUCGGAAAUUGAAAAAUUUUAAGAUGUAGUCCUCUUUAAAAAUAUUUUAAUUUUGAAAAUUGGGGUUCACUCGUAUCAAAGUAUUGUCACUAAGUUAACCCUUUUUGGAAAUUCCUAUCUCGAAACAACAAAACGCUAUAUCCAAUAAGUUAGGACAUGUUGCUUUGAAAUUCCAAGAUAGUGGCUUGCAUUUAGAAAACCUUUAAAACACUUAAAAGGGUAUUUGAUUAUUCGAACUCAACGAGAAAAGUGGCAACCCAAUAAGUUAGGGCACUACUUUCUCGAAAUUUCCAAACGCCAAGCAUUACCUUUAUAUUUUUUGAAAACUUUGGAGUCUUGUUUUUUUUAAAUGAUGCAUAAGGAAUCACAUUAUCACUAUAGAAUAGAACAUUACAAUAAUAAGCGAAUAAAACAUGCAUUUUAACGAUACAAUAGCAAUAAUACAAAAAUCAUAUACUAGAUGCAUACGUGCUUAGAAUUACAUAACAUCAUAUAUACAAAGAUACAUAUAACCUAUAUUGAAGAUGGAUAAGCAAAACAUACAAACAUACAUAGCAAUAAUUAAGAAAUGCAUGAUACACAAUUUAAAAGAAAUAUAAUAUCGAUGUACAUGUUCACAAAAUAUAUCAUCAAAUAAUAAGUAUAAAAAUAACAUUUAACACACAUGAUACAUACAUAAAAGAAUUAAUAUAUAUAAAUAUAAUAUAAAGUGAAUAAUUGUUAGCAAAAUAUACAUAUAAUACAAAUAAAAAUAUGAUAUUUAAUAAUAAUUUUAAAAUAGUAUUUAAUAUACAAUAUAUAUAAAAAAUAUUUAUAAAAUAAUAAUAAUUAUAUAUAUAAAAUAUAUUGGUUUAAAAGUAUGUAAAAGAAUUCAUAAUAUAAAAAUAUCAGUUUAAAAUGAAAUAAUACAUAAUAAAUAAAUAAUUAAUAAUUAAAGAUGAGUUAAAAAUAUAAUUUAAUUUACAAAAUUUAAAAUUAUAAAUAAUACAAUGAAUAACAUAAACAUAGAUAAUAUAAUAGAUAAUAUAUGAUAUAAAUAUAAGUAGUAUUUUAAUAAUAAUAUAUGUAUGGUUUUUUUUUCAAAAUAAAUUAAUUAUAUAUAUAAAAUAAAAUAACAAAAUUCAAAAAAAAAUAUAAAAUAAGGAUUAAAAUUGAAUUUUAAUAGAAUUAUAAGGCUAAUUCGCAAAAUAAUAUAAGUUCUGGGCCUGAUUUGCAAGAAUUAAAACGACAAAGGACUCAUUGGGCAAUUUGCCCUAAUCCUAAACGACGGCGUUUCCAGAAUGUAAUAACCGUUGGGACUAAAUUGAAACAAUUAUAAAAUAUUAGGGCCAAAUUAAAAUAGAAAUAAAUGAAAGUACACAAUUUAAUAAAUCGGAAGGAUUGAUUGGGCAAUUUGCCCAUUUAUCAAAAACACACGGGUCCUUCCCGGGUAAUCGGGUCAAUGCGCGGAUCCUAAGGCCUUUAUACGACGUCGUUUUGAGGCUUAUUGACUUAAGCUAAAACGGUGCCGUUCUAUUAAGGCUAUAUAAGCCAAUUUCUGUAUUUUUUUGAAUCAUUUGAAACCUGUUCUAAAAAAAAAAAAGAAAAAAAAACUCUCUGAAAGGUUCCUCGGCCCUCUGAGCUUCGGCCCUAGGCUGAUCUUCUCUAUUCAUCGGACCUCCGCGUUUAGAUGCACGAGACGUCACCGACUCCGCCACACACGACGGUCGAAACCUGAAAAGCUUCGCUUUUCAGGGCGAUUCUCAAGGUAUUUUCUUCCUCUGUCUAUUAAUAUAUUAUAUAUCGAUUGCUUGCGAUAAAAAUGAAAUAAAAAUAGAAAAAGAGUAAUGAGUCACCUUCGUUUCUUGUGAAAUCUUUCUGGUAUAUUAUUCAAGAUGUUUGGUAUAUCGUUGAACGAAUUUCUGUAAGUAUCUUUUCUAUUCCGUAAAAAAAAAGGGGUCCUUUACACUGUUUUCAUUCGGGCUUUUAUAGCCACUACUAUUAUUACAUAAACUGGGAAAGAAAUCUUUUAUUUCUUUCCAUCUUUGUUUUGUUUGCUUGCUGUUGUGGUUCUUUCCUUUCUUUGCAGGUGCUCGCGAAAAAUCCGGUGAUGGAAGGGUUGCUGGCGUUGAUGGAGGCCUGAAGUCUGGUGGUGGUGUCGGUGAGGCGCUGAUUACGGAGGCAGAGCCUUGAGUGGUGGCCUCAAUUGGGGAGCUGAACAAACGCUCCUCGAACCUUCCAGAACCUGUUACGACGCGAGGGGAAAAAAAGUUAGGGUUGGAAACCCUAGCUGAUAAUUUUAGGUUUUGGGCCUCUGCUGUUUGGGUCUAGUUUAGGUCUGGGCUUUGAGUGUAUUUGGGCUAAGGUUGUAAGUGGGUCCACUGGGUAGCUUUAGGUCUGCUGGGUAGUAACCGGGUUAAUGGGUCUGAAAUAUUUGAUUUUGGGCCCACUGUUUGGGCUUUGUAACAUGGACUUGGACUGUUAAAUAAACAAUUGUUUAUUUGUUUAUCCCUUUUUAUUUAGUUUUCAGCCCGGUCAAAUUUGGGCUCUUACAGCUGCCCCUCUUUGCUUAUUGCUGUGUAACAGGAAUCGAGCAAAGAUUUAGAAAGACCAAAUUUGACCAAUCUUAUUAUGGUCUUCAAUCUGCUUUUUGCAAACUCAAGAUUGUCAUGUUGAUAUCUUCGAUCUGCUCUCCGCCGAACAUAGAGACGCCAAAUUUGCUUCUUUGAUUUGUUCUCUGACAAUACAGAGAUAACAAAUCAUCUUAGAUUUGCUUCAGUAUAAACACGUGAAAGCCAAAUCAGCUACGUCUUCGAUUUGUUCCUUGUAAGCACAAAGAUGCCAAAUCAUCUUGGAUCUUGCUUCAGUCUAAUCGUUUGAAGGUCAGAUCUGCUAUGUAUCUGCUCUCUAUUGAAGUAGAGAUGCCAGACUUCGAUUUGUUCUCUGACAAUACAGAGAUGACAAAUCAUCUUAGAUUUGCUUCAUCGUAAACACGUGAAAUCCAAAUCAGCUAUGUCUUCGAUUUGUUCCUUGUAAGCACAAGGAUGCCAAAUCAUCUUGGAUCUUGCUUCAGUCUAAUUGUCUGAAGGUCAGAUCUGCUGUGUAUCUGCUCUCCAUUUAAGUGGAGAUGCCAGACUUCGAUUUGUUCUAUGACAAUACAGAGAUGACAAAUCAUCUUAGAUUUGCUUCAUUGUAAACACGUGAAAGCCAAAUCAGCUAUGUCUUCGAUCUGCUCUCUGCCAAUACAGAGAUGCCAAAUCUGGUAUCUUCGAUCUGCUCUGCCGAAUCUGCUAUCUUCAACUUGUUCCCUAUAAACACAGGGAUACCAUGCUGAAAUCUUCGAUCUACUUCAAUUUAAGCACAGGAAUGUUAAAUCUUGUUUCUUUGGUCUACAUUGUCCCAUAAAAAACAUAACCUGUAGAAUGCGAAUGAGUUUAUGCCUAAUAAUGCUAUGAUCGAAGUGAGUCAAUGCAAAAUGUUAUGAAAAUGAUUCCUAUUUCGGAUGUCAUCACUCCUUGUUUCAUCGAAGUUUAUCCUUACUUCUCUUAAAGUCUCAUUCCAACUCAACUUGUGGGUUUGUACCAUUCUUCAGAUGAUAUGACCCGCUGAAAAUGUCUGUAAGAUAAUCCUCUCCUAGGAUCGAAUCGUUUGAUUUGUUCAAUCAUCAUUUAAACUGAAGAAGAAAUUUCAGUUUCCCUGAGUACAUCCAACCCUCACAUAUGGGAAUUCCUUAAACAAUUAUCUUGUUUCAGUUUCUUGUAUUAUCUAGAAAUUUCCAGAGUAAUAUGAAAAACUUCAUUUGUGAAGAUAUUUAGUUCAUCUAUUAUUAUUUCAAUGCAACAUACUUAAAGAAUAAUGGAAGAUGAAUAAACUUUAUUGGAUUAAAAUGAAUUAUCAAAAAGAUACAAAAGAAAAUAAUUUGAAAACCUAUCUUUAAGAAGAAAUAGAAUCUAAAGAUAGCAAAUAGGACAAAAGUUAUGUGCCCAAGAUAUCGCCGCUUGAGUGUCUAUACACCAGCUCCAUGAAGUCUCUCUUGAGUUCAACAUGUGUUUAAAAGAUUCAAAGUACUUUAUUGAUGCCCCAGUAUGUAAUGUGCUUCACUCUUUAUAGCAAGAUCACUGUGUACUCUUCAAACUUUCAGCUGCCCUUUUGGGUUUUCAACUCAAAACCCCUUUGGUCACAAGGUGCCCUUUGCGGGUUUUCACCUUGGCCUCUCUGUUUUUUUUUUAAAUCUCAAGGCGCCCUUUGCUGGUUUUCACCUUGGAUUCUCUUCUCCUUUAUACAAAGUAUUUUUUAACUGAGGCUGAGUUCACUGGGUUGGGUAAACUCUUCCCAUCCGAUUCCAUUAAGAUCAGUGCACCACUCGAGAAGGCUUUCUUCAUGACAUAUGGCCCCUCCCACUUAGGCAUCCAUUUCCCCCUAAAGUCCUUUUGAAUGGGAAGAAUCUUUUUCAAUACAAGGUCUCCCUUGUGAAACUCUCUUGGCUGAACUUUCUUAUCAUAAGUUCGCAUCAUUCGUUUCUGAUACAUCUGACCAUGACGAAUGGCUCUUAGCCUCUUUUACUCAAUCAAGUUCAACUGGUCAUAUCGGGAUUGAACCCACUCAGCUUCAUCUAACUUUACCUCGGUUAAAAUUCGAAGAGAAGGUAUUUCUACUUCAAUAGGUAACACUGCUUCCAUCCCAUAAACUAGCAAGAAUGGAGUUGCCCCAGUAGAGGUUCUAACAGAUGUUCGAUAGGCUAGGAGUGCAAAUGGAAACUUCUCAUGCCAAUCUCUAUAGGUCUCAGUCAUCUUCCCCACUAUUUUCUUAAUAUUCUUGUUGGUAGCUUCUACUGCCCCAUUCAUUUUUGGACGAUAGGGAGAAGAAUUGUGAUGUUUGAUCUUGAACUGGCCGCAAACCUCUGCUAUCGUUUUGUUAUUCAAGUUCAAUGCAUUGUCGGAUAUGAUCCUCUCAGGCAUUCCAUACUAACAAAUGAUCUCCUUCUUCAAGAAUCGACUCACAGCUGACUUAGUAACAUUCGCAUAAGAAGUAGCCUCUACCCAUUUUGUAAAGUAAUCAAUUAACACGAAGAUAAAUCGAUGUCCAUUCGAAGCUUUCGGUGAUAUUGGUCCAAUGACAUCCAUGCCCUACAUGAAAAAGGGCUAUGGAGAAGUCAUAACAUGUAAAGGUAAAGGUGGUACAUGAAUUUUAUCCCCAUAAAUCUGGCUCUUAUGGCAUUUCUUGGUGUAGUUGAUACAGUCCCCUUCCAUAGUGGCCCAAUAAUAGCCAAACCUCAUGAUUUUCCUUGCCAUCAUGAACCCAUUUGCAUGCGUCCCACAUACACCUUCAUGAACCUCUUCUAAAAUUAGCUUAGCUUCCACAGCAUCGACACAUCUCAAAAGUACUUGGUCUUUCCGUCUCUUGUACAGGAUAUCUCCAUCUAAAACAUAGUCGCAAGCUAACCUCCUUAAAGUUCGUUUGUCAUUUUCACUUGCCUGUUCAGGGUAUUUACGAUCUCUCACAUAUCGCAAUAUAUCUUGAUACCAAGGGUUAUUGUCAUUUCCUUCCUUCUUAAUAUUACAACAAUAAGCUGGAGCCUCGUAGACACUCAUUUGAAUUGGCUUCAUCUCUUCUUCUUUAUUCGCCUUGAUCACUGAGGCCAAGGUUGCUAAAGCAUCUACCAUCUGAUUUUCGUCUCGUGGUAGAUAAUUGAAGGUGAUGUCAUCAAACUCCUGAAGUAACCCCAAAACUACCUUUCGAUAACUGAUCAAUUUAGGGUCCCUUGUCUCCUAUUCACCUCUAAGCUAAUAAACUACCAACGUAGAAUCUCCAUAUACUUCUAGGGUUUUUAUACCUCGCUCUAUAGCUACUUGAAGUCCCAUGACGCAUGCUUCAUACUUAGCUAUAUUGUUCGUGCAAUCAAAGUCCAACUUACACGUGAAAGGGUAAUGAUCGCUGUUUGGGGAUACCAAGACUGCCCCAAUUCCAUUUUCGACUGCAUUAGAAGCCCCAUCAAAAUUUAGCUUCCAAGGAGGAUCCUCGGUCAUUGCUAUGCACAUUAACUCCUCUUUUGGAAAAUCAAAGUUCAAUGGCUCAUAAUCCUCUAGAGCCCUACUGGCCAAGAAAUCUGCCACCGCACUUUCUUUUAUAGCUUUCUGACUUAUGUAGACUAUAUCAAACUCUGAAAGCAAAAUUUGCCAUCUCGCCAUUCUCCCAUUUAGAGCCGUUGACUCCAUCAUGUAUUUCAAUGGAUCAAGCAUUGAGAUGAGCCAAGUGGUAUGGUAUAGCAUGUACUGUCUUAAUCUCCGAGUUGUCCAAAUCAGCGCACAACACAACUUUUCAAUCGGUGGAUAUCUCAUCUCACUGUCAGUGAAUUUCUUACUGAGAUAAUAAAUUGCCUUCUCCUUCUUCCCUGACUCGUCAUGCUGGCCAAGCACACAUCCCAUGGAAUUACUGAACACUGACAAGUACAGUAUUAAAGGUUUAUUUGGGCUUGGUGGAGAUAAUACCGGAGCAUUCAACAAAUACUGCUUGACCUUUUCAAAAACAUUCUGGCAUUCCUCAUCCCAAGUUCCAUGAUUGUGCUUUUUGAGGAGGCGAAAGAUAGGAUCGCAUUUCUCAGUCAGUUGUGAAAUGAACCGAGUGAUGUAAUUCAACCUUCUUAGGAAUCCUCAAACUUCCUUCUGAGUACGUGGCGGAGGUAACUCUCGUAUGGCUCUAACUUUGUCUAAGUCGACUUCAAUUCCUUUUUCACUGACUACAAAACCUAAUAACUUUCCUGAUCUGGCUCCAAAGGUACACUUUGCUGGAUUGAGUUUCAACUGAAAUUUUCUCAACCUCAAGAACAAUCUUCUCAAGACCUCAAUGUGCUCUUUUUCUGUACGCGACUUGGCAAUCAUAUCAUCGACAUAUACCUCAAUAUCCUUAUGCAUCAUGUCGUGGAACAAGUUCACCAUGGCCCGUUGGUAUGUUGCCCCUGCGUUUUUUAGUCCAAACGGCAUUACUUUGUAGCAAAAGGUGCCCCACAAGGUUAUGAAGGUGGUUUUAUCCAUGUCCUUGUAACACCCCGAACCCAAGGCCGUCGCCGGAGUCGAACACGAGGUGUUAACAGACUUCAAACCACUAAAAAAAAAAAUUUCCCAGACAAGCUACCAAUCUGCGUACUAGUCGCUUUAAAAAUCAUAUCUUGAGUUCUGAAACUCGAAAUCCAGUUCCGUAAAUUUUCCCUGAAACUAGACUCAUAUGACCAUCCACAUAUUUUUUUUCUAGAAUUUUUGGUUGGGCCAAUUAGUACAGUUUAUUAGUCAAAGUAUCCCAUGUUACAGGGAUCGACUACACUGACCUUUGCACAUUACGACUUGGAUAUCUCCCUGUACAGGGCUUCAUUACUGAUUUCGUUUGUUUCUAUAGAAACUAGACUCGAAGGGAAAUCUAUGAACAUAUGGCAUGACUUCUAAUUAUCUCUGGUUAAUUUAUAAUGAAUUUCCAAAUUCGGAAUAGAGAAUCAAGAAAUCCCUCUGGCCCUGUUUCACAAGAGUUUAAUUAUCUCCUAACAUACAGCUCAUAUGGUCGUUUCGUUUCUUCUAUAUGAAAAUAGACUCAUCGAGCUUCGAUUACAUAAUUUAUGCAUUAAAUAAUUCCACUCCUACUAUUUUUAGUGAUUUUUCAAUCUCACGUCACUGCUGCUGCCAGCAUCUGUUACUAAAGCAACUAUGCCUAUUUCGUGAUUUCUCCUUGAUCUAACUAGUAAUUCAUCACACAUAUCACAAAUUAUGAUCAUGACUAGCCAUGCCAAGGGCUAAUCAUUGUCAAACAUCUCCCUACUACACUAUUGCCAUAUCAUGAAUUUUGACACCAAAAAUAAUCAACCAUGACAUAUGGCAUAAAAAUCGAAUUUCCAAGACUUACGACCUAACAUUAUAGAACCAAAUCCAACCGAACAUUUAUGCCAUUUUCGCAUGGCUAAAAGUUUACAUAACAAAUUUCAACAAAACAUAUUAGCCUAUACAUGCCGAAAUGUUCUCCUAGACUGACUAAAAAGAAGAUACCAAAAGUUGCUAGCCGGUGUGAUGACUUCAAUGACGGCCCGAUCACGCAAAAAGAGACGAGUCCAAGAAACCUAAAAUAGGUGACAAGGAAACACCGAGUGAGUAUAUAACUCAGUAAGUCAUAAGCAAUGCACCACCAUCCAUUAAUAACAUUAUCACAAGAGGAAACAAAAUGGAACGAGGCUAGUUACUCCAUCCAUACCGAACCAUACCAUAGUUCCUUAGACCUAUCGGUUCAAUCUCAUACCAAGUCAUGCAUUCACAUUCCAUAUACUAAUCAAUAGGAUAUUUGAGGCAUUUUCAUACAUCAUUGUAUUUUCGUUACAAUCAUACAACUAAACGACCUUUCACCUAUUCCGCGAUAAAUCUUAUGUACGUGACUUCAAUUAUAAUUGUCACAUAGGUUCAAACUUACCAAGCUCAACUCCAAAUAUAAACAUAGCGCCUAUUAGCCAUGAACUCAAGGUACUUACCUGAUCCGCUGUCCGUGAUCAACUCAAUAAUGUCGCACACUUAGUGUCCAUAGUGAUUCAAAAGUAUAUAUUAAGUCCGCACACUCAGUGCUAUAUAAUCAACUCGCACACUUAGUGAUAUAUAAUCAAACUCGCACACUUAGUGCUGUACAAUUUAAACCCGCACACUUAGUGCCAAUCUCAUGAUCAUAAAUGUUUAUACCCGCACACUUAGUGCCGAGAUCAACAACUCAAUACAUCUCACCUCUUUUCUUUUCAUUCAACACUUUCAUCACCACAUGCAUACAUGUAUAUAUAUAUUUAUCAUUCCAUUCAGCAUCAUUACAUAGACGUUAUGACCAUUUAAAUUAAUACAAACUAUAUGCUUAAUGACUUACUUUGUGUUGGGUAAGACGGUUCCAACUCGGCUACUCGAUGAUCUUUUCUUUGCCUUUGCUUGAUUCUCCUCCUUUAACUCCUUGAGCUUAAUCAAUAAAUCAACUAGUUUAACCAUCUUGCUAAACAUUCAUAAUUCAAUUACACAUGCAUAUGUAUGUCUGUAUAUUCGGCAACCAUCCUCACUAAUUACCCAUUUAGUCGAUUAUACACAUAAUUAAAGGUAACAUCACGAAUGGGCAUACUUAUGUAUAUAUAUAUGUAUAUAUAUACUUCGGAAUGGGCAUCACAAUUAGAUUUAACACCACCUUCAUACUCAAUUAGAUGGCCGAAUGCAUGUAUAUAUGCACAAUGUCAACUAUAACAUCAUUUAAACACCUAAUUUCAUCUCAUGAACACUCGACCCAUUUUUUUAACAAUAAUUCAUGUAUCCUUUUUAUUAAACACUCAAAAUCAACCAUCUUCAUACCUCAUCACCAAAGACAUCAAAAUACCAACCAAGAAUGUAACAUUCAUGGCCGAAUAUCAUCUCCAUCAAUUAACAAAAUUUGAACCAUGGCUAGGUAGAUUUCAAACUUACAACUUAAAAUAUACAUGAAUCUCAAAGAAUAAUAUCAAACAUACCUCAAUCUAGUUACAUGCAUGGCCAAACUUCUUAGAAACUUUUCCCCUAGGCACCGAAUAUUCAAGAGCUUCUUAAUCAACUUAAAGGUGACCAAAUGCCUUAACUUCAAUUUCUUCUUUUUCUUUUCAAUUCGGCCAAGAAGAACCAAAGAACACAACUUGUUUUUCUUUCUUCCUUAGAACAUUCGGCCAAUGGAAAUGAAGAAAGAUGGACACUUUUUUUUUGUUUUUUCUUUCUAGUUUCGGCCAAAUGGGGGGGGGACAACCACACACUUUUUUUUUUGUUUUCAUCAUAUUCUCUUUCAUUAUUUUAUGCCCAUGCUCCUUAUUUUAUCAUACUUCCCAUGAAACACUAACUCAACAUGUUUAUGACAUGUUCUUGCCCAUCACACUUGGUCUACCAUGCUUGUCAUGGCCGGCCACUACUAAUUAGGGGGGGAAAUUGACAUGCAAGUCCCCCCUUUUUAUUUCAUGCACUAAUAGAUCCUUAUGCUUUGACCUAUCACAUUUCAAAAUUUUCUCACAUAAGUCCUAUUUACUAAAAUUCACCUACAAUUAAACAAAAUUCAAACACGAAAUUUUCACACAUGCACAUGUACAUAUAAUGAGCAUCAAUUAUGACGGUUAAUUAUUUUUAUGACUCGGUUUAGCGGUCCCGAAACCACUUCCCGACUAGGGUCAAUUUUGGGCUGUCACAACUCUCCCCCACUUAAGAAAUUUUCGUCCCCGAAAAUCUUACCGGUAAAUAAGUUUGGGUAUCGUUCUUUCAUCAAGCUCUCGGUUUCCCAAGUAGCUUCCUCGAUCCCGUGUUUGAGCCAUAACACCUUUAGUAGCGGAACCCUUUUGUUUCGCAACUCCUUCACUUCACGAGCUAGGAUACGCAUCGGUUCUUCUUCAUAACUCAUAUCGGCUUGAAUUUCAACCUCUGAUGGGCUAAUUAUGUGCGAUGGAUCAGAUCUAUAGCGUCGAAGCAUCGAAACAUGAAAGACGUCGUGGAUCUUUUCAAGUUCAGGGGGCAAAAUCAAUCGAUACGCAACUGGACCAACUCGUUCGGAGAUUUCGUACGGCCCAAUGAAUCUCGGACUCAACUUGCCCUUACGGCCAAAUCUGAGUACCUUUUUCCAAGGCGAAACUUUAAGAAACACUUUAUCUCCCACCUGAUAUUCAAUGUCUUUUCGUUUCAAAUCCGCAUACGAUUUCUGACGAUCUGUGGCUGCUUUCAGACUUUCACGGAUUACCUUUACUUUCUGUUCGGCAUCUUUAAUCAAAUCAACUCCGAAAAUUUUACUUUCACCGAGCUCGGUCCAAAACAAUGGUGUACGGCAUUUACGACCGUACAAAGCCUCGUAAGGUGCCAUCUUAAUACUUGAUUGAAAACUAUUGUUGUAAGCGAAUUCAAUCAAAGGUAAAUACCGUUCCCAUGAACCACUAAACUCGAGGAUGCAACAUCUCAACAUAUCCUCAAGUAUCUGAAUUAUCCGCUCGGAUUGACCAUCGGUUUGUGGAUGAAAGGCGGUGCUAAAAUGCAGCUUGGUACCCAAAGCUUCUUGCAAUUUCUUCCAAAAUCGCGAGGUGAAUCUCAGAUCUCUAUCCGACACGAUAGAAAUAGGCACCCCGUGUAAUCUCACAAUCUGAGAAACAUACAAUUCGGCUAGUUUAUCCAAUGAAAAAUCCGUACGCACAGGGAUAAAGUGAGCCGACUUAGUCAGUCUAUCAACAACAACCCAAAUCGCAUCCUUCUUACUUGCUGACAAUGGCAGUCCGGACACAAAGUCCAUUGUGACUCGAUCCCAUUUCCACUCGGGUAUCAUGAUCGGCUGAAGUAAUCCUGAAGGCACUUGAUGUUCCGCUUUCACUUGUUGACAUAUUAAACAUCUCGAAACAAAGUCGGAGAUGUCUCGUUUCAUACCAUGCCACCAAAACCGACGUUUCAAGUCAUUGUACAUUUUCGUACUCUCCGGGUGAAUUGACAUUCGGCUACAAUGGGCUUCGUUCAGAAUCAUCGAAAUGAGUUCUGAAUUUCUUGGAACACACAACCGACUUCUGAACCUCAAACAAUCGUCAUCAUCAAUUUGAAAUUCAGAUUCCAUAUUCGGAACACAUUCAGCCCGUUUUGCAACCAAUUCAUCGUCGACUUUCUGAGCUUCACGAAUUUGACGAAUCAAUAAUGGUUUGGCCUUUAAUUCAGCUACAAACACAUUUUCGGGUAGAACAGACAAGUGCACAUUCAUCGCUCGUAAAGCAAACAGUGAUUUCUGGCUUAAGGCGUCCGCAACCACAUUAGCCUUUCCCGGGUGGUAAUCAAUGACAAGCUCGUAAUCUUUCAACAACUUAAGCCAACGUCUUUGUCGCAGAUUUAAGUCUCUUUGAGUCAUCAAAUAUUUGAGACUUUUGUGAUCCGAAAAUACAUGGCACUUUUCACCAAAUAAGUAAUGUCGCCAUAUUUUUAAAGCGAAUACGAUGGCAGCUAGUUCGAGAUCAUGGGUCGGAUAAUUUUUCUCAUGUGGCUUUAAUUGUCUCGACGCAUAGGCCACCACUCGACCUUCUUGCAUCAAUACGCAACCCAACCCAAGUAGGGAUGCGUCACUAUAAAUGACAAACUCUUUGCCUGAUUCGGGUUGCACUAAAAUUGGAGCUUCAGUCAAAUAAGUUUUCAGUUGAUCGAAACUUUUCUGACAUUUCUCCGUCCAUUCGAACUUAGCAUCCUUUUGAAGUAGCUUCGUCAUUGGUGUGGCUAUCAUCGAGAAACCUUUUACAAAUCGUCGGUAAUAACCGGCGAGCCCCAAGAAGCUCCGAACUUCGGUAAUAUUUCUUGGAGGCUUCCAGUUAAGUAUGGCUGAAAUUUUACUCGGGUCAACUCGAAUACCCGAUGCGGAUACCACAUGACCCAAGAAGCUAACCUCUCUUAACCAGAACUCACACUUACUGAACUUAGCAUAUAACUGCUUAUCCCGCAAAAUUUGCAACACUAAUCUCAGGUGCUCAGCAUGUUCGGUCUCAUCUCUUGAAUAGACCAAGAUGUCAUCAAUGAACACAACUACGAACCGGUCCAAAUACUAUCUGAAGAUCCGAUUCAUCAAAUCCAUAAAUACCGCAGGGGCAUUAGUGAGCCCAAACGGCAUCACUAAGAACUCGUAGUGACCAUAUCUCAUUCUGAAGGCAGUUUUGGGUAUGUUCGAAUCUCGAAUUCGCAACUGAUAAUAGCCCGAUCUCAAAUCUAUUUUUGAGAACACUGAGGCUCCCUUCAGUUGGUCGAACAAAUCAUCGAUAUGCGGUAACAGAUAUUUGUUCUUUAUUGUCACUUUAUUCAGCUGACGAUAGUCAAUGCACAACCUCAUGGUUCCGUCCUUCUUUUUCACGAACAAUACUGGUGCACCCCAAGGUGAGAAACUUGGUCGAGCGAAACCUCUAUCCGUCAACUCUUGCAAUUGAGCUUUCAAUUCCUUUAACUCGGUUGGUGCCAUACGAUACGGAGCUAUCGAAAUUGGCGUAGUUCCAGGUACAAGCUCAAUACCAAACUCUACCUCCCGAACAGGUGGUAAACCCGGUAAUUCUUCAGGAAAAACAUCCGGGUAUUCACAAAUCACCGGUACAGAUUCGGGUUUUUUUUCUAAUUCCUUAUCAUCAAGUACAUACGCAAGGUAUGCUUCGCACCCUUUUCUUACAUAUUUCUGGGCCAACAUUGAGGAUAUUGCAGCUGGCAACCCCCUUAAGUCCGUAGACUCAACUCGGAUUAUCUCGUUAUUUGCGCACCUCAAAUCGAUGGUUUUUCUUUUACAGUUCACCACUGCAUCAUGUACGGUCAACCAAUCCAUACCAAGAAUAAAAUCAAAUUCGUCAAACGGCAAAAGCAUCAAAUCGGCCGGAAAAUAGGAUUCUCGGAUUAUUAGAGGGCAUCUCUUACACACUUUAUCAACAAGUACGUAUUGACCCAAAGGGUUUGACACUCGAAUUACGAACUCAGUAGACUCAACAGGUAGAGUCUUACUGGAUGCUAAGGUUUCACAUACAUAUGAAUGAGUAGAGCCAGGGUCAAUCAAUGCAAUCACAUUAGUAUCAAAGAGAAUGAAGGUACCAGUGAUGACGUCAAGGGAGGAUGCCUCCUCUCGUGCGCGAAUGGCAUAUGCUCUAGCAGGAGUACGGUUCUCGGCUCGAACAGCCGUAUCAGAGGCCCCUCUCUGACUACCACCCCUACCUCCUAAAAUUCUCGGUGGUCUACCUCUAGUUGUCACUCCACUAGGUCUUGCACCUUGAAUCUUAUUCUUCUCAUCAAGCUCCGUGCAAUCUCUAAUGAAGUGGUCCUUCGAACCGCAUCCGUAACAGGCCCUGUUAGUAGACUUACCCCAACAUUCACCUAGGUGUCGUCUUCCGCAUUGGGGACAUUCAGGUUUCUCUUGACGAUUAUUGCCCACACUAGCUACCGAAGUAGCUCGGGAGUCCGUCGGUGGUCGUGCUCUGAUGGAAAUUCCCGCAGUCGUCCUCGACUUAUUAGUGUCCUCCCUGAACUUCUUUACAGCUGAGAACGGAGCUUUACCCGUCGAUCUUUUACGAUAGUCUCUAGCUUCAAAUUCAGUCUUCUUCUUCUCCUUUCCAAGUUCUUCCGCCUUGCAGGCUCGUUCGACUAGUGUCACGAAUUCUUUUAUCUCCAAAAUACCCACUAGUAGCUUUAAAUCUUCAUUCAACCCUUCUUCGAAUCUUUUGCACAUAGCAACCUCAUCAGCUACACACUCCCGGGCAUACCUACUGAGUCUUACGAAUUCAUGUUUGUAUUCAGAUACUGUCAUAUGGCCUUGCUUGAGUUCCAAGAAUUCCUUACGCUUUUGGUCAAUGAACCGUUGACUAAUAUAUUUCUUUCGAAAUUCCGUUUGAAAGAAGUCCCAAGUAACUCGUUCGUUUGGGACUAUGGAAAUCAGGGUCCUCCACCAAUAGUAGGCUGAGUCCCGCAACAAGGAUAUAGCACACUUUAGACAUUCAUCGGGCGUGCAUGACUGUUCAUCAAACACCCAAAUGGUGUUAUCAAGCCAGAACUCGGCCCUUUCAGCAUCAUCAGUAACUAUGGCCCUGAACUCCUCAGCCCCGCGCUUCCUAAUCAAGUCUACAGGUGGCUUACUCAGCCUCACAGGAUCAGUAACUGAUGGCAUUACGAGCUCUUGGGGUGGAUCAUUCAAAUUCGGGAAUUGUUGGACAGCCGGAUUGGUUCGGGCAUAUUGCGUGACCCACUCAUUCAUCAUGGUAAAGAAGGCUUGUUUAGCCCCCUCACCUUGAUUAUUCGCAGAUGACUGAGGUUCAACAGGCGGCGUCCCUUGUGCAAGAGCAGCCGCUACACUUUCAACGUCAUCCUCCAAGGUUCUCUCUACACCGGGAUCCAUUUACUAAUCAAAACAAAAGUUUUAACCGUCAGAAGUCAUCACACAUUUAAACAUUAACAUUAAGGCAUGUACAGCUAGACUCAUACGUGCUAUGGUAGUCCUAGAACCGACUAAACCAUAGCUCUGAUACCAAUCAAAUGUAACACCCCGAACCCAAGGCCGUCGCCGGAGUCGAACACGAGGUGUUAACAGACUUCAAACCACUAAAAAAAAUUUCCCAGACAAGCUGCCAAUCUGCGUACUAGUCGCUCUAAAAAUCAUAUCUUGAGUUCUGAAACUCGAAAUCCAGUUCCAUAAAUUUUCCCUGAAACUAGACUCAUAUGCACAUCCACAUAUUUUUUUCUAGAAUUUUUGGUUGGGUCAAUUAGUACAGUUUAUUAGUCAAAGUCUCCCAUGUUACAGGGAUCGACUACACUGACCUUUGCGCAUUACGACUUGGAUAUCUCCCUGUACAGGGCUUCAUUAUUGAUGUAGUUUGUUUCUAUAGAAACUAGACUCGAAGGGGAAUCUAUGCACAUAUGAAAUGACUUCUAAUUAUCUCUGGUUAAUUUAUAAUGAAUUUCCAAAGUCGGAACAGGGAAUCCAGAAAUCGCUCUGGCCCUGUUUCACAAGAGUUUAAUUAUCUCCUAACAUACAGCUCAUAUGGUCGUUUCGUUUCUUUUAUAUGAAAAUAGACUCAUCGAGCUUCGAUUACAUAAUUUAUGCAUUAAAUAAUUCCACUCCUACUAUUUUUAGUGAUUUUUCAAUCUCACGUCACUGCUGCUGCCAGCAUCUGUUACUAAAGCAACUAUGCCUAUUUCGUGAUUUCUCCUUGAUCUAACUAGUAAUUCAUCAUACAUAUCACAAAUUAUGAUCAUGACUAACCAUGCCAAGGGCUAAUCAUUGUCAAACAUCUCCCUACUACACUAUUGCCAUAUCAUGAAUUUUGACACCAAAAAUAAUCAACCAUGACAUAUGGCAUAAAAAUCGAAUUUCCAAGACUUACGACCUAACAUUAUAGAACCAAAUCCAACCGAACAUUUAUGCCAUUUUCGCAUGGCUAAAAGUUUACAUACCAAAUUUCAACAAAACAUAUUAGCCUAUACAUGCCGAAAUGUUCUCCUAGACCGACUAAAAAGAAGAUACCAAAAGUUGCUAGCCGGUGUGAUGACUUCGAUGACGGCCCGAUCACGCAAAAAGAGACGAGUCCAAGAAACCUAAAAUAGGUGACAAGGAAACACCGAGUGAGUAUAUAACUCAGUAAGUCAUAAGCAAUGCACCACCAUCCAUUAAUAACAUUAUCACAAGAGGAAACAAAAUGGAACGAGGCUAGUUACUCCAUCCAUACCGAACCAUACCAUAGUUCCUUAGACCUAUCGGUUCAAUCUCAUACCAAGUCAUGCAUUCACAUUCCAUAUACUAAUCAAUAGGAUAUUUGAGGCAUUUUCAUACAUCAUUGUAUUUUCGUUACAAUCAUACAACUAAACGACCUUUCACCUAUUCCGCGAUAAAUCUUAUGUACGUGACUUCAAUUAUAAUUGUCACAUAGGUUCAAACUUACCAAGCUCAACUCCAAAUAUAAACAUAGCGCCUAUUAGCCAUGAACUCAAGGUACUUACCCGAUCCGCUGUCUGUGAUCAACUCAAUAAUGUCGCACACUUAGUGUCCAUAGUGAUUCAAAAGUAUAUAUUAAGUCCGCACACUCAAUGCUAUAUAAUCAACUCGCACACUUAGUGCUAUAUAAUCAAACUCGCACACUUAGUGCUGUACAAUUUAAACCCGCACACUUAGUGCCAAUCUCAUGAUCAUAAAUGUUUAUACCCGCACACUUAGUGCCGAGAUCAACAACUCAAUACAUCUCACCUCUUUUCUUUUCAUUCAACACUUUCAUCACCACAUGCAUACAUGUAUAUAUAUAUUUAUCAUUCCAUUCAGCAUCAUUACAUAGACGUUAUGACCAUUUAAAUUAAUACAAACUAUAUGCUUAAUGACUUACUUUGUGUUGGGUAAGACGGUUCCAACUCGGCUACUCGAUGAUCUUUUCUUUGCCUUUGCUUGAUUCUCCUCCUUUAACUCCUUGAGCUUAAUCAAUAAAUCAACUAGUUUAACCAUCUUGCUAAACAUUCAUAAUUCAAUUACACAUGCAUAUGUAUGUCUGUAUAUUCGGCAACCAUCCUCACUAAUUACCCAUUUAGUCGAUUAUACACAUAAUUAAAGGUAACAUCACGAAUGGGCAUACUUAUGUAUAUAUAUAUGUAUAUAUAUACUUCGGAAUGGGCAUCACAAUUAGAUUUAACACCACCUUCAUACUCAAUUAGAUGGCCGAAUGCAUGUAUAUAUGCACAAUGUCAACUAUAACAUCAUUUAAACACCUAAUUUCAUCUCAUGAACACUCGACCCAUUUUUUUAACAAUAAUUCAUGUAUCCUUUUUAUUAAACACUCAAAAUCAACCAUCUUCAUACCUCAUCACCAAAGACAUCAAAAUACCAACCAAGAAUGUAACAUUCAUGGCCGAAUAUCAUCUCCAUCAAUUAACAAAAUUUGAACCAUGGCUAGGUAGAUUUCAAACUUACAACUUAAAAUAUACAUGAAUCUCAAAGAAUAAUAUCAAACAUACCUCAAUCUAGUUACAUGCAUGGCCAAACUUCUUAGAAACUUUUCCCCUAGGCACCGAAUAUUCAAGAGCUUCUUAAUCAACUUAAAGGUGACCAAAUGCCUUAACUUCAAUUUCUUCUUUUUCUUUUCAAUUCGGCCAAGAAGAACCAAAGAACACAACUUGUUUUUCUUUCUUCCUUAGAACAUUCGGCCAAGGGAAAUGAAGAAAGAUGGACACUUUUUUUUUGUUUUUUCUUUCUAGUUUCGGCCAAAUGGGGGGGGGACAACCACACACUUUUUUUUUGUUUUCAUCAUAUUCUCUUUCAUUAUUUUAUGCCCAUGCUCCUUAUUUUAUCAUACUUCCCAUGAAACACUAACUCAACAUGUUUAUGACAUGUUCUUGCCCAUCACACUUGGUCUACCAUGCUUGUCAUGGCCGGCCACUACUAAUUAGGGGGGGAAAUUGACAUGCAAGUCCCCCCUUUUUAUUUCAUGCACUAAUAGAUCCUUAUGCUUUGACCUAUCACAUUUCAAAAUUUUCUCACAUAAGUCCUAUUUACUAAAAUUCACCUACAAUUAAACAAAAUUCAAACACGAAAUUUUCACACAUGCACAUGUACAUAUAAUGAGCAUCAAUUAUGACGAUUAAUUAUUUUUAUGACUCGGUUUAGCGGUCCCGAAACCACUUCCCGACUAGGGUCAAUUUUGGGCUGUCACAUGUCCUCUAGAUGCAUCUUUAUCUAGUUGUAUCCUGAAAAACCAUCCAUGAAGGAGAACAAUAAAUAUCCCGUUGUGUUGUCUACUGAAGUGUCAAUGUGUGGUAAAGGAAAAUUAUCCUUUAGGCUUUUUUUGUUCAUAUUUUUGUAAUCAACACACAUUCGUACCUUCCCAUCCUUCUUAGGAAUAGGCAAAAUGUUAGCUACCCAUUCAGAGUACUUCACUUCUUGCAAGAAUUCUGCAUCGAACUGCUUCUUGACUUCAUCCUUUAUUUUCAGAACGAUAUCUGGCCUCAUUCUUCGCAACUUCUGUUGGACUGGCUUACAAUCCUGUCUUAUCGGAAGAUGAUGUACUACAAUAUCGGUACUCAAUCCGGGCAUAUCCUGAUAUGACUAGGCGAAGAUAUCCUUGAACUCUCGAAGCAACUCAACCAGACCAUGCCUUGUGUCCUCACUAAUUAGGGUUCCGAUUUUCAACUCCUUCCCUUCCUCUAAGGCUAUAUUCUCUAUUGCCUCUUUCUCAUAUAUCAUGAUUUGUUUCUGCUCUUGCUUUACCAUUCUUAACAGAUCGAGAGACACGUCAUAAUCUUGAACAUCUUUCAAAUCCUAAGAUUCCUCUAAAAACAUGUCUUGCUCGCUAGAGAAAUUAGGAGCUGCAGUAUCGGUGCUCAUAUAAUUGAUAUCUAGGGACCUGUGGGGGUAUUAAAGAAUAUACAAACAAUGAAUGAAUCGAAGAAUGAUUGUUUAUGUGCUAUGAAUAAAAGAAAAAGAAUUGCCAAAAUUUAAAGGAAUAUUGAUUGAUAAAAAAUGAAGCCAUACUCGUUUAAAUUGGUAAAAGUUAUGUUUUAUUUAAAUAAUAAUAGAUGAACAUAAGCCUCUUUUCACAAACGUAAUCUUACUACUCCUAGGCCCUAGAGUAACAAACAUGUUUCGAUGAAAAAUUUUUAAAGACUACAGGAAGGUCCUCCGGCGUCAAAUUAUUCAGAGAGCUCUCCGGUUCGUAAGGGUGAAUGCUCACGAGGUUUCCUUGCUCCGAUCCUUCAUUGUGUACAGCAUUAACUUGAUGACUUUCCUCUAUCAGCAAUCCUCCUGACUUAAAGGAUUUGGAUAUAGGUGGGAAUGUCAUCGGUUCCCACUCUACUUCUCUUCUAUUCAAACGCGCCUUUCUUCUUGCUUGGCGCUUCUCAAUUUCUUGCCUCUUGUACUUGUGGUCUGGCUUAAAGCCCAAGCCAAAGUGAUCCUUCUUCUCAAUCAGUUUUGGGAUCUGAAUCCCACCUUGCAACUGUCUUCCUAGUCCUUUUACUGGCAACGCUCCUUUCCCCAUCAUCAUUUGCAGGGCCAUCCUUGUGGCUCUAGACAUUUUGGGUACCGACACCUCACUUCCUUCCAAAAUGAAAAUUGCAUUAAUGAUUUCUAAAGAGCGGAAAGAACACUCUAUAGCCUCUUCAUUUACCUCAACAUAAGGGGCCUUGUUGGUGAUUGCCGCUAUGAUGUCUCCUCCGCAUUGAUGGUUAUUAAGCUUCCAUCUGUCACUAACUUCAAUUUUUAGUGUAGUGAGGAGGGCACCGCUCCCGCCGAAUGUAUCCAUGGUCUCCCCAACAAACAAUUAUAGGAGGGCUUAAUAUCCAUCGCCAGGAAAUCAACUUCAUACGUAUUUGGCCCAAUCUCCAGAGGGAUGUCAAUUCGUCCCAUUACUUUCCUUUCAGUUCCAUCGAAAGCUUUUACCACAUUGUGACAUGCUUUCAUGUGCGAACUAUCAAUGGGUAAUCUGUUUAAUGUGGAUGAAGGAUGUUCAAAGCAGACCCAUUAUCAAUGAGUACACUUGGAAGUGUGUAUCCUUUGCACCGAGUAGUGAUGUGCAGGGCUUUGGUUGACCCUAUCCCCCAGGUGGAAUUUCAUCAUCAUUAAAAUAGAUGAAAUUGUCAGAACUGGUGUUGUUUACUAACUGGUCCAGCUUGUUAACGGAUAUGUCAUGGGUGACAUAUGUUUCGUUAAGCACCUUUAACAACACAUCCCGAUGCACCUUAGAAGUUAAGACUAGGGCUAACACUGAUAUACGCGCCGGCUGCUUACACAACUGCUCGACCACGCUAUACUCGCUAUGUUUCAGGAACUUUAGAAACUCCUUAGCCUCUUCCUCCUUUAUCGACUCAUUGAUGGGUACUUCAGUCUCUUUCUCCCUUUCAACCUCAACAUUUUUCGUCUUUGCGGGCUCUACUCUGAUGUUCCCCCCGUCAUAACGUUUCCCACUUCGUGUAUGGGAACCUUCAAUUUGUGUGCCCCUGGCCGCGCUGGCUAUACUCUCCCCCUCAGGUAUUGUUAUACUGCAGUCAUAGCUCCAUGGCACCCUCUUGUCAUCCUUGUAAGGGAAAGAAUUGGGUUUAUGGAUGACAAUUUUGGGCCCAGUUUGCGGCCCCGCCUCAUUAUUCCCUGGCAAGGAAAUAAUAAUUCUUGGUUGGUUGGUUCUUUGUCGUUCAUUCUCCAGCACACAAAUUUGUCCUUCACGAACUUCCCUCAGAAACCUGUAGCUCUUUGUUAACCAUAAGGCCUUGUACCAUGGCCUUGAACUCUUCACAUUUUUGGAUCAUAUGACCCACCUCUCCAUGGUUCUCUAUUCCUUCACUUCCUUAUCUAGAGGUCAGCAUUCCUUUCUUUUCCAUCUCCUCCUAUAUUACUUUCAUAGGUGUCUUCACCUCAGCAAUAUCUUCCUUGAUUUUUCCUUUCUUUGUUUCAUCGAUGGCAUUCACUCCUUGAUUGCCAUGAUCUGGUAAUGGAUUUUCAGUAUUAGGGGCACUGUCGAAUUUUACAACCCCCAUCUUGAUAAGCCUCUCCACGACCUUCUUGAAUCUGGUGCAGUUUUCAAUUGAAUGCCCCGGUGUUCCCGCGUGAUAUUCGCACUUAGCAUUUGCAUCAUACCAUUUGGGGAACGGUGGCUGCAGUGGUUUCAAGUGAAAUGGAGAGAUGGCAUGUGUAUCGUAUAAGCUUUGAUAAAGCUUACGAUACGUCACAGGGGUAGGCGUGAAUUGUUUCCUCUCCGAAUUCUGUCUUGUACUUGAUUCCUGUUUUUGAGUACUUUGUUGCUCAGCUUUGGGUUGACCAAUUGUAACUGCUCUCGAGUUAAGGCUAUUCACUUCAUUGUCCUUUCUCAUUGGGGCUGAUCUUUUAGCCACUUCCCCCUCGAGCUUACCGCCCCUCACGACAUUCUCAAUCAUCUCACCUGCCAUAACUAUAUCCGCGAAACUUUUCGUGGUACUUCCAAUCAUAUGAGUGAUGAAUGGCGCCUUCAAAGUAUUAAUAAAUAACAUGGUGGUCUCAUUUUCCAACAAUGGUGGUUGUACUUGCAUUGCCACCUCCCUCAAUCGUUGUGUAUAUUGCCUAAAACUUUCAUUAGGCUUUUUCUCCAUGUUUUGAAGUGUGAUCCUAUCUGGCGUCAAGUCAGUCACAUGAUUAUACUAUUGCAUGAAGGCCUGUGCUAGAUCUCUCCAUGAACCGAUUCUUGCACGGCUCAACUGAUUGUACCAUCUAGCCGCUGCUCCUACUAAACUGUCUUGAAAACAAUGGAUCAAUAAUUGAUCAUUGUUCACAUAUCCAGUCAUCCUCCUACAAAACAUUGUUAUGUGUGCCUCUGGACAAGUAGUCCCGUUGUACUUUUCAAACUCUGGCAUCUUAAAUUUAUGAGGAAGCGCCAAAUCUGGAACCAAACUUAAGUCUUUGGCAUCAAUCCCCUGAUGAUUGCCUGCGCCUUCUAAAAUCCUAAAUUUAUCCUCUAACCACCUGCAACGAUCUUCCAAUUGUUUCGCGGAUUCAGUGGCCAUUCUUUCCUUCUCUAUCAAAUCCAGAUCAGGAGUGAUAGGGUUGAUUGAGCUAUCAACCAAAUUAUUUCCCAACCCAGAUGGCAAAUUUACGGGGAUUCCAGCAUCUACUGGGCCAUGUUGAGGCCUCCCGGUGACAGAUGGUCUUUUAAGAGGUGCCUCGGUUUGCAGUGGCACAUGAGGCGGAGUAAAACCCGGAGGAGGACCUUCAUUCUCCUCUUCAGUGAUUGCCAUGGGAGCUUUUCCUUUAUCAGUGGUUCCCAGCAGCUGAGCCAUUUUAGCCAUCAUGUUCCUCUGAGCCUCUAACAUUUGCUCCCUCAUUUCAUUCUGCAUUUUGGCCAACUGCUCUUGCAUUUGGUCUUGCAUAUCUUUUUGUAAUUGCUCGAACCUUUGAUCCAUACUCUUAGUUUUAGUGCGAGUGCCGUAAGGAUGUGUGAUUUCCAGAUUUUCUUUUCUACAUUUGGAAGUAAACUUUAACUAAUCAGGGUCUUUCUAUAACUUUGAAUGCAAACGAUAUGAUGAAAUGCUAUGAGAUGCAAAUGCAUGAAUGCAAAAAAGAUAUCGAUUCUGGUUCAACUUCAUUUAGAAAAUUUUAUUUAGAAAAAGAAUAUCUUUACAUAUAAGAGGAUUACAAAUACACUUUCGCCUUAAGGCCUAAAGCUUUAACUCUAUCUAAUAAAAGGGCUAACUCUCGUCCUAUAUCCGUCAAUGGUGAACACAUCAGACUCAAUACAUCAGCUCGAAUUGCCAAGUCUUGCACAUAUUCAGCGACCUCUAGAAUCUGGGCUAUGGCUUUAGCUAUGACAUGAGCCCUUUCUCCGACCUGUCCUCUAGCCUGAUGAAGCUCUCCCUUCAAACAAUCUUCUUGCGCCUCUAGCUGCUCAACCCAGAGUUCACCGUCAUGCAAUGCCACCUCCAAAUCUGCAACCUUACUUUUUAGCUCCUUUAACUCGACCGUAGAAUUAUGGUUUUGGUGCCAACGUAGGGAUCUUCCAAGCUCAAUUACCUUAGUUUCCAACCCUUUAUUCUCUUCUUCUAAUGCCAAAUUCUACACCUGCAUCUCCUGGAACUUCCUUUCCCAAUACUCGGCUCUAGCCUUUUCCUCUUGGACCUCUUUCUGCAACUGAUCUGAAGAUCCUCCUACUCUCACCCUCCUCAAGGAUACGUGUGCCCUUUUGUAAUGUUCCUUUAGAUAAUCUCAAUCUUCCUCAAUUUUCCUCUUUUCUUUCCUUUCCUUCUUGACCUCCAUCUUUUGAACCUCGACAUCCAAACUCAGGUACAUCUUUUCUUCUUCCAGCUUUGCUAUCCUCUUCUCGAACUCCAAGUUCUUUCUCUCGAACUCCUGCUUUAUAAUUUCUAACUCUGAGGGCCUUACUUGCAAAUAUUCCUCUAUCGGUCGAGUUCCUUCCACGCUAGGCUUAGGGAUGUUAUCGUUAACCUUUCUGCCUCUCCAUUCGACGUAUUCCGGUGUGGUUGCAGGGCUAAUUGCUACUCUUUUCAACCGACAAGUCUUUUUCCAAGCACUAGAAAUUUCACUAACCUUCCACUUGUAAUCGGAUCCUUUGUAUACAAACUCACUUUGAGCCAACCCUUGAGUCGCUGGUACGAACUGUCUCAAUCCAUGCUGCCUCAGCACGAGCAAAGGGGUAUAACCAAUGGCACCCCAAAUUCCUAGCAGGGGGAUCCAAUCAAAACUGCCGCAUCGAUAAAAAACCUCACCAGGAAUCAUCCACGGAGCCCUCCACUUGACAUCUUUCGACUGAAGGUUCUGAAGUAGCGCUAUCCAAUUCUCUUCUGGAACAUCAACUCUCCUAGUUGAAGCUACUAUAUCUUUCAACGGUGAAUAAUCCUCGAAGAAGACCCGACAAACCACCCUAUCUAUCAACCGAAAAUUACUGUAGAACCAAGCCAAAAGUAACUGAGCACACCUUAUAAACCUGCCAGCACCAGCUCUCCUACAUGCACCUAAAGAUCUGAAUGUUUCUGCCAAAAUUGCAGGGAUAGAAGUGACCUUUUUACUGAGUCGAUGAAAAAGAUCCGUGGUUGCCUUAUCCACAUAUCCCAAGGCCCUAGGGAAAACCAUCAAUCCAUACAAACUUAAGGCAAAAACAUCUACCUUCUUCGUCUCAUCAGGGUGUAUCAGAAUCAAAUCUUUCAAAGCGUCCCACGAAAUGCACUUGCACUCACCCUUUUCUUUAAUUCGGGCUGUGGCCCACUGCUCGCUCAUCCCCGUAAUAAUCAUCAACUUCUUCCAAAUGUUAGGGACACAAGCAGCUCGAGAAUAGAUCCUAUCAUUUUGAAACCUGGGACAACGAAGAAAGGCAGUGUAGUCCUCCACAGUAGGUACAAAGUUUACUUCCCCAACAGUGAAACAACUAUACGCCGGUUUCCAAAACUGAGCAAGGGCUCGAAAUAAGCGCUCGUCUACCUGAACAUCAAGCAAGUAAGGUAAGUCUCCGUAAUUAUCAUAGAAUAACUGCUUGGUCUUUUUGCCCCACCAAUCCCAAAUUUCCUUAAGCUCUUGGAGAUUAUUCAGCGUGACACUAAUACGAGUGUAAUCUGACAACUCAGACACGUAUCCCACAGCUAUACUAUAUCCUUUUUCUAGUUGAGUUUGCUCAGACCAUCUAUGAACAUUGGCGUUGCCUUCCACUCUAUCAAGAAUUCUAUUCUCCAUAAUAAAACUUCCUAACUUAGAAACUGAUCGUGAAUCGAUACCUUUGUAAAUGCAAGAUGACAUGCAAACAAAAGAAAAGAAAUAGUCAGUAUUACAUGAUAUCAAUAAAUCUCAACGAUAACUUAUAAGGGUAAUAUCUAAAGUUUAAACCUAACUAAGUUGGGCUCUUACGGUCUUUCGAUAUGAGGUUGGUUCUAAAGUUUGAGGUACCCGAACCAGCAGAUUCCUCGAUUCUCACCCAUUAUAGGCUCAUUUGAAUCGAGUUCAGUUCAGGGGAAUACUUCCCUAUGGCUACACGGAGAUGAAAAUAUCAAGAAACCAACGUAUCCCGAAAGUGAUUCACUAUCCUGCACAGAGGCGAAAACCUCACGAAGGCGUAGCUUCUCACUCCCACUUAAGGGUGCGACCACAACGGUCAUCCAAAUGUAAUGCGUAUCAGAAUAUAGCAACACAUGCAAUAAUACAAACACAUGUAAUGCAAAGAGGAUUAAGUUUUAAAAUUUUUAAUUUUCGACAUUAAGACAAGAGAUAAUCAAUUACACGGCUUGACUCUCUUAUUGGUCCCCAGUGGAGUCGCCAAGCUGUCGAAACCAUUUUUAAAUCGAGUUUUGGAAAAUGGGAAUCGACUUUGAAAAAAACGAAAACGGGAGUUGCCACCAAUCUUUUUAGGUGUGAUUGGAUCACCUUAUAAAAUGUUUUGUUUUAAAACAUUAAUUUUGGUCUACGAAAGUCGAGAAAACGGAUUCGGGAGUCGGUUACGUACGAGGAAGGGUUAACACCCUCGUAACGCCCAAAAAUUGGUACCUAAUUGAUUAUCAAGUGUCUUUAAUGUCGGAAAUUGAAAAAUUUUAAGAUGUAGUCCUCUUUAAUAAUAUUUUAAUUUUGAAAAUUGGGGUUCACUCAUAUCAAAGUAUUGUCACUAAGUUAACCCUUUUUGGAAAUUCCUAUCUCGAAACAACAAAACGCUAUAUCCAAUAAGCUAGGACAUAUUGCUUUGAAAUUCCAAGAUAGUGGCUUGCAUUUAGAAAACCUUUAAAACACUCAGAAGGGUACUUGAUUAUUCGAACUCAACGAGAAAAGUGGCAACCCAAUAAGUUAGGGCACUACUUUCUCAAAAUUUCCAAACGCCAAGCAUUGCCUUUAUAUUUUUUGAAAACUUUGGAGUCUUGUUUUUUUUUUAAAAAAUGAUGCAUAAGGAAUCACAUUAUCACUAUAGAAUAGAAUAUUACAAUAAUAAGCGAAUAAAACAUGUAUUUUAGCGAUACAAUAGCAAUAAUACAAAAAAUCAUAUACUAGAUGCAUACGUGCUUAGAAUUACAUAACAUCAUAUAUACAAAGAUACAUAUAACCUAUAUUGAAGAUGGAUAAGCAAAACAUACAAACAUACAUAGCAAUAAUUAAGAAAUGCAUGAUACACAAUUUAAAAGAAAUAUAAUAUCGAUGUACAUGUUCACAAAAUAUAUCAUCAAAUAAUAAGUAUAAAAUAACAUUUAACACACAUGAUACAUACAAUAUAAAGAUACAUAAAAGAAUUAAUAUAUAUAUAUAUAAAUAUAAUAUAAAGUGAAUAAUUGUUAGCAAAAUAUACAUAUAAUACAAAUAAAAAUAUGAUAUUUAAUAAUAAUUUUAAAAUAGUAUUUAAUAUACAAUAUAUAUAAUAUUUAUAAAAGAAUAAUAAUUAUAUAUAUAAAAUAUAUUGGUUUAAAAGUAUGUAAAAGAAUUCAUAAUAUAAAAAUAUCAGUUUAAAAUGAAAUAAUACAUAAUAAAUAAAUAAUUAAUAAUUAAAUAUGAGUUAAAAAUAUAAUUUAAUUUACAAAAUUUAAAAUUAUAAAUAAUAUAAUGAAUAACAUAAACAUAGAUAAUAUAAUAGAUAAUACAUGAUAUAAAUAUAAGUAGUAUUUUAAUAAUAAUAUAUGUAUGGUUUUUUUUUUCAAAAUAAAUUAAUUAUAUAUAUAAAAUAAAAUAACAAAAUUCAAAUAAAAUAAAAUAAAAUAAGGAUUAAAAUUGAAUUUUAAUAGAAUUAUAAGGCUAAUUCGCAAAAUAAUAUAAGUUCUGGGCCUGAUUUGCAAGAAUUAAAACGACAAAGGACUCACUGGGCAAUUUGCCCUAAUCCUAAACGACGCCGUUUCCAGAAUGUAAUAACCGUUGGGACUAAAUUGAAACAAUUAUAAAAUAUUAGGGCCAAAUUAAAAUAGAAAUAAAUGAAACUACACGAUUUAGUAAACCGGAAGGAUCGAUUGGGCAAUUUGCCCGUUUAUCAAAAACACGCGGGUCCUUCCCGGGUAAUCGGGUCAACGCGCGGAUCCUAAGGCCUUUAUACGACGUCGUUUUGAGGCUUAUUGACUUAAGCCAAAACAGUGCCGUUCUAUUAAGGCUAUAUAAGCGAAUUUCUGUCUUUUUUGAAUCAUUUGAAACCUGUUCUAAAAAGAAAAAAGAAAAAAAACUCUCUGAAAGGUUCCCCGGUCCUCUGAGCUUCGGCCCUAGGCCGAUCUGCUCUGUUCAUCAGACCUUCGCAUUCAGAUCCACGCGUCGUCACCGACUCUACCACACACGACGGUCGAAACAUGAAAAGCUUCGCUUUUUAGGGCGAUUCUCAAGGUAUUUUCUUCCUCUGUCUAUUAAUAUAUUAUAUAUCGAUUGCUUGCGAUAAAAAUGAAAUAAAAACAGAAAAAGAGUAAUGAGUCACCUUCGUUUCUUGUGAAAUCUUUCUGGUAUAUUAUUCAAGAUGUUUGGUAUAUCGUUUAACGAAUCUCUGUAAGUAUAUUUCUAUUCCGUAAAAAAAAAGGGUCCUUUACACUGUUUUCAUUUGGGCUUUUAUAGCCACUACUAUUAUUACAUAAACUGGGAAAGAAAUCUUUUAUUUCUUUCCAUCUUUGUUUUGUUUGCUUGCUGUUGUGCUUCUUUCCUUUCUUUGCAGGUGCUCGCGAAAAAUCCAGUGAUGGAAGGGUCGCUGGCGUUGAUGGAGGCCUGAAGUCUAGUGGUGGUGUCGGUGAGGCGCUGAUUACAGAGGCAGAGCCUUGAGUGAUGGCCUCAAUUGGGGAGCUGAACAAACGCUCCUCGAACCUUCUAGAACCUGUUGCGGCGCGAGGGGAAAAAAAGUUAGGGUUGGAAACCUUAGCUGAUAAUUUUAGGUUUUGGGCCUCUGUUGUUUGGGUCUAGUUUAGGUCUGGGCUUUGAGUGUAUUUGGGUUGUAAGUGGGUCCACUGGGUAGCUUUAGGUCUGCUGGGUAGUAUCCGUGUUAAUGGGUCUAAAAUAUUUGAUUUUGGGCCCACUGUUUGGGCUUUGUAACAUGGACUUGGACUGUUAAAUAAACAAUUGUUUAUUUAUUUAUCCCUUUUUAUUUAGUUUUCAGCCCAGUCAAAUUUGGGCUCUUACAGUUGCCCCUCUUUGCUCAUUGCUGUGUAACAGGAAUUGAGCAAAGAUUUAGAGAGACCAAAUUUGACCGAUCUUAUUAUGGUCUUCAAUCUGCUUCUUGCAAACUCAAGAUUGUCAUGUUGAUAUCUUCGAUCUGCUCUCCGCCUAACACAGAGACGCCAAAUCUGCUUCUUUGAUUUGUUCUCUGACAAUACAGAGAUAACAAAUCAUCUUAGAUUUGUUUCAGUAUAAACACGUGAAAGCCAAAUCAGCUACAUCUUCGAUUUGUUCCUUGUAAGCACAUGGAUGCCAAAUCAUCCUGGAUCUUGCUUCAGUCUAAUCGUUUGAAGGUCAGAUCUGCUAUGUAUCUGCUCUCUAUUGAAGUAGAGAUGCCAGACUUCGAUUUGUUCUCUGACAAUACAGAGAUGACAAAUCAUCUUAGAUUUGCUUCAUCGUAAACACGUGAAAGCCAAAUCAGCUAUGUCUUCAAUUUGUUCCUUGUAAGCAGAAGGAUGCCAAAUCAUCUUGGAUAUUCUUCAGUCUAAUCGUCUGAAGGUCAGAUUUGCUGUGUAUCUGCUCUUCAUUGAAGUGGAGAUGCCAGACUUCGAUUUGUUCUAUGACAAUACAGAGAUAACAAAUCAUCUUAGAUUUGCUUCAUCGUAAACACGUGACAGCCAAAUCAGCUAUGUCUUCGAUCUGUUCUCUGCCAAUACAGAGAUGCCAAAUCUGGUAUCUUCGAUCUGCUCUUUGACAAUACGGAGAUGUCGAAUCUGCUCUCUUCAACUUGUUCCCUAUAAACACAGGGAUACCAUGCUGAAAUCUUCGAUCUGCUUCGUUUUAAGCACAGGAAUGUUAAAUCUUGUUUCUUUGGUCUACAUUGUCCCAUAAAAGACAUAACCUGUAGAAUGCGUAUGAGUUUAUACCUAAUAAUGCUAUGAUCGAAGUGAGUCAAUGCAAAAUGUUAUGAAAAUGAUUCCUAUUUCGGAUGUCAUCACUCCUUCUUUCAUCGAAGUUUAUCCUUACUUCUCUUAAAGUCUCAUUCCAACUCAACUUGUGGGUUUGUACCAUUCUUCAGAUGAUAUGACCCACUAAAAAUGUCUGUAAGAUAAUCCUCUCCUAGGAUCGAAUCGUUUGAUUUGUUCAAUCAUCAUUUAAACUAAAGAAAAAAAUUUCAGUUUCCCCGAGUACAUCCGACCCUCACAUAUGGGAAUUCCUUAAGCAAUUAUCUUAUUUCAGUUUCUUGUAUUAUCUAGAAAUUUCCAGAGUAAUAUGCAAAACUUCAUUUGUAAAGAUAUUUAGUUCAUCUAUUAUUAUUUCAAUACAACUUACUUAAAGAAUAAUGGAAGAUGAAUAAACUUUAUUGGAUUAAAAUGAAUUAUCGAAAAGAUACAAAAGAAAAUAAUUUGAAAACCUAUCUUUAAGAAGAAAUAAAAUCUAAAGAUAGCAAAUAGGACAAAAGUUAUAUGCCCAAGAUAUCGCCACUUGAGUGUUUAUACAGCAGCUCCAUGAAGUCUCUCUUGAGUUCAACAUGUGUUUAAAAGAUUCAAAGUACUUUGUUGAUGCCCCAGUAUGCAACGUGCUUCACUCUUUAUAGCAAGAUCACUGUGUACUUUUCAAAAUUUGAGCUGGCAUUUUGGGUUUUCAACUCAAAACCCCUUUGGUCACAAGGUGCCCUGGUUUUCACCUUGGCCUCUCCAUUUUUUUUAAAUCUCAAGGCGCCCUUUGUGGGUUUUCACCUUGGAUUCUCUUCUCCUUUAGACAAAGUAUUUUUUAACUGAGUCUGAGUUCACUGGGUUGGGUAAACUCUUCCUAUCCAUUUCUGUUAAGAUCAAUGCACCACUCAAGAAUUUUUUCUUCACGACAUAUGGCUCCUCCCAAUUCGGCAUCCAUUUCCCCCUAAAGUCUUUUUGAAUGAGAAGAAUCUUUUUCAAUACAAGAUCUCCCUUGUGAAACUCUGUUGGCUGAACUUUCUUAUCAUAAGCUUGCAUCAUUCGUUUCUGAUACAUCUGACCAUGACGAAUGGCUCUUAGCCUCUUUUCCUCAAUCAAGUUCAACUGGUCAUAUCGGGAUUGAACCUACUCAGCUUCAUCUAACUUUACAUCGGUUAAAAUUCGAAGAGAAGGUAUUUCUACUUCAAUAGGUAACACUGCUUCCAUCCCAUAAACUAGCGAGAAUGGAGUUGCCCCAGUAGAGGUUCUAUCAGAUGUUCGAUAGGCUAGGAGUGCAAAUGGCAAGUUCUCAUGCCAAUCUCUAUAGGUCUCAGUCAUCUUCCCCACUAUUUUCUUAAUAUUCUUGUUGGUAGCUUCUACUGCCCCAUUCAUUUUUGGACGAUAGGGAGAAGAAUUGUGAAGUUUGAUCUUGAACUGGUCGCAAACCUCUGCUAUCGUUUAGUUGUUCAAGUUCAAUGCAUUGUCGGAUAUGAUCCUCUCAGGCAUUCCAUACUGACAAAUGAUCUCCUUCUUAAAGAAUCGACUCAUAGCUGGCUUAGUAACAUUCGCAUAAAAAGCAGCCUCUACCCAUUUUGUAAAGUAAUCAAUUACCACGAAGAUAAGCCGAUAUUCAUUCGAAGCUUCUGGUGAUAUUGGUCCAAUGACAUCCAUGCCCCACAUAGAAAACGGCCAUGGAGAAGUCAUAACAUGUAAAGAUGAAGGUGGUACAUGAAUUUUAUCCUCAUAAAUCUGGCACUUAUGGCAUUUCUUGGUGUAGUUGAUACAGUCCCCUUCCAUAGUGGCCCAAUAAUAGCCAAACCUCAUGAUUUGCCUUGCCAUCAUGAACCCAUUUGCAUGCGUCCCACAUACACCUUCAUGAACCUCUUUUAAAAUUAGUUUAGCUUCCACAGCAUCGGCACAUCUCAAAAUACAUGGUCUUUCCGUCUCUUGUACAGGAUAUCUCCAUCUAAAACAUAGUCACAAGCUAACCUCCUUAAAGUUCGUUUGUCAUUUUCACUGGCCUGUUCAGGGUAUUUACGAUCUCUCACAUAUCACAAUAUAUCUUAAUACCAAGGGUUAUUGUCAUUUCCUUCCUUCUCAAUAUUACAACAAUAAGUUGGAGCCUCGUAGACACUCAUUUGAAUUGGCUUCAUCUUUUCUUCUUUAUUCGCCUUGAUCAUUGAGGCCGAGGUUGCUAAAGCAUCUACCAUCUGAUUUUCGUCUCGUGGGAGAUAAUUGAAGGUGAUGUCAUCAAACUCCUCAAGUAACCCCAAAACUACUUUUCGAUAACAGAUCAAUUUAGAGUCCCUUGUCUCCCAUUCGCCUCUAAGCUGAUAAACUACCAACGCAGAAUCUCCAUAUACUUCUAGGGUUUUUAUACCUCGCUCUAUAGUUGCUUGAAGUCCCAUGACGCAUGUUUCAUACUCAGCCAUAUUGUUCGUGCAAUCAAAGUCCAACUUGCACGUGAAAGGGUAAUGAUUGCCAUUUGGGGAUACUAAGACUGCCCCAAUUCCAUUUUCGACUGUAUUAGAAGCCCCAUUAAAAUUUAACUUCCAAGGAGGAUCCUCGGUCUUUGCUAUGCACAUUAACUCCUCAUUUGGAAAAUCAAAGUUCAAUGGCUCAUAAUCCUCUAGAGCCCUACUGGCCAAGAAAUCUGCCACCGCAUUUUCUUUUAUAGCUUUCUGACUUAUGUAGACUACAUCAAACUCUGAAAGCAAAAUUUUCCAUCUCGCCAUUCUCCCAUUUAGAGCCGUUGACUCCAUCAUGUAUUUCAAUGGAUCAAGCUUUGAGAUGAGCCAAGUGGUUUGGUAUAGCAUGUACUGUCUUAAUCUUCGACUUGUCCAAAUCAGCGCAAAACACAACUUUUCAAUCGGUGGAUAUCUCAUCCCACUGUAAGUGAAUUUCUUACUGAGAUAAUAAAUUGCCUUCUCCUUCUUCCCUGACUCGUCAUGCUGGCCAAGCACACAUCCCAUGGAAUUACUGAACACUGACAAGUAAAGCGUUAAAGGUUUAUCUGGGCUAGUAGAGAUAAUACCGGAGCAUUCAACAAAUACUGCUUGACCUUUUCAAAAGCAUUCUGGUAUUCCUUAUCCCAAGUUCCUUGGUUGUGCUUUUUGAGGAGGCGAAAGAUAGGAUCGCAUUUCUCAGUCAGUUGUGAAAUGAACCGAGCGAUGUAAUUCAACCUUUUUAGGAAUCCUCGAACUUCCUUCUGAGUACGUGGCGGAAGUAACUCUCGUAUGGCUCUGACUUUGUCUGAGUCAACUUCAAUUCCUUUUUCACUGACUACAAAACCUAAUAACUUUCCUGAUCUGGCUCCAAAGGUACACUUUGCUGGAUUGAGUUUCAACUGAAAUUUUCUCAACCUCAGGAACAAUCUUCUUAAGACCUCAAUGUGCUCUUUUUCUAUACGCGACUUGGCAAUCAUAUCAUCGACAUAUACCUCAAUAUCCUUAUGCAUCAUGUCGUGGAACAAGUUCACCAUGGCCCGUUGGUAUGUUGCUCCUGCAUUUUUUAGUCUAAACGGCAUUACUUUGUAGCAAAAGGUGCCCCACAAGGUUAUGAAGGUGGUUUUAUCCAUGUCCUCUGGAUGCAUCUUUAUCCGGUUGUAUCCUGAGAAACCAUCCAUGAAGGAGAACAACGAAUAUCCCGCUGUGUUGUCUACUAAAGUGUCAAUGUGUGGUAAAGGAAAAUUAUCCUUUGGGCUUGCUUUGUUCAGAUCUCUGUAAUCAACACACAUUCGUACCUUCCCAUCCUUCUUAGGAACAAGCACAAUGUUAGCUACCCAUUCGGAGUACUUCACUUCUUGCAAGAAUUCUGCAUCGAACUGUUUCUUGACUUCAUCAUUUAUUUUCAGAACGAUAUCUGGCCUCAUUCUUCGCAACUUCUGUUAGACUGGCUUACAAUCCUGUCUUAUCGAAAGACGAUGUACUGCAAUAUUGGUACUCAAUCUGGGUAUAUCCUGAUAUGACCAGGCGAAGAUAUCCUUGAACUCUCGAAGCAACUCAACCAGACUAUGCCUUGUGUCCUUGCUAAUUAGGGUUCUGAUUUUCAACUCCUUCCCUUCCUCUAAGGCUAUAUUCUCUAUUGCCUCUUUCUCAUGUGGCAUGAUUUGUUUUGCUCUUGCUUUACCAUUCUUAACAGAUCGAGAGAUACGUCAUAAUCUUGAACAUCUUUCAAAUCCUGAGGUUCCUCUAAACACAUGUCUUGCUCGCCAGAGAAAUUAGGAGCUGCAGUAUUGGUACUCAUAUCAUUGAUAUCUAGGGACCUGUGAGGGUAUUAAAGAAUAUACAAAGAAUGAAUGAAUCUAAGAAUGAUUGUUUAUGUGCUAUGAAUAAAGAAAAAGAAUUUCCAAAAUUUAAAGGAAUAUUGGUUGAUAAAAAUGAAGCCAUACUCGUUUAAAUUGAUAAAAGUUAUGUUUUAUUUAAAUAAUAAUAGAUGAACAUAAGCCUCUUUUCACAAAUGUAAUCUUACUAUUCCUAGGCCCUCGAGUAACAAACAUGUUUCGAUGAAAAAUUUCUAAAGAGUAAGAAAGGUCCUCCGCAGUCCAAUUAUUCAGAGAGCUCCCCAGUUCGUAAGGGCGAAUGCUCUCGAGGUUUCCUUACUCCGAUCCCUCAUUGUGUAUAGAAUUAACUUGAUGACUUUCCUCUAUCAGCAAUCCUCCUAACUUAAAGGAUUUGGAUAUAGGUGGGAAUGCCAUCGAUUCCCACUCUACUUCUCUUCCAUUCAAACGCGCCUUUCUUCUUGCUUGGCGCUUCUAAAUUUCUUGCCUCUUGUGCUUGUGGUCUGGCUUGAAGCCCAAGCCAGAGGGACCCUUCUUCUCAAUCAGUUUUGGGAUCUGAAUCCCACUUUGCAACUGUCUUCCUAGUCCUUUUCCUGACAAUGCUCCUUUUCCCAUCAUCAUUUGCAGGGCCAUCCUUGUGGCUCUAGACAUAUUGGGUACCGGCACCUCACUUCCUUCCAAAAUAAAGGUUGCAUUAAUGAUUUCUAAAGAGCGGAAAGAACACUCUAUAGCCUCUUCAUUUGCCUCAACAUAAGGUUGCAUUAAUGAUCUUUGUUCACAUAUCCAGUCAUCCUCCUACAAAACAUUGUUAUGUGUGCCUCUGGACAAGUAGUCUCGUUGUACUUUUCAAACUCUGGCAUCUUAAAUUUAUGAGGAAGCACCAAAUCUGAAACCAAACUUAAGUCUUUGGCAUCAAUCCCUUAAUGAUUGCCUGCACCUUCUAAAACUAUAAACUUCUCCUCUAACCACCUGCAACGAUCUUCCAAUUGUUUCGCGGAUUCAGUUGCCAUUCUUUCCUUCUCCAUCAAAUCCAGAUUAGGAGUGAUAGGGUUGAUCGAGCUAUCACCUAAAUUAUUUCCCAACCCAGAUGGGAAAUUUACAGGGAUUCCAGUAUCCGUUGGCCCAUGUUGAGGCCUCACAGUGACAGAUGGUCUUCUAAGAGGUGCCUCGGUUUGCAGUGGCACAUGAGGCAGAGUAAAACCCGGAGGAGGACCUUCAUUCUCCUCUUCAGUGAUUGCCAUGGGAGCUUUUCCUUUAUCAGUUGUUCUCAGCAGCUGAGCCAUUUCAGCCAUCAUGUUCCUCUGAGCCUCUAGCAUUUGCUCCCUCAUUUCAUUCUGCAUUUUGGCCAACUGCUCUUGCAUUUGGUCUUGCAUAUCUUUUUGUAAUUGCUCGAACCUUUGAUCCAUACUCUUAGUUUUAGUGUGAGUGCCGUAAGGAUGUGUGAUUUCUAGAUUUUCUUUUCUACCUUCGGAAGUAAACUUUACCUAAUCAGGGUCUUUCUAUAACUUUGAAUGCAAACGAUAUGAUGAAAUGCUAUGAGAUGCAAAUGCAUGAAUGCAAAAAAGAUAUCGAUUUUGGUUCAACUUCAGUUAGAAAAUUUUAUUUAGAAAAAGAACAUCUUUACAUAUAAGAGGAUUGCAAAUACGCUUUCGCCCUAAGGCCCAAAGCUUUAACUCUAUCUAAUAAAAGGGCUAACUCUCGUCCUAUAUCCGUCAAUAAUGAACACAUCAGACUCAAUACAUCAGCUCGAAUUGCCAAGUUUUACACAUAUUCAACGACCUCUCGAAUCUGGGCUAUGGCUUCACCUAUGACAUGAUCCCUUUCUCCGACCUGUCCUCUAGCCUGAUGAAGCUCUCCCUUCAGAUAAUCUUAUUGCGUCUCGAGCUACUCAACCUGGAGUUCACCGUCAUGCAAUGCCACCUCCAAAUCCUAAACCUUGCUUUUUAACUCCUUUAACUCAACCGUAGAAUUAUGGUUUUGGUGCCAACGUAGGGAUCUUCCAAGCUCAAUUACCUUAGUUUUCAACCCUUUAUUCUCUUCCUCUAAUGCCAAAUUCUGCACCUGCAUCUCCUGGAACUUCCUUUCCCAAUACUCGGCUCUAGCCUUUUCGUCUUGGACCUCUUUCUGCAACUAAUCUGAAGAUCCUCCUACUCUCGCCCUCCUUAAGGAUACUUGUUCCCUUUUGUAAUGUUCAUUUAGAUCAUCUCGAUCUUCCUCAAUUUUCCUCUUUUCUUUCAUUUCCUUCUCGACCUCCAUCUUUUGAACCUCGACGUCCAAACUCAAGUACAUCUUUUCUUCUUCAAGCUUUGCUAUCAUCUUCUCGAACUCCAAGUUCUUUCUCUCGAACUCUUGCUUCAUAAUUUCUAACUCUGAGGACCUUACUUGCAAAUAUUCCUCUAUCGGUCGAGUUCCUUCCAUGCUAGGCUUAGGGAUGUUAUCGUUAACCCUUCUGCCUCUCCAUUCAACGUAUUCUGGUAUGGUUGCAGGGCUAAUUGCUACUCCUUUCAACCGACAAGUCUUUUUCCAAGCACUAGAACCUUCACUAACCUUCCUCUUGUAACCGGCUCCUCUGUAUACAAACUCACUUUGAGCCAACCCUUGAGUCACUGGUACGAACUGUCUCAAUCCAUGCUGCCUCAGCACGAGCAAAGGGGCAUAACCAAUGACACCCCAAAUUCCUAGCAGGGGGACCCAAUCAAAACUGCUGCAUCAAUAAAGAACCUCACCAAGAAUCAUCCUCGGAGCCCUCCACUCGACAUCUUUUGACUGAAGGUUCUGAAGUAGCGCUAUCCAAUUCUCUUCUGGAACAUCAACUCUCCUAGUUAAAGCUACUAUGUCUUUCAAUGGUGAAUAAUCCUCGAAGAAGACCUGACAAACCACCCUAUCUAUCAACCGAAUAUAACUGUAGAACCAAGCCAAAAGCAACUGAGCACACCCUAUAAACCUGCCAGCACCAGUUCUCCUACAUGCACCUAAAGAUCUGAAUGUUUCCCCCAAAAUUAUAGGGACAGAAGUGACCUUUUUACCAAGUCGAUGAAAAAGAUCCGUGGUUGCCUCAUCCACAUAUCCCAAAGCCCUACGGAAAACUAUCAAUCCAUACAAACUUAAGGCAAAAAUAUCUACCUUUUUCGUUUCAUCAGGGUGUAUCAGAAUCAAAUCUUUCAAAGUGUCCCACGAAAUGCGCUUGCACUCACUCUUUUCUUUAAUUCAGGCUGUGGCCCACUGGUCGUUCAUCCCCGUAAUAAUCAUCAACUUCUUCCAAAAGUUAGGGACACAAGCAGUUCGAGAAUAGAUCCUAUCGUUCUGAAACCUGGGACAACGAAGCAAGGCAGUGUAGUCCUCCACAGUAGGUACCAAGUCUACUUCCCUAAAAGUGAAACAACUAUACACCGGGUUCCAAAACUGAGCAAGGGCUCGGAAUAAGUGCUCCUCUACCUGAACAUCAAGCUAGUAAGGUAAGUCUCCGUAAUUAUCGUAGACUAACUGCUUGGUCUUUUUGCCCCACCGAUCCCAAAUUUCCUUAAGCUCUUGGAGAUUAUUCUGUGUGACGCUAAUACGAGUGUAAUCUGACAACUCCGACACGUAUCCCACAGCUAUACUAUCUCCCUUUUCUAGUUGAGUUUGCUCAGACCAUCUAUGAACAUUGGCGUUGCCUUCCACUCUAUCAAGAAGUCCGUUCUCCAUAAUAAAACUUCCUAACUUAGAAACUGAUCGUGAAUCGAUACCUUUGUAAAUGCAAGAUGACAUGCAAACAAAAGAAAAGAAAUAGUCAGUAUUACAUGAUAUCAAUAAAUCUCAACGAUAACUUAUAAGGGUAAUAUCAAAAGUUUAAACCUAACUAAGUUGGGCUCUUACGGUCUUUCGAUAUGAGGUUGGUUCUAAAGUUUGAGGUACCCGAACCAGCAGAUUCCUCGAUUCUCACCCAUUAUAGGCUCAUUUGAAUCGAGUUCGAUUCAGGGGAAUACAUUUCCCUAUGGCUACACGGAGAUGAAAAUCUCACGAAACCAUAGGUACGGAUGUAUCCCAAAAGUGAUUCACUACCUUGCACGGAGGUGAAAACCUUACGAAGGCGUAGCUUCUCACUCCCACUUAAGGGUGUGACCACAACGGUCAUGCAAAUGCAAUGCAUAUCAGAAUAUAGCAACACAUGCAAUAAUACAAACACAUGUAAUGCAAAGAGGAUUAAAUUUUAAAAUUUUUAAUUUUUGACAUUAAGACAAGAGAUAAUCAAUUACACGGCUUGACUCUCUUAUUGGUCCCCAGUAGAGUCGCCAAGCUGUCGAAACCAUUUUUAAAUCGAGUUUUGGAAAAUGGGAAUUGACUUUGAGAAAAACGAAAACGGGAGUCGCCACCAAUCUUUUUAGGUGUGAUUGGAUCACCUUAUAAAAUGUUUUGUUUUAAAACAUUAAUUUUGGUCUACGAAAGUCGAGAAAACGGAUUCGGGAGUCGGUUACGUACGAGGAAGGGUUAACACCCUCGUAACGCCCAAAAAUUGGUACCUAAUUGAUUAUCAAGUGUCUUUAAUGUCGGAAAUUGAAAAAUUUUAAGAUGUAGUCCUCUUUAAAAAUAUUUUAAUUUUGAAAAUUGGGGUUCACUCGUAUCAAAGUAUUGUCACUAAGUUAACCCUUUUUGGAAAUUCCUAUCUCGAAACAACAAAACGCUAUAUCCAAUAAGCUAGGACAUAUUGCUUUGAAAUUCCAAGAUAGUGGCUUGCAUUUAGAAAACCUUUAAAACACUCAGAAGAGUACUUGAUUAUUCGAACUCAACGAGAAAAGUGGCAACCCAAUAAGUUAGGGCACUACUUUCUCAAAAUGUCCAAACGCCAAGCAUUGCCUUUAUAUUUUUUGAAAACUUUGGAGUCUUGUUUUUUUUUAAAAAUGAUGCAUAAGGAAUCACAUUAUCACUAUAGAAUAGAAUAUUACAAUAAUAAGCGAAUAAAACAUGCAUUUUAACGAUACAAUAGCAAUAAUACAAAAAUCAUAUACUAGAUGCAUACGUGCUUAGAAUUACAUAACAUCAUAUAUACAAAGAUACAUAUAACCUAUAUUGAAGAUGGAUAAGCAAAACAUACAAACAUACAUAGCAAUAAUUAAGAUAUGCAUGAUACACAAUUUAAAAGAAAUAUAAUAUCGAUGUACAUGUUCACAAAAUAUAUCAUCAAAUAAUAAGUAUAAAAAUAACAUUUAACACACAUGAUACAUACAAUAUAAAGAUACAUAAAAGAAUUAAUAUAUAUAUAUAAAUAUAAUAUAAAGUGAAUAAUUGUUAGCAAAAUAUACAUAUAAUACAAAUAAAAAUAUGAUAUUUAAUAAUAAUUUUAAAAUAGUAUUUAAUAUACAAUAUAUAUAAAAAAUAUUUAUAAAAGAAUAAUAAUUAUAUAUAUAAAAUAUAUUGGUUUAAAAGUAUGUAAAAGAAUUCAUAAUAUAAAAAUAUCAGUUUAAAAUGAAAUAAUACAUAAUAAUUAAAUAAUUAAUAAUUAAAUAUGAGUUAAAAAUAUAAUUUAAUUUACAAAAUUUAAAAUUAUAAAUAAUAUAAUGAAUAACAUAAACAUAGAUAAUAUAAUAGAUAAUAUAUGAUAUAAAUAUAAGUAGUAUUUUAAUAAUAAUAUAUGUAUGGUUUUUUUUUCAAAAUAAAUUAAUUAUAUAUAUAUAAUAAAAUAACAAAAUUCAAAAAAAAUAAUAUAAAAUAAGGAUUAAAAUUGAAUUUUAAUAGAAUUAUAAGGCUAAUUCGCAAAAUAAUAUAAGUUCUGGGCUUGAUUUGCAAGAAUUAAAACGACAAAGGACUCACUGGGCAAUUUGCCCUAAUCCUAAAAGACGCCGUUUCCAGAAUGUAAUAACCGCUGGGACUAAAUUGAAACAAUUAUAAAAUAUUAGGGCCAAAUUAAAAUAGAAAUAAAUGAAACUACACGAUUUAAUAAACUGAAAGGAUCGAUUAGGCAAUUUUCCCGUUUAUCUAAAACACGCUGGUCCUUCCCAGGUAAUCGGGUCAACACGCAGAUCCUAAGGCCUUUAUACGACGUCGUUUUGAGGCUGAUUGACUUAAGCCAAAACGGUGCCGUUCUAAUAAGGCUAUAUAAGCCAAUUUCUGUUUUUUUUUGAAUCAUUUGAAACCUGUUCUAAAAAAAAAGGAAAAAAACUCUCUGAAAGGUUCCCCGGCCCUCUGAGCUUCGGCCCUAGGCCGAUCUGCUCUGUUCAUCGGACCUCCGCGUUCAGAUCCACGUGCCGUCACCGACUCCGCCACACACGACGGUCGGAACCUGAAAAGCUUCGCUUUUCAGGGUGAUUCUCAAGGUAUUUUCUUUCUCUGUCUGUUAAUAUAUUAUAUAUCGAUUGCUUGUGAUAAAAAUGAAAUAAAAACAGAAAAAGAGUAAUGAGUCACCUUCGUUUCUUGUGAAAUCUUUCUGGUAUAUUAUUCAAGAUGUUUGGUAUAUCGUUGAACGAAUCUCUGUAAGUAUGUUUCUAUUCCGUAAAAAAAAAGGGUCCUUUACACUGUUUUCAUUCGGGCUUUUAUAGCCACUACUGUUAUUACAUAAACUGGGAAAGAAAUCUUUUAUUUCUUUCCAUCUUUGUUUUGUUUGCUUGCUGUUGGUUCUUUCCUUUCUUUGCAAGUGCUCGCGAAAAAUCCAGUGAUGGAAGGGUCGCUGGCGUUGAUGGAGGCAUGAAGUCUGGUGGUGGUGUCGGUGAGGCACUGAUUACGGAGGCAAAGCCUUGAGUGAUGGCCUCGAUUGGGGAGCUAAAGAAACGCUCCUCGAACCUUCCAGAACCUAUUGCGGCGCGAGGGGAAAAAAUGUUAGGGUUGGAAACCCUAGGUGAUAAUUUUAGGUUUUGGGCCUCUAUUGUUUGGGUCUAGUUUAGGUCUGGGCUUCGAGUGUAUUUGGGCUAAGGUUGUAAGUGGGUCCACUGGGUAGGUUUAGGUCUGCUGGGUAGUAACCGGGUUAAUGGGUCUGAAAUAUUUGAUUUUGGGCCCACUGUUUGGGCUUUGUAACAUGGAUUUGGACUGUUAAAUAAACAAUUGUUUAUUUAUUUACCCCUUUUUAUUUAGUUUUCAGCCCGGUCAAAUUUGGGCUCUUACAGUCAACAUUAAAAUUUAUUGCUAAAUGUUGUAUGACCAUUACUAAGAUUUUAUUUAAACAUAAAAAAAACCGUUGCGAGGUCGUUAUGUAUACAUCCAUUGUAUAAAAUAUGCACAACGAUUUUACAAAUUGAAAAGUCGUUUUAAUUAUAUAUAUCGCAACGACUUUUCUCGUUUUAAAAUAUAUAUAUUUUUUAUAACGACUUAAUUUAUUUAUCUAAAAAUGUUUUAGCUAUAGUAAAAUUUGUUAUAAUAUCUUUAACACAACCAUAAUACUUUAGUUACCAAAACUAUUACGUAACAAUAAUAUAUUGGUUGUAAUAUAAAAUUUGCAACAUCUGUAAAUUAAAAUGUUAAGUUUUGUACGUAACAAUAAAAAUAUUUUAAUAACCAUAAAAUGUGGUUGCCAAAUCAUUUACUUAAGAACAAUACUAAUGGUUACUACAUAUUAUUCUGCAACUAUUUUAAUUUGUUGUGUAUUACAUUGUAAAACAACAAUAUUAUUUUUAAUCAAAUGGUUAUAUAUAACUUAAUAAAAUUUAAAAAAUAUUCUUAAUAUUAAAAAAAAAUUCUUCAUGUUAAAUUGAAUUGACAUUGAGGUUAUAUAUAGUCAUUGGUCAUGUCAAAGAGAAUAGCUCUACUAAAAUAAAAAAAAAUUAUUUUAUUAAAAAAUUAAAAAAUUAAUUGCAGCAUGGUGGUCGCGUAAUCGAUGAAUUUAUCAAAUAAAAUAAUAAUUUUAAUUUCAAAUUAAAAAUAAAAAUCACUUUAAAAAAAUUGACAUAAUAAAAGUGGUGUGACCAAUUUAUUUGGCUCAUGAAAUAUUAUUAUCUAUUUUCUAGUUCCCAAAAUAUUUAAAAAUAUUAAUAUUAGAGUGGUAUUUAUACGGGUGAAGCCAAAUAAAUUAACUUUACCUACAAAAAUUGAUUUUUUUGUUAUAAAAUAAAGAGAGAUGGAGAGAAUGAAGAACAAAGAAAAUAUGAAAGUAAUAGAGAAUGUACUUUAUUGAUCAAAGGGAUGAUUACAAUGCUUCAUCGGAGUCUCUAUUUAUAGGCAUAAGAAGUAUAAAAGAAGUAGAGAUCUAAUUCUAAUAACUAUUAGAAUUUAAAGUACAUGAAAAAUUUAUCUUGAUCAUGAUGGACAUCCACUAAAUAAGAUAUAAAAACAUUCUCCCUUGGAUGUCCAUUGGUAGAUAAUGUGCCUCAUUAAAACCUUAUUAGGAAAAAUCCUAUGGGAUACAAACCUAAUGAAGGAAAAAAGAGUACACAAUCUUCUAUUACAAGCUGCCUCAUUAAAAACCUUUACCAGGAAAACCCAAUGACACAAUACAUUGGUUAAAGGAAAAGAGUACAACUUAUUUUAGACUCCUCCUAAUGGUAAAAUUACAUUACAUCUUUGAGUUGACGCAUUCCAAUCUUGUAUAGUAGUCUUUCAAAUGUUGAAGUUGGCAAUGCCUUAGUAAAAAUAUAUGCUAAAUUAUCACUAGAAUGAAUUUGUUGAACAUUUAUAUUACCUCUUUUCUCAAGAUUAUGGGUGAAGAAUAAUUUUGGCGAAAUAUGUUUUGUUCUAUCACCUUUGAUGUAACCACUAUUCAAUUGAGCUAUACAUGCUUCAUUAUCUUCAUAUAAGAUAGUUGGCAUCUUUUCCUGUAAAGGCAAAUUACAUAUCUUUUGAAAUAUGUUGGGUCAAUAACCUUAGUUAAAGACACUCUCGACUUGCCUCAUUCAUUGCAAUUAUUUCUACAUGAUUUGAAGAAGCAGAAGCUAAUGUUUUCUUUGUCGAACGCCAUGAUAUGGUAGUACCCUCUCACAUAUAAAUAAAUAUCCUGUUUGAGAUCGACCUUUAUGUGGAUCUGAUAAGUAUCCAGCAUCAGCAUAGCCAACUAAUAGGGAUUUUGAAUCAUUUGAAUAAAAUAACCCCAUAUCAAUGCUCCCUCUGAAAUAUCUAAAUACAUGUUUUAUUCCAUUGCAAUGUCUAUAUGUUGGAGAAGAACUAAAUCUUGCUAACAAGUUUGCAGUGAAAGCUAUAUCAGGUCUUAUGUUGUUUGUAAGAUACAUCAAUGCCCCUAUGGCACUUAGAUAUGGUACUUUAGGACCAAGAAACUCUUUAUUAUUCUUGUAAAGAUGAAAUUGAUCUUUGUUCACAUCUAACGACCGUACAACCAUCGGAGUAGUUAAUGGGUGUGCUUUAUCCAUGCAAAAUUUCUUUAAUAUCUUUUUCAUACAAGUUGAUUAAUGAACAUGAAUUUCGUCUUUUAAAUGCUCGAUUUGUAAUCCAAGAUAAAACUUUGUUUUUCCAAGAUUUUUCAUCUCAAAUUUUUUCUUUAAACAAUUUAUUGUAUUUUGAAGCUCUUCAAGAGUUCCAAUAAUAUUUAGAUCAUUAACAUAAACAACAAUUAUCACAAAAUCUGAUCCAAACCUUUUUAUAAAGACACAUGGAUAAAUUAGAUCGUUUUUGUAAUCUUCUUUUAACAAGUGUUCACUAAUACGAUUGUACCACAUACGCCCAAAUUGUUUUAGUCCAUAUAAACUUUUCUUUAAUUUGAUUGAGUAAUUUUCUUAAGAAACUCAAUAUCUUUUUGAGAUUUUAAAUCCUUCAGGGAUUUUUAUAUAAAUUUUGCUAUCAAGUGUACCAUAUAAAUAGGAUGUAACAACAUACAUUAGAUGCAUGUCAAGUUUUUCACGUACUGCCAGACUAAUAAGAUGUCUCCUCAUAAUCAAUGUCGGGCCUUUACGAAAAUCCUUGUGCUACAAGGUGAGCUUUAUAUCUUAUGACUUCAUGUUUUCAUUUUGUUUUUUCACAAAUACCCAUUUAUAUCCUACCAACUUUACAUCUUUAGGUGUUUUGGACUAGAGGUCUAAAAACUUCACGUUUAGAAAGUGCAUUCAAUUCUGCUUGAAUUGCAUCUUUCCAUUUGACCAAUAUUUUCCAUUUUCAUAUUCCUUAGUAGAUUUAGGCUCAGGAUCCUCAUUUUCUUUUGUUAUUUCAAUAGCAACAUUAUAAGCAAAAUUGUUGUUCUCAACUACAUUUUUUUCGGUUCCAUAUUUUUCUCGUAUUGGCAUAACUUAUCGAGAUCUCUUUAUUUUCAUCAUUUUCAUUUUCACUUUUAGGUACCUGAAUCUCUUCUUGAGUUUUAUAAUUAUUUAUGUCAUGGGUCUCUUCAGGAACUCCUGCCUCCACUAUAUGACCAUAUUGAAUGUUUGCUUCUUUUCUUUUACGAGAAUUUUUAUCUUUGGAACCGACCAGUCUUCCACGCUUUAGGCAUGGAUUACUAUAUUUUGCGCUAAUAGUUUGCCUUAUUAGGACAUCAAUUCGUAUUAAAGCAUUUUCAGUUGGUAUGUCAGAUUUAAUGAAUUUGGCAGUUGAUUUGUAAAAUGAAUUAUCUGUUGAACUUCUGGUUCACGUUGCUUUGUACGAGGAUAUUAGACACUGAUAAUUCAUUUCAAAUGCUUUAAUAAUCCAACUUUUUAUUCUCUCCCUCUAAUGUUAGGAAAACUGACAGCUCAUGUCAUAACUAAAUACCGAAUUAAUAGCUCAAAAAUAAUAUAAAGAGACUCAUAUAAAUAUAAAUUCCCAAUCUCUUAUUAUUACACAUCUUUGUACGUUGUGGUGGAGCAGUUGGAACAUAUAUCGCACAUCCAAAAAUUGUAAGAUGGAAAAUAUUUGGCUCUUGACCAAAAAUCAAUUGUAAUAGGGGGUACUUACAAUUUAUUAGCUUGAUGCGUACAACAUAUAAAUCAAUACAAUCUCAUGCUGAAAUAGAAAGUUUUGUUCUUAAAAGUAAUGAUUUAGUUAUUAGUUAGAGUGAUGCGAUCUAGCCUCGGUUUAAUGAGUUGAGUGGCUUUCAUUGCCUGAUUGUCUAAUGAUAAAGUUUCGUUCGUUAUUGUGAAGAUAGGAGGAUAGUUGGCUAUGAAUGGGAAUCGAUGUUCAAUUAGGUUCAAAAGGGGUUAGGUUUAAUGUUUGGGUUCAGCUGUUAAGAAAGAAUUAGUAUAAGUUGAUAAUAAUUCGACUAAGAUGGAAAAAAUGGAAUAAAAAAAAGGCUCAAGAAACAAGAGUGAACCAACACUAUACUUAAGUGUUGACCCGAAACUUAUACGUUCUUAAGAUGGUUUGGUGAAGGAAAGAUAGAAACCUCGACCCACUAUCUAUGGGAGAUAGGAACCUUAGUAUAAAAUAGUUCGAACGCCACACUACUAAGGUGAUGAGUUUGGUUUAAAGAACUACGUUGACGCCACUAGCUACGUAGAUAAGUCAACAGAGUCUUUGGAUGAAGUUGAGAGAAGUUAAUCUCAUAAAAUACUUAGUUUUAUACAUAAAAAUGGAAAAAGUCCUUUACAAUGUGAAACGAGAUAAAAUUUAUAGGCAAUACAUGGGAUAGCCGAAUAGGCUCUUAAGGAAGCUAAAUAGUUAGAUGAAAAAUCCAGAAUUCUUUAAGAAGAUUCUUUAAAGUUUCUUGUACAUGGAGAACAACAAUGGGUAGCUUCUAGAUGUCUUAAUUCAGCUGGAAAAUUAAUUGGAAUAAUUGGAAGCUGAAAUGAAUUAAGUAGGUUCAGCCAUGUGCUUGAAUGUUCUUUAAUUGUACUGCUUGGUUCAGCCGAAUAGUCUAGGGAGUAAAUAAGCUGCUUAGGGCACUUCAUUGGUCAUGAGGUUUGAACAAGCUAAGUUGAAUGGUCAUUUGAAUGUGAACAAGCAAAAUCGAAUAGCCUUUGGUGUGAAAGGAAUAAUCGACUGGUGUAAAAACCCUUUAAUUUGCCUUUAGCAGCCAAUCAGCCAUCUCGGAGAGUUGAAGGGCUUGGCUGAAUAGUCACUUGGGAAACACCAAACAGUAGCACACCAUCAUUAAUCCAUCCAUGCAUCUAUCCCGUCCAAGGGGGAGUGUACCUACACCAAAUAAAUCAGUAAAUUAUAUUCCAUUUGGACACGUUAAUUCGACAGCAUAAAACACAUUAAACCUACUCCAUAAAUUUGGCCAAACAUAUUUAAGCCUUGUAAUAGAUUAAGACAUAUUAAAACAUUCAAUUAAUUAAGUACUUAAUUAGGACACAAUUAAAACACUUAAUUAAUUAUAUUGUCCAGAUUAUGACAAAUUAAUAACUAAAACUAGAUAACUAAUUUAACUAGAGACAAAUUAAAUAUCUUAUUCCAGCAUAAUAAACGCAAGCUAAAGUAAGCUAAAACAGACAAGCUCAUUGAGCUAAGGUUGAACUGGUUGAGCUUGAAGAAGAUUGAAAGGCUUGCUCUGCUUGCUGGUCCAAGAGCUUUCAAGAAGGCUAGUAAUGAUUUUGCCCUAAACUCUAUCAACUACGGCUGUUGUUGCAUCUUUGAACCUCUUAACCCAUGCUCGGGUUAUCGGACCUAAAGGUAGCUCGAGUGGAUCCAUGACAGCUCUUGGUAGCUCUUGGGACUUAGCAGUAUCAUUUCCCCUUUCUUCGAAGCGAUUUUUCCCCAAAUCGCCGCCUACAUCAUAAGGAGAUAAAUCAGAUACGUUAAAGCUCACGCUUAUGUUGUACUCACCUGAAAGUUUGAGCUUGUAAGAAUUAUCGUUAAUUCGUUCCAACACUUGGAAGGGUCCAUCACCUCUCGGUAAUAGUUUUGACCUCCGUUGAGCUGGAAAUCGUUCCUUCCUCAUGUGAACCCAAACCCAAUCUCUGGGUUCGAAUACAACUUGCUUCCUACCUUUGUUAGCCUUGUGCAUGUAUUGUUCGGUUCUCGCCUCAAUGUUGGCCUUUACUUUUUGGUUUAGUUGCUUCACAUACUCAGCCUUCUGUUUAGCAUCUACAUGAACAAGCUGAUCAUUAGGUAAAGGAAUUAAAUCAAGGGGAGUCAAAGGAUUGAAACCAUAAACAAUUUUGAAAGGUGAGUGUUUAGUCAUUGAAUGAACGGAUCUAUUAUAAGCAAACUCGAUGUGCGGCAAACACUCCUCCCAUGACUUAAGGUUCUUCCGAAUGAUAACUCGUAGCAAGGUAGACAAAACGCGAUUCACAACCUCUGUUUGGCCAUCUGUUUAGGGUUGACAAGCUGUUGAAAAUAGUAGCUUCGUUCCUAGCUUUCCCCACAACGACCUCCAGAAGUGACUAAGGAAUUUCGCGUCAUGAUCAGAGAUAAUUGUUCCCAGGAUUCCAUGUAACCUGACAACUUCCCUAAAGAACAAAUUAGCAACAUUAAUGGCAUCAUCAAUUUUUGAACAAGCUAUAAAAUGAGACAUCUUAGAAAAUCUAUCUACAACAACAAAGAUUGAAUCUUUUCCGGUUUUAGUCCUAGGUAAUCUAAGGACAAAGUCCAUGGAAAGGUCGACCUAAGGCUCUUUGGGUAUUUGUAGUGGCAUGUAUAGUCUAUGUGGGUUAAUCUUGGAUUUUUCUUUCUUGCACGUCACGCAUCGGGCACAAAUUUUCUCGACAUCCCUCUUUAUCCUCUGCCAAAAGAAAUGCUCUUAGAGUAUGGCCAAGGUCUUGGCUACUCUGAAAUGGCUCAUGAGGCUGCCACUAUGUGCCUCACUUGCCAGCAAAUCUCGAACUGAACUUUGUGGAAUGCAAAGCUUGCUUCUAGAAAGAAGAAGCCGUCACACCUAUAAAACUUAUCAACAGCGAUAUUUUCACAAGAUCUAUAAAUUUCACCAAAAUCAACAUCAGCAGCAUACAAGUCUUUCAAGAAAACAAAUCCAAGCAAUUUAGAGUCCAAAUAAGAUAAAGAGUGUAUCGUCUAGACAACACAUCAGCCACUAUAUUUUUCUUACCUUUCUUGUACUUUAUAAUAUAAGGAAAAUAUUCCAAAUAAGAUAAAAUAGUGUAUCGUCUAGACAACACAUCAGCCACUAUAUUUUCCUUACCUUUCUUGUACUUUAUAAUAUAAGGAAAAUAUUCUAAGAAUUCUACCCACUUAGCAUGUCGCUUGUUCAAUUUAGUUUGGCCCUUGAAGUGCUUCAACGCUUCAUGGUUCGUAUGGAUUACGAACUCUUUGGGCCACAAAUAGUGCUGCCAAGUUUCUAAGGCUCGAGUUAAGGCGUACAUCUCUUUGUCAUAUGUCGGGUAGUUUAACAUGGCUCCGCUCAACUUCUCAUUAAAAUAGGCCACAAGUCUCUCGUCUUGAGUUAGCAUGGCUCCUAUCCCGACUCCUGAGGCAUCACAUUCAAUUUUAAACAUUUUAGAAAAGUCAGGCAACACAAGCAAAGGUGCAUUAGUUAAACAAUCUUUAAUAGAAUUAAAGGAUUUCUUUUAUUCUUCAUCCUAAUGAAAAGCUAAAGACUUCUUGAUCACACUUGUUAAAGGUGCAUCCAAGGUGCUAAAUUUCGAGACAAAUCACCGAUAAAAACUUGCCAAGCCGUGGAAGCUCCUCACUUGGCUUAUGCUCGUUAGUCUAGGCAAUUCUCAGAUUGCUUUCACCUAGUCUUGGUCUAUCUCAAGUCCCUCCAAACUGACUACAAAACCUAAGAAAACAACCUUAUUAGUGCAAAAGGUGAAUUUCUUAAAGUUAGCAUACAAAGUUUCUUUUUGAAAGACUUCUAACACAGCCUUCAAAUGCAGCACAUGAUCAUCUAAUGAUUUACUAUAAAUAAGUAUAUAAUCAAAGUAGGCAACACAAAUUUUCCAAUGAAAGAGCGUAAAACAUGAUUCAUAAGUCGCAUAAAUGUGCUGGGCGCGCUGAUUCUUAAAUGCAAUUUUCCACUCGUCACCUUUGUGCAUUUGAAUUUGGUGAUACCCGCUCUUAAGAUCGAUCUUGGAAAACAGUUGCGCACCACUUAACUCAUCCAACAUAUCAUCUAGACGUGGUAUUGGAUGUCAUUACUUAAUAGUUAUCUUGUUUACUACGCUGUAGUCUACGCACAUGCGCCACAUUCUAUCUUUCUGUGGUACUAAUAAUACUGGUACAGUGCAAUGACUGAGACUUUCUUUUAUAUACCUCUUCUCCAUAAGCUCGUUCACUUGCAUUUGAAACUCUUUGGCUUCCUUAGGGUUGCUACGGUAAGCCGGGCGAUUCGGGAUUGAAACUCCGAGAAUGAAGUUAAUUUGAUGUUCAAUCCCUCGAACGGGUGGCAAUAGGGACUUCAUCCGGGAAUACGUCAUCAAAUUCCUGUAAAAGGGAAACAAUCGAAGAGGGAAAAUUUUGAUCCAAAUCGUUAGUGUUCAAAAGGUUUUCCUUGUAUAUAAGUACAAGAACCGGUUGCUUCAACAAAUAAGACUUUCAAAUAUCAUUCUCCUUUGCAUAAACAUUCAUUUUGCUGAACUCUUUCUCUCCACUCGUUUUCUUUUCACGCUCAUUGCUCUUUUCUCUUGGUUUGCUCACUUGUUUUCCUUUCUUUUUCUCAUUUUUCUUUUCUCUCUCUUUUUCACUCUUUUUUUUGGGUAAAUUACACUAAUAGUCACUCAAAUUUGGGGUAGCUAACAAAACAGUCACUUAGGUUUCAUAUCAGUCACUCAAUUUUUAAAAAAUAACAAAAUAGUCACUAACGUUAUAAAAAAAUGACAAAACAGUCACCGAUUAACAGUUUCUGUUAGGGGGUUAACGGGACUGCUGAUAUGGCAAGUUAACCAGCUGAUGUGGCAAGUUAACUUGCCACGUUGGAUGUACACAGUAAAACCCACCCAAUUUAAGAAAAAAUUGAAAAAAAAGGUUAAUAACAGAAAAGAAGAAGAAGAAGAAGAAGAAGAAGAGACUGUAAAAAAAAUCUUCUUUGCCUAAAUUUGGCCGGGUCUGAUUCUUUACCUCUUCCUCUAUAACCUUCCGCCAUUGUUGUCCCGACAAUAUCGAUCAUUCAAUUUCUUGGAUUUCCCAUGGACUCUAUCUCAAAAAAAAAUUCUUAUCUGUUCAAACAAAGUCUUCGCUACUGGGUUUAAGUCAAUGAGUUCUUCUGCAAAUCUCUACACUUUCUUUGUUUGGUAUUACAACACAUCUAGAAAUAACACACUUGUUUGGUCGGCUAAUAAUGAUUCUCCGCUGACCCAAAAUUUGUCUCUUGUCAUCGGCCACUGAUGGUGUAAUUUACUCGAGUAACAUAGCCAAGAAAAAAUUGAUGACAGGCAGGCAACUUGUCGUAGCAGCAGCUAUAGUUGCAGUGGUAUAAACAAAGGAGAUACCAUUGAGAUCCAAGCUUAAAGUUAUCCUGAAAUCUAAAAUUUCUCAAUAGUUGAUAUGAUUUCUUCCACUAUAAUGGCUGUGCAAAAACCUUAACAACAUCCAUAGCUCUUCCUUCUUUAGGCUUCUUCUUCCUACACAAACUAUUCAACAAAGUAGUAUAACUCAAUGAAUCUGGUACAAAUAUUUUAUUCAACAUAUCUUCUAACAAAUAUACAGCUUUAUUCACUUGACUCUUCUUGCAUACCCCUUACAUUAAUAUCCUAUAAGACUUGACAUCAGGCAUAACACCUCUCUCAAACAUUUUUUUGAACAGUUUGUACGCAAUACUUAAGUCCCCGUUCAAACAAAAUGCACCCAUCAAAAUGUUGUAAGAUUUGGUAUUUAUAGGCAAUCUUGAAAAGGUCAAAAAUAGGCAUGAUGAAGUCACGAUGAGAAACAAGCAGCUCGAGGAUAUGAUUGAAAUGUCUAGGUAAAGGCUUAACAUUGAAUUCAAGCAUUUUGUAGAACACAUUGAGAGCUUUCUGGGAUAAAUCAGUUUCAGCGUAGAUUUUGAUGAGGUAAGAAAAGAGAGUCGACAUAGAUUUUGAUCGGAUUUGAGACGAACGAGAAAGUUGUUGACAAGAUAGAAGUGCUUGGAACCACCGAGUUUGAGAAUGAGGAUGAAGAAGGAAGAGUAAGAAUGACAAAAACUGGGUUAGGUGGUGGCAACAUCGAAGAUUUCUUUAGCAAUGAGAGGGUCAGAUUAGGCGGUUAUCAGUUUAAAGACUCGCGUAGGGGAAGCUAUUGGCGACAGUGACGGUUAUCGUUGAUUUGAAAACUGGACACAUCUCUAUUUUUUCUCUUCUUCUUCUUAUUUUUCUCCUCCUUUUCUUCUUCUUCUUCUUCUUUUUCUCUUCUUAAACCCUAAAUUGGUGCUGAUAGGGCUGUUAAAUUGGUAAUAACCAGCCACCUGGAGACCGUCAUCUGCCAUGUCAUGUUGCCGUGACGUCUGUGAUGAAAAGGACUGUUUUGUCACUUUUUCAAAGCUGAGAGACUGAAAUGAAAUUAAUGUGACUGUUUUGUCAGCUACCCCAAAGUUGAGUGACUGUUGGUGUAAUUUACCUUUUUUUUAUUCAUUCUCUUUGAAUUUUUUAACGGAAUCUAUUAGUUUCAAUUGAUCUUCAUAGACUUGUCUUGGUGUCAAUGGAGCCAAAGUCAACAUUUUUCCCGAGGUGUUUGAAGGUGUAGCGAUUUGUAUAGCCACCAUAGAUAACUUUGUGAUCAAAUUGCCAUGGACGCCCUAACAACAGAUGAUGGCAUGCAUGGGCACCACGUCAUAAAGAACCUCAUCAGUGUACUUGUCGAUGGAAAAUGAAACUAAAACUUGUUUGGUCACCUUCAAUUCCCCACUGCCGUUGAGCCAUUGAAGUUUGUAGGGAUGAGGACGCUUAGUUGUUGGCAGACCGAGUUUUUCUAUCAUCAAAGUACUGGCUACGUUCAUGCAACUUCUGCCAUCCACGAUCAAAUUACACACCUUGCCUUGGACAUGGCAACGUGUAUGGAAGAUAUUCUCUCCUUCCUGCUCAUUCUCUAUGCUUUGAAGGUUUAAACUUCGUUUUUUCUCUUCUUCUUCUUAUUUUUCUCCUCCUUUUCUUCUUCUUCUUCUUCUUUUUCUCUUUUUAAACCCUAAAUUGGUGCUGAUAGGGCUGUUAAAUUGGUAAUAACCAGCCACCUGGAGACCGUCAUCUGCCAUGUCAUGUUGCCGUGACGUCUGUGAUGAAAAGGACUGUUUUGUCACUUUUUCAAAGUUGAGAGACUGAAAUGAAAUUAAUGUGACUGUUUUGUCAGCUACCCCAAAGUUGAGUGACUGUUGGUGUAAUUUACCUUUUUUUUAUUCAUUCUCUUUGAAUUUUUUAACGGAAUCUAUUAGUUUCAAUUGAUCUUCAUAGACUUGUCUUGGUGUCAAUGGAGCCAAAGUCAACAUUUUUCCCGAGGUGUUUGAAGGUGUAGCGAUUUGUAUAGCCACCAUAGAUAACUUUGUGAUCAAAUUGCCAUGGACGCCCUAACAACAGAUGAUGGCAUGCAUGGGCACCACGUCAUAAAGAACCUCAUCAGUGUACUUGUCGAUGGAAAAUGAAACUAAAACUUGUUUGGUCACCUUCAAUUCCCCACUGCCGUUGAGCCAUUGAAGUUUGUAGGGAUGAGGACGCUUAGUUGUUGGCAGACCGAGUUUUUCUAUCAUCAAAGUACUGGCUACGUUCAUGCAACUUCUGCCAUCCACGAUCAAAUUACACACCUUGCCUUGGACAUGGCAACGUGUAUGGAAGAUAUUCUCUCCUUCCUGCUCAUUCUCUAUGCUUUGAAGGUUUAAACUUCGUUUUUUCUCUUCUUCUUCUUAUUUUUCUCCUCCUUUUCUUCUUCUUCUUCUUCUUUUUCUCUUUUUAAACCCUAAAUUGGUGCUGAUAGGGCUGUUAAAUUGGUAAUAACCAGCCACCUGGAGACCGUCAUCUGCCAUGUCAUGUUGCCGUGACGUCUGUGAUGAAAAGGACUGUUUUGUCACUUUUUCAAAGUUGAGAGACUAAAAUGAAAUUAAUGUGACUGUUUUGUCAGCUACCCCAAAGUUGAGUGACUGUUGGUGUAAUUUACCUUUUUUUUAUUCAUUCUCUUUGAAUUUUUUAACGGAAUCUAUUAGUUUCAAUUGAUCUUCAUAGACUUGUCUUGGUGUCAAUGGAGCCAAAGUCAACAUUUUUCCCGAGGUGUUUGAAGGUGUAGCGAUUUGUAUAGCCACCAUAGAUAACUUUGUGAUCAAAUUGCCAUGGACGCCCUAACAACAGAUGAUGGCAUGCAUGGGCACCACGUCAUAAAGAACCUCAUCAGUGUACUUGUCGAUGGAAAAUGAAACUAAAACUUGUUUGGUCACCUUCAAUUCCCCACUGCCGUUGAGCCAUUGAAGUUUGUAGGGAUGAGGACGCUUAGUUGUUGGCAGACCGAGUUUUUCUAUCAUCAAAGUACUGGCUACGUUCAUGCAACUUCUGCCAUCCACGAUCAAAUUACACACCUUGCCUUGGACAUGGCAACGUGUAUGGAAGAUAUUCUCUCCUUCCUGCUCAUUCUCUAUGCUUUGAAGGUUUAAACUUCGUUUAAUAAAGAUAAUUUUUCCAUCAACAGUGUAUUCAAGUUCUUUCUCGUCAUCUGCGGUUGCGUCAGAUUCUUCAUUUUUUUCUUCUUCCAACUCAAUUUCACCAUUAGAUCUCACAACCAUAUUGCUUCGAUUAGGGCAUUGGCUGGCGAUGUGCCCCCUUCAUAAACAUUUGAAUUAUUUGAUAUCCCUUGUUCGGUUUGGAAAUGCUACAUCCUUACCUUUGCUAGAUUCACCAAAGGGCUUGCUAGGCUUUACAAACACCGCUUGGUCUUUUGCAAAGUUUGGUAAAUCUUUUUUACCCGUGCCUUGACCUCAUUUUGAAGUGGUAUUGGUGUUAGGAAAGGUUCGGGUGGAGCCUUUUUAUUUAAUUUAUUCUACACCUUUAUGCAACAUAUACCAUGUCGACUACUUCAACAUAAUUUUGAAGUUCCACAACGUUAGCGAUGUCGCGGUUAAGACCGGCUAAAAAUCUAGCCAUGGUCGCCUCUAAUCUUCCUCCACAUCUGUACGAAUCAUGGCAAUCUCUAUCUCCUUGAAGUAGUCUUCCACGCUUCGAUUACCUUGCAUAAGGUUUUGAAGUUUCUAAUAGAGUUCACGAUGAUAGUAGGCAGGGAUAAAUCUCUUACGCGUUAUGGCUUUGGAUACGUACUCACCUCGGUUGAGAUUUGAGUCUUAAUGUUUGCCCGAUCGUAAAUCGAGUAAGCUAAUGGUCAUUCGAGAAAUGUUUGUUUAGAAGGAAAGAACUAGAUACAAAAUGGUUCGGUAGGAUAAUAGAUAGUUUGGUAGAUGUUGGGAUGGAAUUCGGUUAAGGGCCAAAGUAAGAACUAACACAACGUUGGUGUGCUAACCCGUUACUUAUGUGACACUUAAGUCAAAAAAAUGAAAGACAUACAUAGGAUAGUUUAUGGAGACCUUGACCCGCUAUAAAAAAUGAUAGGAACCUCGGUAUAACUUAGAACGCCACACUUUGGGAAUCAAAGUGAUAAGUUCCGAAACAAAGAUAGAAUGACGCGACAAGGGUUCUUGAUAAGUCAAACUAGUCUUUAGAGAAUAUUGAGAGUUGAAAACAAACUCACAAAGUUGACAAAAUUCAUAAAAUGUUCAUUAGCCUUCAACAAGUGAAAUACAAGCCAUAUUUAUAGCCUAAACUAUAGCUAGACGAAUAGUCAUAUGGGUAUUCAAGGGGACGGUUAUCUUAAGCCUUAAGGCUUUAGGAAAUUUCCUAGCAAUUUCUUGAACAUAUUCUAGAGUCUUCUUGGCUUGGGAAACCGAAUGAGAAGCUACUAGAAGGGGUUGAUUCAACUAGCCAUUAAUGAGAAGCUUUAUGGACUAGUCCACAUUCGACCAAGGUACUUGAAAAUAGUUUGAAUGCUUCUUAAAUGUGGCGCCUAGAUAAGCUUGAAAGCCUUGGAUUAAUUGAUCAUUAUGGAGGACUCCAAUGGCCAUUCAAGUGUGAAAGGUCGACUAUGUAUAGUCCUUGUGUGUGAAAACAUGGACCAAACAGCUCUUAGUGUGAAAAGAACAUUCAGCAAAAUGUGAACACGAAGAUGCUGCUUGGGAGAGUUGACCGGUCAUUCUUGGAAGAUAAAUCACCACCACCUUUGGCUCUUGAUGUCCACGAAGGGGUGCAUUUGAUGGCUGCACAUUCCCAUGCCAUCCCAUGCAUACUCCUAAACAAAUUAAAUGGCAGCAAAUUAAAUGAGUUAGGACACCAUAAAUUCGACUAAGGCAAAUUUAAUUAGCAGCAACAAUUAAAUUUGUCCCUAAGCUAGACACAUUAAAUUGAUGUCCUAAACUAGACACAUUAAAUUAAUUAAUUAUAAAUUUAACUAAUUAACUAACACAACUAAUUAAUUUAUUCUAGCCACAUAAAUGCAUCAAAUAAAUAAAUAGACAUUUAGCUCAAUGAGCUAGCUAAGUGUCGAAUUGAGCUCCCUUGAGUUAGCACGAGCUAAGCCAGCUUGUAACACAUUGUACAACGAGCUACUAGAGCUAGACUCUUGAUGUUCGGUCAUGCCUUCCAUCCAAACUCGAGCAAUGUAACUUGCUACGGCUUCUUGGAACCUCUUGGCACGGGCUCGAGUGAUUGGCCCCGAUGGCAAUUCCAUGGUCUUCAUGGGCGAGCUCGCAUCAGCUUUCAUCUCGGCCCAAGUGAAUAUUGGCCACUCCCCGUUCCUUCACUGACUUGUAGUUAACUGAUCCCACCAGAUCAUGGCAUAGUUAGAAAACUCAAUCACCGCUAACUUCACCUUCUUGCACUCCGAGUAGUUGUGGCACUCGAAGACCAACUCUAUUUUCUUCUCCCAUUCAAGGUACGCCUCUGGGUCAGAUUUUCCUUGGAAUGGAGGUAUGGAAAACUUGAUGUUUUUCAAAUCGUCAUCAGCACGUCCUUGUUCUCUAGGAUCCUAAUUCCUUUGACUACAUCGUCGUUCGCUUUGGUUUGACGCUUUGUCACUCUCCACCUUACUUGGGUCGUAGAGAUCAUCAUCAUGGAGUCUCGCUCGCCCACGCUCUUGCCUUGGACUUUAGGGCGUUCUUUCCCAUUGUCCCCUCUCCUCGAAUUGAUCCAAACGUUCAUUGAUAGAUUCGAGCUCGUUUCUGAGCAAUCGUUGAAAUUCCAGCAAAAGGGCUUGUUGGCCUAAAUCAACUACUCCACCUCCUCCAAGCACAACAUUCCGUAUUGGUUGUCGGCAGCCUCCAUCCACCAUAUUGCGUUCGGGACUUCUUGACAUGAUUUUUUUUACCUCACCACAAAGCCUCGCGUUCACUCAGAAAGAAAGAACAGAUGUCACUCACACUCGUGUUUGCACUCUUUUCAGCUUUUACCUCCUCUCUAAUGUACUCAUACACUCGUGCCUUUUUCUGCUCGUUUCUUUUUUCGUGAUUUUUUAUAAGACUCGAUAAGACUUUAUCUCUAGUCUAGGGGGUCGCUUCAAACGGGUAACAAGGUGUUGUUUCGGUGUAAGGUUGGCUAAAAGAAACAAAGAUUGGUUAAGUGUGUGGCGUGAAAGGUAGAUGAAAAUAGUAGCAAAAGAUAGAUGAUCGAAAAUUACAAACGUUGAAUUCAAACUUUGCAACCUUUCGACAGAACUUUGGAAAUCGAAUAACAAAAGAACUAGACAUUUUUUUUAUAACUUUGAAUUUUUUUUCAAUUACAAAAGAUGAAUAUAAGUAGAAUACUUUGAUACAAUUUUUUUAAAUUUUUUUCACGAACCUAUUCCGGGAUGACUACGAAUGUUCGUACUUCUCGUUUUUACAAAUUCUAAUACCAAAUAAUGCAAUCUAGCCUCGGUUUAAUGAGUUGAGUCACUUUCACUGCCCGAUCAUCUAACGAUGAAGUUUCGUUCGUUUUUGUAAAGAUAGAGGAUAGUUGGCUAUGAAUGGGAAUCGAUGUUCAAUUAGGUUCAAAAGGGGUUAGGUUUAAUGUUUGGGUUCGGCUGUGAAUGAAGAAUUAAUAUAGGUUGAUAAUAAUUCGGCUAAGAGGGAAAAAAUGAAAUAAAAAAGGUUUAAGAAAUAAGAGUGAACCAACACUAUGCUUAAGUACUGACCUAAAACUUAUAGAUUCUUAAGAUGGUUUGGUGAAGGAAAGAUAGAAACCUCGACCCACUAUCUAUGGGAGAUAGGAACCUUGGUAUAAAAGGGUUCGAACGUCAUACUACUAAGGUGAUGAGUUCGGUUUAAAGAACUAGGUUGACGCCACUAGCUACUUAGAUAAGUCCAUAGAGUCUUUGGACGAAAUUGAGAGAAGUUAAUCUCACAAAAUACUUAGUUUCAUAAAUAAAAAUGGAAAAAGUCCUUUAUAAUGUGAAAUGAGAUGAAAUUUAUAGGCAAUACAUGGGAUAGCCGAAUAGGCUCUUAAGGUAGCUAAAUAGCUAGCUGAAAAUUCCAGAAUUCCUUAAGAAGAUUCCUUGAAGUUUCUUGUGCAUGGAGAAUAGAAAUGGGUAGCUUCUAGAUGCCUUAAUUUAGCUGGAAAAUUAUUUGGAAUGAUUGGGAUCUGAAAUGUAUUAAGUAGGUUAAGUCAUAUGCAUGAAUGUUCUUUAUUUGUGUUGCUUGGUUCAGUCGAAUGGUCUAGGGAGUAAAUGAGCUGCUUAGGGCAUUUCAUUGUUCAUGAGGUGUGAACAAGCUAAGUUGAAUGGUCAUUUGAGUGUGAACAAGCAAAAUAGAACAGCCUUACGUGUGAAAGGAAUAAUUGGUUGGUGUGAAAACUCUUUAAUUUGACUUGGGUAGCCAAUCAGCUGUCUUGGAGAGUUGAAGGGAUUGGUUGAAUAGUCACUUGGGAAACACCAAACAGCAGCACACCAUCAUUAAUCCAUCCAUGCAUCUAUCCCGUCCAAGGGGGAGUGUACCUGCACCAAAUAAAUCAACAAAUUAAAUUCCCUUUAAACACAUUAUUUCGACAGCAUAAAACACCUUAAACCUGCUCCAUAAAUUCAGCCAAACAUAUUUAAGCCUUGUAAUAGAUUAAGACACAUUAAAAUACUCAAUUAAUUAAGUACAUAAUUAGGACACAAUUAAAACACUUAAUUAAUUAUAUUGUCCAGAUUAUGACAAAUUAAUAACUAAAACUAGAUAACUAAUUUAACUAAAGACAAAUUAAAUAUCUUAUUCCAGCAUAAUAAAUGCAAGCUCAAGUAAGCUAAAAAACAUGAGCUCAUUAAGCUAAGGUUGAGCUGGUUGAGCUUGAAGGAUAUUGCAAGGCUUGCUGGUCCAAGAGCUUUCAAGAAGGCCAGCAACAGUUUUGCCCCAAACUCUAUCAACUAAGGAUGUUGUUGCGUCUUUUAACCUCUUAGACCAUGCUCGGGUUAUCGGACCUAAAGGUAGCUCGAGUGGAUCCAUGAUAGCUCUUGGUAGCUCUUGGGACUUAGCCGUAUCAUAAGGGCAUUUGAUAAACAAUUCAGCUAAAUCAUUUUGUGUGUGAACAUGAGCUACAAGAUGUUCAACUUUUAUUCCAAUUGACAUGCAAUAAUCAUUGAAAACUUGGGAUGUACACUCACCAAUAUUAGCAAGAUGACUUGUUUUAAUUGCAUAAUCUGAAAUUAAUCAUUUAAACAAGCAAUCUCGCAAACGACAGGUUGCAAGUUGAUAAAGCAUGUGAUUAUUUUGUAGAUACAUCUACCAAAAUCACAUAAUAUCAAAACCAUCCACAUGGUGGAUGAAGGGGCCCAUAUUCAUAUCAGAAAUGUAAGAUAUUAAAUCUCGACUUUAGCUAGUGAGUUUCUAAGAAUCAAUUUUCAUUGAGAACAAACAACAAAUGAGGAUUCUUUAAAUUAAAGAAUCUUCGGGUUCUUUAAUGAAUGUUUAUAUGAAUUCUCAAAUAAUUUCCGAAUCAUAUAUGAUCCAAGAUGGUCUAAUUGGAUACACCAAGAGUAAAUGCAUUUGUAUUAGUAAACCUAUGGUUUAUUUUAACAUGUGUUUUAAUUGUAAUAAAUUGUAAUAAAUUGAUAAUUUCAUUGACAUUCUUUUAUUUUGUAUCCACAUAUAAAUACUAUUGUGACAUUUACUACUGGAAAUGUCUAAAUCUAUGUGAAAUCUAUAAUGCCAUUAAGUCAAUAAAUAAAUAUAAUUUUUAAAUAAUUAUAUGUAAUAUUCACUUUAGGGAAUAUGUCAAAAUCUUCAAAUAUAAGACAUUUGGUCUAGUGGUAUGAUUCUCGCUUAGAGUGCAAGAGGUCCCAAGUUCAAUUCAAAAUAUAAAUAACUCAAUCCUCUUUUGAUUCAUAUCAAAUAUAAUCUUUUCCUCAUAUACAAUUUCAACAUGAGAUCCAUUAUGAAUAUAUUUUAAAACUAAUGCAUUAACCAUAACAAACUUUAUGCUUUUUAGAUAUUGAUAUAUUAGCUCUUCUGGAGCUUUCAACUAAUUUUUUACUAUAAAAUAUUUGAAUAUAUUUGUUUAUUUCAAUACCAGAGAAGAUAAAUAUUUUCUAUCUGUAAUGAUAAAACUCAUUAUUACAUUCUCAUCUCCUUCCUUAAAGAAUAAUUGUAACACCCCAAACUCGGCAUAAACGCUAUGGCCAAAUCAGAAGGUGUCACAAAGAAUGAGUUUUGAUAUCGAACUCUACAUGUUAAAACCAUUUGAGUUUUAAAACUCUUAUUUGCCUUUAUCCUUUGUCAAAAUGUUUAUUCAAUUAAUUAAUUAGCCUUAAAACGUGUUUUAUAGCGGAAGCCUUCGAAGGCGUUAUAUUUCAAGAAAUUAGUUCGUAUUUUUAAAAAAAAACCUUUAUUUUAGUAGAAAUCAUAGUUUUUGGAUAUCAGUCGCAAAUUAAGUACUAAAAUGAAAAUCCAAAUCCAAAAGAAAAUUAGCCAAAAAGUUCGAAUAGCUCAAUUGUUACAAAAAUUCAGAAAUACUCUUUAAAGUAAAAACCAUAAACAUAACCAGUUUAUGAACUCGUGGUCACCGAGAGGCUCCGCCGCACUGAUCCAUCUAAGUUUGUAGAUUACUUGACAAAAUAGACAACAGAUGUGAUUUUACGAAAACUCAGUGUGUAACCCAGUAGAAUUAAGCAUGUAAACACACAAAAUUAUAUGUACAGUCAGAAACAGAUACAGUUUCAAAUUCAGAAUCAGAUUCAGAUUCAGAUUACAGAAGCAAAUAUGCAUAAAUCCUACCCCCAUCCUCUACACACCAUCUCUGACCAUCCUAUCACAUCAUGUGGGGUUAAAAACACUCACCCAUCCCUACAUACCACAUUAUGCCAUUACGACAGAUAUCAGAAUAUAUGCAGUUAAGCUGCCAGAAUAUAGGCAAUUAAUACCGAACAGAAUACUUCCUCCUCAUAUACAAAUCCCACCUCAAUAACAGAUACAAAAAUUAGAUACAGAUGUAACAGAUUACACAUGCUCAACAUGCUUAUAUACAUGCCUACGUGUCCCAUACGCCCAGUUUGGCCUUUUCCCCUAUGGCCCAUUCGGCCUAGCCCGAUAAUCAACACGCCCGUGUGGGCCCAUAUCUCUAACUUGGCCUAGCUCAUCUGGCCCACACGGCUGUGUCCUGCGCACAGACAAGCCUUCAUCGAUCACAUGACCUUGUCUUGCACACGACCAUGUCUCGCACACGGCCAUCCGCACGAGUGAUCACACACCUAUCUGGCGUCGACAGAACAGUUUUUCCUUUCACCGAACUCAUUUUUCUACAUUUCAGGAACACACCUGGUAUCAAUUUGACGCAGACACAAUCCCGAGCCCUCCAGAACCUAAAAAUAGAAUACCCACAACGAAAUUAGCCAACAAUUCACAAACCCUUCGAAACUAAACCGCAAGGUGUGCACACACUUACCACCAACACACCUGUUCACUCGCGCAGAUUCGACCGUUGAAAAGAAACUGCUAUUUCCCCCACUUCUCCUACGCAAAGAUACCACAAAGUUUAAACCUUCAGAAAGCAACGUUAAAAGGAAACAAUCCAAAGUCUACUUAUCGAUACACGGAAACUAAAGAUUCGAAACGCCCAAAACAAGGAUUAUUGGCAGAACCAAGGAUCAAAGGGAACAAUUUAACAGCAGUAGAGAGUAGAGAAAAAUGAAAAUAGGAAUAAUGUGAAUUUUGUUUGGAGGAAGAAGAACGUCAAAACACAGAGAGAAUUUUGAGGAAAAAGGAAAAUAAAAUUAAAACUAAUCAGAUAUCCCCUAACUUCCCUCUAACACCUUAAUUUCAACCACUUCAGAAUUUACACUCUACUGAAACUCUCUCAAACAAUCGAGCAAAAAUAAACACCCUCACUCACGUAAAGAUUCGAACUCAAGACCUUCAACACAUCAACUCCCUUACCACUUGAACCAACAAGCUCAUUCUGAUAUGAGUUUACGGAUAAUUUAAUAAAAGCCCACUGAAAAAAGAUAAGGAUUAGAUCUAAAAAUAACCAAAAUUGACAGAAGUAGGAUUUGAACCCAAGACCUCAUACACACCCCCAAAACACUUAACCACUAAAAUAGAUACACAUUUUGUGUUAGAUAUUCACAGAAGCAGAAUUAAAUUAUUGGGGCGUUACAAUAUUAACAGAGACAAAAUAUUUGGGUAUACACCACAUACGUGACCAAUAAUCUUUCAUAUCACAUUGAUAACAAAAGAUAUCUUUAUCCUUUGAAAAGUUAUCUUAAGAACUCUCAUUGUUCUCUUAUUUAUUACUAUGUUUACAUUCACUUUGCGGGAAUGCAACAAAUCUAGUAGGGUGGACUUAUAAACAUCCCAAUAGAUUCUUUACUUCAUAAUCACCAUCAUAAACAUGCGUGAGAUUUCAAAUAAAAAUCUAUUUGUUCAUGUUGUCAUGAUUAAUCUCCAAUUAUAAUAAACAUGACAUAAUAAAUAAAACAUAGUAAAAUAUACUUAAAGAUCUUUAAUAUCAUCGUUAUCAUAUUGACUAUUAUCACGAGCACUAUUUCUAGUAGUAAAACAACUUUGUUUUCGUAAUAACAUUUACAAUCUAAUAGUAUAGGAUAGUGGAUCGCUUUCGGGAUACAUCCGUACCUGCGUCUUUGUGAGAUUUUCAUCUUUAUAUAGCCGUAGGGAAAUGUAUUCCCCUGAACCAAACUCAGUCCUUAUGAGCCUAUAAUGGGUGAGGACCAAGGAAUUCGCUGAUUCAGGUACCUUUACUUUAGAACCGAACCACAUGUAAUGAGCUCUAAGAGCCUACCCUAAGUAGAACCACACCAAACCCUAGUGGUUACCCGAAUAGGUGCUUAAUUAUUUCCUAUUUGCUUUGAGUUCUAUUCUUUGUUUUAAUAUUGACUUGUUGUGUUUUGUUGUUAUUGCAUGACAUCACAUCAUAAAAAGGUGUUGAUUCACGUUCGGUUACUAGAUAGAAAAGCUUAGCAUGGAAAAAGGAUUUCUUGAUAGAGUGGAGGAUAAUGCGGACGUCCGAGUGUGGUCUGAGAGAAUGUAACAAGAGAAAGGAGAUAAUUUGACCGAGGGAUAGGAAUCGGAGUUGUGGGAUUUCACUCACAUCAGUGUGACUCAGAAUGACCUGCAAAAAUUAAGGGAUAUAUGGAAUAGUUGGAAUAGCGAGGUCAAGAAACUUUUUUACUGUAACUACGGCGACCUACCCUAUUUGCUCGAUGUAAAGGUGGACAAGUACUUGUUCCGGGCCCUCGUGCAGUUUUGGAACCCUGCUUACAGUUGCUUCACUUUCGGAGGAGUCAAUUUAGUACCUACUGUGGAGGAAUACAUGGCGUUACUUAAUUGCCCGAAGAUUCAGGCCUAUUCAAGACCUGUCAACGUCCCUUCCUUUUUGAAGAAAUUGAUGAAUAUCACAUGGAUGAGUGAGCAAUGGGUUGCAGCCAGCAUCAAGCAAAAAGAGGAUAGUAAAUGUAUUCCUUGGAGGAAUUUGAGGGACUUGAUCCUUGCACACCCGGAUUCGAAGAAAAAGGUUGACAUUUUUGCCUUAAGCCUCUAUGGUUUGAUCAUCUUUCCUAAGAUGCUAGGACACAUAGAUGAAGCCGUCUCAGAUUUAUUCGAUUGACUUGAUAAAUAUACCACACCCGUCCCGAUAAUCCUAGCAGAAACUUUCAGAUCCUUGAAUGCAUGUCGGAGAGCGGGCGAAGGAAGAUUUAUUGAUUGUGCACAGCUUCUAUUAGCUUGGUUUAAUAGCCAUUUUUGGAAGGUGGAGAAGGUCUCCUAUCGGGUUUUCUCCAAGGACUAUUCCCCAUUAAGGGAAUUAGUGGCCAUAUCGAGGCAAGAUGACAUCUCAGAAGAGAAAUGGAUAACUAUUCUCCAGAAUUUGUGAGCCGAAGAUGUUGAAUUGAGGGCUCCGUGGUUGAUCCUUGACGAAAUCUUAUAUCGGUGCAGUGAUUUUGACUGGGUCCCUCUGGCUAGAAUAUGGAGAGCCAUUGGAUACGCUCCACUGAUGGUCUUAAGGCAGUAUCGAUCAAGGAAGUUUAUACCGGUGACACAAGGGUUGGCACAAUGUGAGUUCCCCUAUAAAUACAACAACUAUAAGAGGAAGGUUCGUGAGAUAUCAGAUGCUUGGACCAAACUCAAAGAAUGAAAGGAUUCACCACGGGUCCGAUGACGACCCCCGAGUAUGAAUGGUGGUGGGGUAGGAGAGUCAAUGACAAAUCCAUAAGUCGAAUCAAGGGAACACUCAGCCGAUAGAGGAGCAUUUACGAGUCAUCCCAUCCGAGUUAGAGAUCAUUAAGCAAGACUUCGAGAAAAGAAACUCGGAGUUGGGGAAAAAGAUAGACUAGCUAGAAGAAGAGAAAAUGAAGUUGGGAUUGGACGUCGAUAUCCACAAGUUAGAGGCCAAGAAAUUGAGGAAAGGAAAGAACAAGGCCGAGGAAGAUUUAGAUAGUCUGAACAUCGAUUACAAGAAGCUGCGUAUGUCGAUAAGAACUGCCGGUUUAGGUAAAACGUCGAAGCAAUGGCGUCAAGAGAUUAAAGAGGAAAAGACUAAAGCUGACCAUUGGGAGAAAAGGUUUCAAGAUACCCAAGUACGAGAGGACACUCUAAAAAAGAGUUUGUUAGAAAGCCAAAACGAAAAGGAGAAGUUACGAGCUCGGGUGGCUGAAUUAGAAAGAUCACUACAUCAACAUCGUAAUCGUAAUUCCGUAAUUGAGCUGAAGGCUAGUCUGAGCAGGAUCGAAGAGUUGAAAACGAAAGCAGAGGAACUCGAGACUGCGCUACGAGAUAGCAAAAUUCGAGUGGAACUUCUUGAGGCAAACAAUGACCAUUGCAGAGAACAACUUCACCGCUCUCAAGACCAAAUUAGAGAUAGAGACUAUGUCAUGGGCGAAGCUGUAGCUCAGGUUCGGGAAGUAGCCGAUCACUUGCAAACCUCGGCAGUUCAAGCUGAUGUAUUGAGCUUAAAGUACGAUUCGGAAUCAGAUCGAGGCUGAAGCUUAGCUUGGCUUCUUAGGAAGGUUAAGGCUUUGGGCAUUGGGGCAAAGUCGUAUAUGUAAUCAUCCGUUCAAUGUAAAGAAAAUUUUCUUCUAGUAAAGUUCUUCUAAUGAAAUUGAAUCGGAAUCAAUGGCUCUUUUGCAUUCAUUCAUUUGCAUUACAUUUCAUCAUAUGUAUUAAAUUUCACGAAAAGACCCUGAUUAAACAAAAUUAUUUCAGUUAAUCUGGAAACUGGCAAGAAUUAACCAAUCAAACACAGCUACAAUACCCGUCGUAAAACUAAAACAAUGGAUCAGAGAUUAGAAAGAUUAGAAAAAAUGCAAAGGGAUAUGCAAGAGUAAUUACAAGUACAGAUGCAAGAGCAAUUAGCAAGAAUCGAACACGACAUGAGGGAACAAAUGCAAGAAUCCCAGAAUAACAUGAUAAGUCUGUUGGCACAGUUUCUGGCAAAGGAACGUGAAAAAGGGAAGAGUACUGCGAUCAAUUUAGGGAACGAUAAUGAAGACCCUUCCUAUCCUCCGAGCUUUGCUCCAGUAAACACUCAACCAUAACCAGAGGUGCACCCAUGAAGGGUACCCGUCACUAUUAGGCCCCAGCAAUACCAGGCCGAUGCUGCGACACCAAUGAAUAUUCCUAUGGGUUCGGGCUCUAAUCCCAGGGAUAAUCCAGCUAAUCCAUUUGUCCCAAACCUUGAUGACGUGGCAGAAAUGGAGAAAGGAAAAGUAGACUUGGAAAAAAAAACUUGAUGACCGAUGUAAAUGGCUUGAAGAGAAAUUUAAAGCAAUGGAGGCUGCUGAUUACCGUAGCGGGAUCGAUGCUAAGGACUUAAGCUUGGUCCCAGAUCUGGUGCUCUCACCAAAAUUUAAAACCCCAGAGUUUGAAAAGUAUAAUGAGACAAGUUUCCCUGAAGCUCACGUUACGAUGUUCUGUCGAAGGAUGACAGGGUAUGUUAACAAUGAUCAGCUGUUGAUCCACUGUUUCCAAGACAGUCUGAUCAGAUCUGCGGCCAAAUGGUAUAACCAGCUCAGUCGUGCCCAAAUUGGUUCAUGAAAGGACUUGGCUCAAGCUUUCAUGAAACAAUACAGUCACGUGUCGGACAUAGCACUCGACAGAAUUACUCUACAAAACAUGAAAAAGAAGCCAAGUGAGAGCUUCAGACAGUAUGCCCAAUGAUGGAGGGAGAUGGCAAUGCAGGUCCAACCACCCCUCUUGGAGAAGGAAACGACCAUGCUCUUAUCAACACUCUAAAGGCCCCAUUCAUUAACCACAUGUUAGGAAGCGCUACUAAAAGCUUCUCGGACAUAGUAAUGUAUGGGGGGAUGAUAGAAAACGCAGUAAGAUGUGGGAAAAUUGAAGCGGGGAAAAGUACUAAGAGAUCGGCUCCAAGAAAGAAAGAAUAUGAGGUGAAGAAUGCGAGCGUAUACAAUUAAGGUUAUUCCAAGCCAGUCAUAGUGAGCCAGCCGAGGGCAAUGACUACUAACCAUCAGGGCUCUGCAAGACAAGACUCCAACCCGAGGCCUAACAUAGAAAGAGUUCAGUUCACGCCAACCCCAAUAAUGUAUAGGGAGCUUUACCAGAAUCUGUUCGAUGCACAUGUAGUGUCCCCAUUUUACCUAAAACCCAUGCAACCUCUAUUUCCCAAGUGGUAUGACGUAAACGCGCAAUGCGAAUACCAUGCAGGAAUCUUGGGACACACGAUUGAGAACUGCAAUGCUUUCAAAAAAUUAGUUGAAAGGUUCUUAAAGAUGGGCAUUGUAAACUUCGAUGAUCCUACAUGACCUAAUGUGGUAGGGAAUUCAUUGCCCAAUCAUUUAGACAAAGGGGUAAACGUGAUAAUUGAAAAUAGAGGGAAAAGAACCAAGAUGGACGUAGCAGAGGUGAAGACUCCGUUGAGAUGGGUUUGGAAGAAGAUGAUAAAAGAAGGUUUAGUCACUCAAGAUUUAGGGGAGAAGCCCGAAGGAGCAAAGUACUACUGCGAAUUUCACAAUGAAGAGGGUCAUAAAAUCCAAGAGUGUAAUAAAUUCAAGAUGCUAGUACAAGAACUGAUGGAAAACAAGGAGAUUGAAUUCAUUGAGUAUACCGAGGGCCCAAAGGGAGAAGAUGUGUGCACGUCAGAGCAAGGGCCAACCAACAAAGUCCAUGGGGUCAGUCACCCGGUCGUAAUUAUAUCCCGACCAAGAGUCAGUGAAAUGGGAGUACCAAUUAUGCCAAAAGUCAUAAUCCAGAAACCCGUUGGUUUCCCUUAUAAAGAUAGCAAGAAGGUGCUUUGGAACUAUGACUGCAAUAUGACAACCCUGGGAAGGGAGAACCCAGCUGGCAUUUUGGAGAAAAGUCAAGACGAGGGUUUCUAUACACGCAAUGGAAGGUGUUAUACCCCAAACACAAAGGUAGAACUAGCUAAAGGAAAAUAUGUGGUUGUUGAACAAGAAAAGAAAAGAAAACCAGACCUGAAUCAUCUGUCAAUGAGCCUAUAACUGAAAAGGAGGCUAAAAAAUUCUUAAAAUUCCUGAAACACAGCGAGUACAGCGUUUUAGAACAGUUGCACAAACAGCCAGCUUGCAUAUCAGUACUAGCUUUGCUCUUGAGCUCAGAGACGCACAGCAGUGCAUUAAUGAAUGUGUUAAAUGAAACAUACGUUACGGAUGAUAUCUCUGUCAACAAGCUCGAUCGUUUGGUCAAUAACAUCAGCACUGAUAAUUUUAUUUUCUUUAAUGAUGACGAAAUAUCACCGGGAGGUAUGGGAUCUACAAAGGCCUGCACAUCACCACUCGCUACAAGAGAUACACGUUGCCGGGGGGACUGAUUGAUAAUGGAUCAGCAUUGAAUGUCCUGCCUUUGUCCACGCUAAAUAGGUUACUAGUGGAUAGCUCCCACAUGAAGACAUGUUAAAACGUCGUGAAAGCAUUCGACGGUACUGAAAGAAAAGUGAUGGGAAGAAUCGAGAUACCUCUCUUGAUUGGCCCAAAUACAUACGAGGUGGACUUCUUAGUAAUGGACAUCAAGCCAUCAUAUUGGAGAGGCUGUGGAUCCACUCAGCUGGAGCAGUGCCGUUGUUAUUACACCAAAAAUUGAAGUUGGUGACUGAGGGUAGAUUGGUAACGAUAAACGCGGAAGAAGACAUUAUUGCAUCUGUUACCAAUGAUGCACCGUACAUAGGUGCAGACGAUGAAGCGGUAGAAUGUUCUUUUCGAUCACUAGAAUUCGUCAAUGCUACAUUCAUUGUCGAAGGGAACAAGAUCCCGAUACCUAAAAUAUCUAAAACUACGAAGAUGGGCCUACAAUUGACGGUCGAAAAAGGAGCCUUGCCAGGAAAGGGACUUGGAAGAUGCCUCCAAUGAAGGAUUGAGGUACCAGUGCUAAAGGAAAAACGAAAUCACUUUGGCUUAGGAUUUAAGCCAGAUGUAAAGCAAAAGAAAAAAGAGUUGGAGAAAAAGCAAGAGAGAAGAAGAGCGCGUCUGUACGGUGAGGAGGUCAAAUGGGAACCAAUGACCUUUCCUCAUUUAUCCAGAACAUUUGUGUCGAAAGGAACUAUUUGCCCCGAAUAGAAUAUGACAAGAAAUAAAAUGGUUGAAGAAAUGUUGGGAAGUUGGAGCAUUAAUGCCAUAUCUGAAGAAAAAGCCAAAGAAGGGAAUUUAUCUGGAAUUCGCCCUUACAUCCCUGGAAGUGUUUUGAACAAUUGGACCGCGGAGGAGAUCCCUAUAACUUUUAGAAUUAACUCAGAGUAAUGUUCAAAACAAGCUUAUUGCUCUAAGCCUAGGGGCAAUAAGAAUCCUUUUAUGAAAUAGGCAUAUGUCCAAAUAUCGUUAUUUCAAUAAAAAAUACAUUUUUGCGUAUCAUCUUGAGCAAAUAUUCUUUUAUUCUUUCUACUUCAUUCAUAAUCAUACCACACAAAUCAACUAUUCUUAAAUUCUUUUGUUCUUUGGAUUUCUCUCUUCAUCCAUAACAGGUCUCUAGAUAUCAAUGAUAUGAGCAACGUUGCCACUGACUUAGAGACUCCUUUCGAGCAAGAUUUGUGUAUGAAGGACAUUGAGAAUUUUGAAGAUGACCAAAAUUGUAACCUAUCUCCAGAUUUGUUAAGGAUGGUAGAAUAAUAGGAGAAACAAAUCCUACCUCACAAAGAGUCGGUGGAAAUUGUUAGUUUAGGAGAAGAAAAAAAGGUGAAGAUUGGAGCUAGUAUCAUUGCAAAAACAAAGCGAGACCUCAUCGAGUUACUCUGGUAAUUCAAGGAUGUCUUUGCAUGGUCAUAUCAAAACAUGCCCCGAUUGAAUACUGAUAUCGUGGUACAUCGACUCCCCAUAAAGGAAGAAUGCAGGCCAGUUCAAUAGAAACUCCGAAGGAUGAGACCCGAUGUUUUGUUAAAGAUAAAAGAAGAGGUCAAGAAGCAAUUCGACGCUGAUUUCCUACAAGUGGUUAAGUACUCAGAAUGGGUGGCUAAUAUAGUCCCCGUUCCCAAGAAAGAUUGGAAGGUACGAAUGUGCGUGGACUAUCGGGAUUUGAACAAAGCCAGCCCAAAAGACAACUUCCCGUUGCCUCACAUUGAUACAUUAGUGGAUAACACAGCAGGUUACUCACUUUUCACCUUUAUGGACGGCUUCUAGGGAUACAACCAGAUAAAAAGGCAUCCCGAAGACAUGGAAAAGACCGCAUUGGUGACCAUGUAGGGGCGUUUUGUUAUAAAGUGAUGCCGUUCGGACAAAAAAACGUAGGAGCAACAUAUCAGAGAGCCAUGGUAACUUUGUUCCAUGAUAUGAUGCACAAGGAGAUCAAAGUUUAUGUCGACGAUAUGAUUGCAAAAUCCAAAACAGAGAAGGAGCAUGUGCAAGUCCUGAGGAAACUAUUCUUGAGGUUAAGGAAGUUCCAACUAAAGUUCAAUCCUGCAAAAUGUACCUUCAGGGCCAGGUCAAGAAAGUUGUUAGGAUUCGUAGUCAGCGAAAAGAGGAUUGAGAUUGACCCAGAUAAAGUCAAGGCCAUAUAAGAAUUACCACCGCCACGCACUCAAAAAGAAGUUCGAGGUUUCUUAGGAAGACUGAAUUACAUUGCCCGAUUCAUUUCACAACUAACGGAGAAAUGUGACACGAUAUUCUGUCUCAUUAGGAAACGCAAUCUAGGUGUAUGGAAUGAGGAGUGCCAGAAAACUUUUGAUAGGGUCAAGCAUUACUUGUCCAAUGCCCCAGUACUGAUGCCACCUUACCCGGAUAAGCUAUUGAUACCAGGGAUUUAAAUAGCGGCCUGCAAUCAGAAUAGCGGCCCUUAUAUUAUGGUAGCGGCGCCGUCCGAAAUCGCUAUUGUCGAAAAUAGUGGUGUGAAACCGUUUCACACUGAUAGCGGUGGAUCGCGGCUGCAAUUUAACGGGUAAUGGCAGAUUGCGAAAAUAACGGGCCGCUAUUCCCGUUAUUUCCCGUUAUAAUAAAAAAAAUUCAUCUAUCAACAUUCAACAGAAACAUAAAUAGUCAACAUAAUAAAACAAAAGCCAAAAGGGAAUAUAUUCCCCUGCAAAAUUAGAGUUUUCAAUAAAAAAAAGUAAAAAGAAGUUGAAUACUUGAAUCUGAAAAGCAAACAACAGUACGACACAGCAGCAUAUUUCUCAAUCUCAUAUUUCGGCAAACAAGAACAAGUGAACAACACAGCAUGACAGGGACAGUAGUAGAUGAAAGCACCGAGGACUUGGAUCUGAAAAGCAAACCCUGCCCUAAUCACUUGCACAUUCAAAGAUUGAUAGUUUUCAAGUAAGUUGCCUGAAAUUUUGUCUUGGUUCUUGGCUUCUUGCUUGCAUGUCUUGAAUCUGCACUUCUGCAGUGCAUAUGUUCUUUAGAGACUUUAGGGAUGAACCGAUAAAGGAACUAGGGAGAACUGAGAAGGCACACAACAACCAACAACAUAUUCCAAGAAUUUCAGAGGAGAGGAUGAUAGAGUUUCUAAAACUCUUCAGUUUUUCUUCUAAAUUUUGUGUGUUUACUGUUUAGUCACUAAACUGUUUAGGGAUUUAACUUUGAUUUGAAGAAAUAAGAAGAAGUGAAGAAGUAGAAGAACAAAGGCGUUUUGUCUUUUGUGGGUUAUAAAUUGGGUGUUUGUCGUUCUUUUUUUUAAUUAAAAUUGAAAAAUAUUUAAUAAUGCUCCACUUACUUAGGUAAAACUAUUAUUACUUGUUUAAAUAAAAAAAAAAGGAAAGUAAAACAAAGUUAACUUCUGAAAAAUAAAAAUAAAAUUAUUUUGAAAAAAUGAGAUUAGAAUUUGAUUUAAUUUAUAUAUGUAUAAAAAAAUUAAUUCUGAUCUUAUUGUAUUAAAAAAGUAUUAGUCAAUUAUUAAUUUUUAAAUUUAAAGUAAAAAACAUUAAUUUCAAUUUGUUUACUUGUUUUAAUAUUAAAAACUAAUUUCUUCUUUCACCCAAAAAAUAAUAAUUUCUUGAGCAUUUUAUAUUUUAAAUAUAUUUUUUAAUUUAUUACAAAUAAAAAAAUUAUUAAAAAGUUACAUUCAAAUCGAACCAAAUACAUAAGUAGCAAAAGCUAAAAAAUGGUGGCAGCUACUAUUGUCACUGUUAUAUAUCUAUUUUAUUGUAAUGUAAAAAACAACUCCCUUAAUAAUCAUGUAAUAAAAAAUAAUAUUGUAAUAAAUCUAAAUCUAAAAAAAAAGAGAUAAAAUUUUUUAAGUAAGAAAGAAAAAUUAAACUUCAAAUAUAGAAAGACUGAAAGAGUAUAGAUGAUAACCAAUAAUUUUUUUUGUGAAUCAAUAUUAUAUAAAAUCAUGACAUAUUUUACAUUGCAAUUUUUAUCAACUAUAACUUGGGUUGAGGAUAAAAAAAAUGUUUGCUUCCUUUCUUUUAAAACGACAUAAGAAAAAAAGAAAGGAAGAAGAAAUGCAAUUAAGAAAAGAAAGAAAACAUGAGACAGUGAAAGUAAAAGGUUGGUGGUUGGUGCCUUGGUGGUAUGGAUGCCAUAUCCAAUAGGUUAGUCCAGAAUGAUGGUGCCAUUGUCUCCAAGCAGAACUUGCAUUCAACAAUAAUUCCAAAUAUUAUUCUGGAACCAAAAACUUUGGAACCAAGCAAUAAUCGGUUAUGGUGUAUUGUUGUUUUUAAAAAAAAUUUAUGUAUGGAUUAUGCAAUAAAUUUAAAUUUUCCAUGUUAAUGAUGUUUACUAUUUUUUUUUUGUAUUAUAUUGUUGAUAAUAUAAGUAAUGAGUUGCUUAUAUUUCUAAAUAUAAUUUUAUGUUUCUUAUAUAUAUAAAAAUAAAGCAUGCCACCACGUGAAGAGUUUCCGACUAAGGGAUUGGAGGGUGCACCAAGUAAUGAUAUAGGUUGGCACUUUGGAACUCUAGUGCCAAAUGCAAAAGGAAAUAUCAUAUGUAAACUUUGUGGUAAAGUUGUGAAAGGAGGAAUAACACGAUUUAAAGAGCACAUUACUCAUAAAACCGGCAAUGUUGCACCAUGCCCUAAUGUUACUGGUAUGUGAUACUUUAUUGUUAUUUUUAAAUGUUAUUGUAAAUUUAUCAAUAAAGUUAUAUAUAAUUGAUAAUAAUAUAAAGGGUGAAUUAUUUUUAUUUCAUUAACAGGUGUCAUUAGAGAAAGUAUGAUGAAUGUACUGAAAGAAAGCAACACAAAGAAAACAGACAAAAAGAGGAGAAAAGAUGAUUUAUUAUCUCAAUUAAGAGAAGAGGAGGAUGGACACGAGGAAUUCAUUGAUGAGAUUUCUGUUAUAAGGCAAGCAACUCGAGAAAGUAUCCAAUCACAACACGAGUGGCAUAGAAGGGAAGAAUUCAGACGAAGUACUAGUGGUUGGGAUAACAUUUAAGAAAAAGGACGAUCUUCUCAAGGAUCAUCCAUCCCAACUGAGUCUAAGUUUACCUUAAGGGGAGCUAUACCUGAAUUGGUUAGAAGUAAAAGUUCAAAGCAACAAAAGGUCAGUGACUCUUUUUUAAAGAGUUUUCGAAAGAAGAUAGGUGAAGCGGUUUCUAAAUUUUUAAUAUAUGAAAGACUUCCAUUUCAAUUAGCAAGCUCUCCAUGGUUGUAUAACUUAAUUCAAGUGUCAACAUAAGUUGGACAAGGUGUAAAGCUCCCAACACCUUAUAAGGUUUCAGAUGUGUAUUUGGAGUCAGAGUAUCAACAAGUUCGUAAUUGGGUAAACGGACUAAAGACUCAUUGGAAAGAAUUGGGUGCAACUCUAAUGUGUGAUGGUUGGACCAACAGUUUGAAUCAAAUGCACAUCAUUAAUUUCCUUGUUUAUUGUAGUAAAGGAACCAUUUUUUGGAAAUCGGUAGAUGUCUCAAGUGUUCGUAGUAGAGAUGCUGAAUUCUACUACAGUUUGCUAGAUUCAGUUGUAGAAGAAAUUGGAGAAAAUUACAUUGUCCAAAUAGUGACUGAUAAUGAGGCAGCAAUGAAAGCUAUUGGAAAAAAAUUAAUGUUGAAAAGAAAACAUCUAUAUUGGACCUCAUGUGCAGCUCACUGUUUAGAUUUAUGCCUUGAAGAUAUUGGGAAAAGCCCAGUGUAGCAAAAGUGUUAGAUGAGGCAAAGAAAGUGACUUGCUUUAUAUACAAUCACACUUGGACUGUUGAUUUGAUGAAGAAGUAUACACAAGGGAAACAAAUACUUCGACCCGCUCUUACUCGAUUUGCAACUCAUUUCAUUCAAUUUGAAGAGAUAACAAGACAAAAGCAAGGUCUGAGAGAAAUGUUUAGUUCAAAGGUUAGUAUUUUAUAAUUAGUUAAUAUAAUUACUUAAAUAUUGCAAGUAGCAAUCUUUAAUGAUUUUAUUAGUUCCAAAUAAUUUAAAUUAUAUUAUUUUAAAAUUUUUCUUAUGAAUAUAUAGGAAUAUAAAGAAUCAAAAUGGGGACAGCAAAAGUCAGGGCCUGCUUAUGAAGCUAAAAAAAAUAUUUUGGGAAAAGAUUUUUGGAAGAAAGCCAAUGACCUUAUAAAAGUUUAUAAGCCCCUAGUAAAAGUAUUGAGACUUGUGGAUAGCGAUGAAAAACCAACAAUGGGCUUUAUUUAUGAGGCUGUUGAUAGAGCUAAACGAGCAAUUCAACAAGAUUGUCGAUAUUUUACUGAGUAUGAAAAGAUUAUUGACAAAAGAUGGAAUUUUAUGCAUUCCGACUUACAUUCAGCUGGUAAGCUAAAAUGUUUCAUAUAAUUAAGAAAUAUUUUUAUAUUUUACUAUUUUAAGCUUUAGAUUAUUAUUAUUUGAUGAUAUUCUUAUAAAUUAUACUUAGGUUAUUUUCUUAAUCCUCAAUUUCAAUUUGGGUGGAGCAUUCUCAGAAUGUACUAAUAGAAACAUUAGACAGUACACGAUCAGUAAUUGAAAGAUUAGAACCUUCUCCUGAUACUCAAGUCAGAAUGGUUAAUCAGGUUAGAUUCAAUUCAAGUACUAUUAUUUGUAACUUAGUUACAUAAUUUGAAAUAGAAUUUUUUUUUACUCUAUCUUUUAUUUAUGCAGUUGAUACUAUUUAGAGAUAAACAUAAGACAUUCGGUACUCUACAAGCGCAAAGAGCUUGGAAGAAAAUGAAUCCGGGUAAACAAUUAAUUAAAUUAUUUAAUUUAAUUUAUAUUAUUUAAUUAUAUUGUACAUUUUGAAGUUAUUUUGAAAUUUAAAUAAUAUUAUGCAGCUGAGUGGUGGAUAAUAUAUGGCACAUGUGUUCCCGAAUUACAAAAAUUAGCAAUUAAAGUGCUUAGUCAAACAACUUCAGCAUCAAAUUGCGAAUGAAAUUGGAGCACAUUUAGCUAUAUUCACACCAAGGCAAGAAAUAGGUUGAAGUAUAAAAAACUUGAGAAACUAGUGUUUACCUAUUACAAUAUGAGGCUUCAGAUAAGGCAUCAAAAAAGAAUGAGCACUGAUGAUGUAAACACUAGUUUUAAUCCUAUCAGCCUUGAUUAUAUCUUUGAAGAUGUUGAUCCACUAUCAAAAUGGCUUCAUGAGAAAGAGAAUCCAUUAUUAGAUGGUGAAAAUGCCGGUGUGUUACCUGUGGAUACCUCUGAUGAUGAAAUGGAUGUUAAUCAAUUUCAACAACAAAAUUUGUCUCAUCAAGUUCUAGUUCAACGCCAAGUCAAAGUGGCGAUGGACCCAAUGGUGGUGGUUUAAGGCCAGUUGAUGAGGAUGAUGGAUAUAAUGGCGAUAGAGGUGAAAUUAGGUCUUCUAGUCAGUAUAGAGGAGAAUAUGGGGUUGGUACCACUAGUGGAUAUUUUCGUGAUAGAUCAGAGUUUGAUGGAAAUAUGUUUCCUGAACCUAGGAGAGAUAGAAGUGAACCUAGAGCUCCAUCAAAAGGAAAAGGCAAGAAGCAUACUUCUAUAGGCUCUUCAUCUGGUAGGAGAUCGGGUUCUAGUAACCUUGGGUAUAGUGAUUCAUUUACUAGUACUCAAGGUUUUUAUCCACCAGAACAACCCUCAUAUUUUCAACCUUCACAUGGUUAUCCACAACCAUAUGGUUAUUAUCCACCAUUUCCUAAUUAUGGUGUGCCAUACCAGCCUCAAAUGCAUCCUCCUCCUCAAAUAUAUCCUCCACAUCAAUUAUAUGAAAACCAAUGUGAAAAUGUUACUUUUUUUGGAUAUAUUUUUGGACAAAGGCCAAGAGAAUCAAGUCAAGAACGCUCUCAAAGUGAAGGUGAUAGAUCUGAUCUUCCUCGUCAUUCUACUAUUGGUGAAAACUAAAUCGUACCACUACCAUUAUUUGUAAGGUAUGUUUUUUAAAAGAAAAAUUUUGUUAAUGUUCUUAAUUUUGAUGAUAUUAAAACAUGUAAAACAUAUCUUUAGAUAAAUGAAUGGAGCAUAUUUUAUGAAAAGAUAAUUAAGAAUCGAAACAUGUUAAACUAUAUAUAAAAGUAGAAUGAGAAUGAGAAUAAAUGGUAGGAAAUAGGAAUAAUUAAUGAGAAUCUAUACAUUUAUCUAUUAUUUUUUUCCUUUUGCAGCAUAGAAUGUUUAUAUCUUCACCAUCUUCAAAGCUGUCAAGAAAUAUUGAAAACAUCUCUCAGGUAUGAAUUUUCAAUUAUUUUAUCUAUAAAAACUUUCAAACUUAUUAAAUAUGAUAAAUGUUUAAUAUUUCUUUUUUUUUACUUUGUUAUUAGUUAAUAUAACAUUAUUAGAAAAUUCGUAAAUAAAUAUAAAAAUAAGUAAUGAUUAUAAAAGUUGUGUUCUCAUAUCAUAUUAAUAAAAGUUCAUAAGUGUUAGAAAACACUCUAAAAAUCAUUAAAAGUGACUUUUUAUAAUUAUAAUUGUAAUUAUUAUGAUUUACAAUAAGUUGUGCGAAUUUUAAAAAAAUUCACGACCGCGAUACCUGCAGUGACCGCAAUAGCAUCCGUUAUGUCCGCAACCGCGAUAAACGCAACGCGAUCGAAAACGCGGCCGCAACCGCAAUUUAAAUCCCUGAUUGAUACUACACUUGGCAAUGUUCGAAAACUCCAUGGGAUGUGUGAUAGGCCAAUAUGACGAGAGUGGAAGAAAAAAAAGCAAUAUACUAUCUUAGCAAGAAAUUCACUGAAUAUGAGACAAGAUAUUCCUCGAUCGAGAAGUUGUGUUGUGCUUUGAUUUGGACAACCCGAAGACUGAGACAAUACAUGUUAUACCACACAACUUGGCUCAUCUUAAAACUAGACCCUCUGAAAUACAUGAUGGAGUAGUCAAAUGCUUUAAACAGAAGAAUGGCUCGUUGGCAGAUUUUGCUUUCUGAGUUUGACAUAGUCUACAUGAACCAAAAGGCUGUAAAAAGGAGUGCAAUAGCAAAUUUUCUGGCCAGUAGAGCUCUAGAAGGUUAUGAUCCAUUGAGCUUUGAUUUCCCAAAUGAGGAUCUAAUGUAUGUUGCAACCAUGGAAGAAGACUCUCAAGAGGGCCAUCCGUGGAAGCUGAAUUUCGACGGACCUUUAAACGCUGUAGGUAACAGAAUCGGGGCAAUUUUGGUAUCCACAAAUGGAGAUCAUUAUCCUUUCACUAGUAAAUUGGAUUUUGACUGUACAAACAACAUGGCGGAAUACGAGGCAUGCAUCAUGGGCAUCCGUGCAGCCAUAGAAUGCAAAAUUAAAGUAUUAGAGGUAUACGGAGAUUCUGCAUUAGUGAUCUAUCAGUUUAAAGGUGAAUGGGAGACGAGAGAUCCCAAGUUGAUCAAUUACCGAAGGCUAGUUCUUGAGUUAAUCGAGGAGUUUGACGAUAUCACUUUCUGGUACCUUCCACGAGAUGAAAAUCAGAUGGCUGAUGCCUUGGCAACCUUAGCUUCUAUGAUCAAGGUGAACAAGCAAGAGGAUAUGAAGCCUAUCCAAAUGAGUAUUUAUGAGGCUCCAAGUCAUUGCUAAAACAUCGAAGAAGAAGAAGAGAAAGAUGAUCAUCCUUGGUAUCAAGAUAUUUUGCGAUAUGUGAGGAUUUGUGAAUACCCAGACCAAGCGACUGAGAAUGAUAAAAGGACAUUAAGAAGGCUGGCUAGUGACUAUGUCUUGGAUGGAGAGAUCCUAUACAAAAGAAGGAAGGAUCAGGUACUCCUAAGAUGUGUAGACGCUGUCGAGGCUAAGAAAAUCUUGGAAGAGGUUCAUGAGGGUGUCUGCGGAACACAUGCUAAUGGUUUCACCAUGGCCAAACAGAUCAUGAGAUUCAGAUAUUAUUGGUCCACUAUGAAAGGAGAUUGCAUCAACUAUGCCAAGAAGUGCCAUAAAUGCCAAAUUUAUGGAGAUAAAAUUCAUGUACCUCUUUCACCCCUUCAUGUUUUCUCCAUGUGGGGCGUGGAUGCCAUUGGGCCGAUCUCACCGAAAGCAUCUAAUGGACAUCGAUUCAUCUUUGUCGUCAUAGAUUACUUCACCAAAUGGGUAGAGGCCACCUCUUACGCUAACGUCACAAAGUCAGCAGUCAGUAAGUUCUUAAAGAAAGAAAUCAUAUGUCGAUAUGGGAUGCCUGAGAGGAUCAUAUCAGACAAUACGCUGAACUUGAACAACAACAGGAUAGCAGAAGUUUGUAGCCAAUUCAAGAUCAAAUACCAUAACUCGUCACCAUAUCGCCCAGAGAUGAAUGGUGCAGUAGAAGCGGCCAAUAAGAACAUAAAGAAGAUUGUGGGGAAAAUGAUUGAGACUUACAAAGAUUGGCACGAGAAAUUACUAUUUGCCCUUUAUGCAUACCGGAUGUCAGUCAGAACCUCUACCGGGGCAACGCCUUUCUCUUUAGUUUAUAGAAUGGAGGCAGUUCUGCCUAUUGAAGUCGAGAUUCCCUCUCUAUGUGUGCUGUCAGAGCUAAAGUUAGAUGAGGUAGAAUAGGUCCAGUCUCGAUAUGAUCAGCUAAACUUAAUUGAAGAAAAAAGACUAAAGGCUAUCCGUUAUGGUCAAAUGUACCAAAAGAGAAUGAUGCGGGCUUAUAAUAAGAAGGUUCGCCCUAGAGAAUUCCAUGAGGGAGACCUUGUUUUGAAAAAGAUCCUCCCCAUACAAAAAGACUUCAGAGGGAAAUGGAUGCCAAAUUAGGAGAGACCUUAUGUGGUAAAGAAGGCUUUCUCUAGAGGAGCUCUGAUUUUGAUCGAGAUGGAUGGUAAAAGCCUACCUAAUCCCGUGAAUUCAGAUUCGGUCAAGAGGUACUUUACCUAAAAAAAAUAGAGAGGCCAAGGCAAAAACCCGUAAAAGAGCACUUUGAGACCAAAGGGUUUUGAAUUGAAAACCCAAGAAUGGGCAAUUCAAAUCGAAAAUGGGGCAUGCAGUAAUAUUGUCUUCUCUGAACUAACAAGAAGGAAGGAUGCUACAUUUUGAGGCAUCAACAAAGUACUCUUGGUCUUCCAAACACAUACCAAGUUCAAAGGGUCCUCGAGAAGUUUAUGCAAAGAAGCUCAUGCUACGAUGUCUGGGGCAUCUAUUAUCAUUUUAUUCAGUUUGUAUCUUAGUAAAAUUUGCUAUCUUGAUUACCUUAUUCAUUUUGAGCUUUGCUCUCAAUAAAACUUCAUCUUGCCUAUUGCGAUAAUCUUUUUCAAGCGUUUUUCAUUGAAGCGAUGAUUAAUGGACUAAUAAUAUUCAAAAAAGGGUUCUACUUAUUACUUUUAAAUGUUUCUAAAUGAUACAAGGACCUGAAACGGGACUAAUUAGUUUGAAUCACCCUACAUUCAAAGGUUGGAAACGUUGGGGAAAGAAUAGCCCAAAUUAUGAUCAUUUCUUCGGGUUUUCUGCCAAAUAUACCAGUUGAAGAAAAAGAUAGAGUAAUACGUCAAUGAUAAAACCUCAGUGAACAACGAGUAAUAUCAAAUUAAGCAUUAAAAAUGACAUUUUUUGCAUUCAUGCAAACAUCAUUCAUACACAUCUAGCUAGGAGCAUCUGAUUCAUUCUGAUCAUGACAUCCUAAUUAUUUGGCAUAAAUAGGCCCAUGAAAUAGAUUCAAUAGGCCAUGUUCUCCAAAGAAUGUUGUAACAGACCAAAGAAAUCAAAAUCUUACACCCCUGAAGAUGCAGUGGGACAGAUUGAAAUCACCAUGGCAAAUCUUGUCUCCCUGAAGUUGCAGUGGAGCAGAUUGAAGUCGCGAAUCUCAUCUCCUUGAAGUUAUAGAGGAGUAGAUUGAAGUUACAGAUCUUAUCUCCCUGAAGUUACAGUGGAAUAUAUAGAAGAAUAGCAAACCUUAUCCCCUUGAGGUUGCAGUGGGGCAGGUUAAAGUUACAAGUCUUAUCUCCCUGAAAUUGCAGUGGGGCAGACUGAAGAUAGCAAAUCUUGUUUCCCUGAAGUUGCAGUGGAACAGGUUACAACUACGAGUUACAAAUCCUAUACGUCUGAAGUUGCACUGGGUUGGAUCAAGUCUACCAUGGCAAACCUUAUCUCUCUGAAGUUGCAGUAGAGCAAAUUAAAGCCAUUAACCUUAUCUCCUUGAAGAUGCAGUGGAGCAGUUUGAAAUUAUCAAGUCUUACCUCCCUGAAGUUGCAGUGGAAUAGACUAAAAAUAGCAAAUCUUAUCUCUCUGAAGUUGUAGUAGAGCAGAUUAAUGCUAUAAGUCCUAUACCUCUGAAGUUGCAGUAGGUCAUCAAGUUACCAUGACGGAUCUUAUCUCCUUGAAGUUGCAGUGGAGCAUAUUGAAGUCGCAAACCCCAUCUCCUUGAAGAUGCAGUGGAGCAGGUUGAAAUUACCAGGUCUUAUCUCUUUGAAGUUCCAGCGGAGUAGAUCGAAGCUACAAAUCUCUUCUCCCUGAAAUUGCAUUGGAACAAAUCGUAGCACUAUGUCCUAUACCCUUGAAGUUGCAGUGGGAUGGAAUGAGGCUACUCGAAGAAAAGAAGCACCAAAGAAGUCAAGAUUUAAUUAGACUAGGCAAAAUUGACUCUUCUAAAGUCUUUGCCCUAUUCUCGUUACAUGACAAUGAGCAAAGAGGGGCAGCUGUUGUAAUAUCCUGAUUUUGGGCCUAGUCAGAAUAGUGGUUUCGUGACCACAAAAUCCGAGAUAGAAAUAAUUAUUUUAUGAUUAUCUUGAGUUCUAUGAUAUGAUUGCAUGAUUGUGUGAAAAUUUCGUGAAGAAAUUUUAUGCAUAAAGUGCUUAAAUUGAAAUUAGGGACUAAAUCGAAUAAUUUGCAAAACUUGCAUUCUAGAAGUUUCUAGUAUGAAAUUGUUUUGAAAUAUUAAUUAGGAGGUCUUAAAUAGAAAUUUUACCAAUUUCUAAGUCUAUGGACAAAAAUUGGACAUGGAUGGAAUUUUUGGAAAGUUUAGUAGUAAGGGCAUUUUGGUCAUUUAGGGGUAAAAUGAAUUAAAAUACAAAAUUAAAAGCCAAUUUUGCUCAUCUUCAACCCCAUGGCCGAAUGUAGCAAGGAGAAACCAUGGCUAGGGUUUUUCAAGAUUCCAAGCUCGAUUGUAAGUUCGUUCUAGCCUCGUUUUUAACGAUUUUUACGUUUUUGGAAUCCCGGUAGCUCGAUUAAGCUUAUGCUAGCAAUAAUUCAACCUAGGGUUCAUAUUUGUAAAAAUACCCAUAGGUGAAAUUUGUGUAUUUUGGUGUUUUAUGAUAGAAUAUGAGGUUUUAAAUUAUGUUAGACAACUUGUGCUACUCGGUUUUAAGUGAAAAUGAGCAAAAGGGCUUAAUCGGUAAAAAUACCUAAUAGUCAUAAGUACAUGUUAGAGUGAGAAUUUGAUGUUUCCAUAGAAGGGAAAAAUGAUCAGCAUGUCAUAAAACAUAAGAAAAUAGGCUGAAGUUUAAUUUACGAGCUUUGGGGAAAAAGUGUAAAUAUGCAAAAGUUUAGGGGCAAAAUUGUAAUUUUUCCAAAAUAUGAUUUUGGGUCAAUUUGAAUAAUGUGAGUCCUAAUUAGACUAUAUUUUAAAUGAUAGAGCAAGGAAAACUGAAAUUCGGGCUAAAAUGGGGAAAAUACCAAGUUGUGGACGAAAUGGUAAAAGUAGCCAUUUUCGCAUACGAGGUAAGUUCAUGUGUAAAUGUAGUAACAUAAUUGUCAUUUUAAGCAAUUUAAUGUUGUUUAUAUGAUAUGAUGCUGAUUAUUAUCAUGAAAUAUUAUGCUUUGUGGUUAUUGUUGAAUAAUAUGUAAUUAUGUGAAUUACUUGAUGAGUAUGAACUAUCAUCGAAGUAUCAAUUUCGAUACUCCGUGGAAGAUGGCAAAGAUGUGUGAUCAAGGAAAAUGCCCGUUUGAACCUUAGGAAUAGAUUAGGAUACAAGUGACAUGUCACUAGGAUGUUUGGGCAUCCGAACUCAUUGAGUUGAGUCCGAGUUCACUUAUGGAUGCAAAUGUCCGAACUCGUUGAGUUGAGUCCAAGUUCGAGAGAUGUAACUAGGCAUCCGAGCUCGUUGAGUUGAGUCCGAGUUCACUUAUGGAUGCGGAUGCCCGAGCUCGUUGAGUUGAGUCCGAGUUCACUUAUGGGCGGGUUACAUGGUAGCUUGGCUACAUAUGUGGCACUUAUGUGCAAACUUUCCAUGUAUCCGAAUUAUAUUCCGAUGUGUUCAACGGGUAAAGUUCUACUGAAAUGGAGGAAUACUCAAGAUGAAAGGGAUGUAUUGGUAAGUAUUGUGAAAUGGGUACUUUGAACAGGUAUGUACUUAACCCUCGGGUUGAAAACUCGAUAUAACAAAAAUAUGGUAAGAUGAUAAAUGAAAAUGUGAUAUGAAUAUCUCGGUGAUGAUUAUGCAAAUGAUGUUUUAUGUUUGCUUAUUUAGUUGUGUUACUUGCUAUUUGCAUGUGAACUUACUAAGCAUUUAUGCUUACUCCCUCCUUUUCAUUCCUUGUAGUUUUGAAAAGCCAGCUCAGAAAUCGGGAACAGUCGGAGGCUCGCUCACACUAUCCGUAUACCAUCUUGGCAUAAUGACUUGUAUAUUUUGAGUAUGGCAUGUAUAGCAUUAUAAUCAUUUUGUAUAUAUGGUCUUAUGAUAUGGUUAUUGAGUGGUAUGGAAAUGCUUGGUAAUGAUUAGCCAUUGGAAUGGCUAAUCAUGAUCAUAUUUGGUGUUAUGUAUGUCAAAUUGCUAGCUAAUCCAUGGAAACCAUGAAAUAGGUAAAAUUUACCAUAAAAUAGAUUCAGACAGCAGUAGUGACGUGAAUUUGAAAAAUCACUAAAAAUAGUAGAAAUGGAAUUAAAUAAUGAAUAAGUUAUGGAAUCGAAGCUUGAUGAGUCUAUUUUCAUAUGGAAGAAGCGAAACAGGUAUAUGAGCUAUAUUUUAUGAAAUGUUUAAAUUUUUGUAAAACAGGGCCAGAGCGAUUUCUGGAUCCCCUGUUCUGACUUUGGAAAUUCACCAUAAAUUUUAAAAAGAUAAUUAGAAGUAAUGAUUUAUAUGUACAAAUUCCUUAUUGAGUCUAGUUUUAUUAGAGAUAAACGGCAUAGUCAUUGAAGCUCUGUACAGAGAGAUAUCUGAUUCGUAAUACACAGAGGUCAGAGUAGUCGAACCCUGAAACAGGGAAGAUUUUAACUAAUAAACUGUACUAAUUUGCUUGACCAAAAAUUCUAUAAAAAAUUUAGUAAAUAUAUAUAUGAGUCUAGUUUCAGGGAAAAUUUACAGAAUUGGAUUUCGAGUUUCGUAACUCGAGAUAUGAAUUUUUAAGUGACUGUGACACAGAUUGCUAGCUUGACUGGAAAUUUUAAAAAUAAAUUGUUUGAGCUGUUUAAGUAAUGAAUUAAGUCUGUUAACACCUCGUGUUCGACUCUGGCGACGGUCUCAGGUACGGGGCAUUACAGCUGUAAUAGCCAAUUUUGACCCAUGUUUAUAAAACAAAAUAAACCAAAAAUGGGUGAAAAUCCAAAUGUUUAUUAACAGUCCCUUUAUGCAUUAAAAUGGCCCAAAUCAAACAAUAGCCCAAAACCCAAAUCUAACCUACCCUAGACCAACUACACAAAAUAAUUCAGCAACCCUAGCCCUUCCAAGCUUCAGCCGCCGCUUACCCCCUCAGCCUUAGCCUUCACGCGCACCGCCUCACCUCUUCAGGAGCCAACCACCAGCUCCUAUGCGCCUGGCACUUCUCUGACACCUGCAAAAAAAUUGAAUACAAUGACAAAGGGCAGCAAAAGAAACAAGCAGAAACGACAAAGAGAAUAGAAGUAGAGGGUCGUUUAAUCGACUUUAAAAAGUCAAGAUACACCUUUGUAAAUUUUUUACGCACACCAUUAAUAAAAAAAACAGAACAGAAGUUUUGAAAGGUGGAUUUAGGCUAAGAACCAACUCAGAAUAGCACACGGCCUGAACCCCUUCACACAAACGUGGCACACGGCCGUGUCCCUAUCGAGCCCAAGUCUAGUUCUACUCGAAAAAGGCUAAUUUAGGCUAUUUUAGGUAUUCUAAAGUCUAUAUAAACACCCUAGAAGAGGAUUAGUGGGUACACGGAGAGUAGAAGGUAGAAAAUACUAAAGGAAAGCCAUCAAAGGGAGCAAGAUUUAUUUCAAGAUUGAGGAUCUCCACUCAAUUUCCUUAGAAGUUCUUUGGGUUCUUUAUAUUUUGUUGUUUUUCCAAUUUUGAGAUGUUUUCCAUUAUUAUUAUGAACUAAACUCCCUAAAUACCUAAGGGAGAUAAAACCUAAGACGGAUCUUAUUAUUAUUUGAGUUAUAUGAUAAAUACUUGUUCUUAUUCUUAAUUGUGAUUUUAAUUCUUGCUUUAAUAUUCCAGGAUAUUAACUCAGGUUUUUGAUGUACUUAUUCAGUGGAGCAAAAGUCCUUGUUUAAGAGUAGAUCAUUCAUAAUUAAGCGGAGUUGCAUGCAAUCUUAGAGAUUGGACGACAUAAAUCUGCCGGAUUAGAGUCAAAUCUAAUAAGGGAAUCUAUAGAUCGAGUUAAUGCGACAAUAAGGGUUUUAAUUAGAAAGAGAUUUCAAUUAAUCAACCUAACGUCAGUUGUUCUUAGUCUUGAAAGAGAUAUUAAUAUAAAUCGGGGAUUUUUACGGAUUAAAUCAAGUGAAUAAAUCAUCUAAUUCAAAGGUAAUAAGUGAAGUCUAGGUGGAUUCUUCCUUGGGUAUUGUCUUCUCCAUCGGUUUUCCAAAAGUAUUUUCCAACAUUAAACUCUGUCGCAAUCUUAGUUAAUUAGAUAAUUAGUCUUAGAUUUAAAAUUCUCUUAAUUAUUAGGCUAGAUAAUAAAAAGAGAGUAAAUACUAGUACUUUUAGUCCUCAUGGAUAUGAUAUUCCCGAUCUCACCAUAACUAUAUUACUGUUCGUUAGGUGCGCUUGCCUUAGUCGAGUUUUUAGUUAGUUUCACGACCAUGCUGCUGUGAUAUUUUUGGUCGAAGUGCAUGCAGCUUGUAAACAUGCUGCAGCACGUAUGCUUGCUGUAACAACAAGGUUUUUUCUUUAGGUUUUUUCUUUAGUUUCAUUGUAAUCAAAAUAGUUGAAAAUGAACAAGCUAAUGACAACUUGAUAUGUUUAGGUGUUGAAUGACUAGUUUAGGUGACUUGUUUAUGUGUACAAGCAAUGUUUAUCAAGUUAUUAGGCUACUUAGUGGUAGUAGGUAGUAUUUGGUGAUGUAUUUUUUUUCUAGUUUAAUGAAUGAGAAAAAAAGAGCUAAAAGCCAUAAGCUCCCUUGCUGCACAUUUGUGAGCAAGUAAAUUUUUUUUCCUGUAUCUUGCUGCUUGUCUUGUGUCCUGUAUUUCUUUCUCUGCUCCCACAAAAACCCAACAGCAAUCAAUAUGUUUUGAGUCCACCAACUUUCAUCAUCAUUUUAAAUGACAUACAUAUUCAUAAAAGUGACUUAUUUUUAUAAUUAAUAAAAAAAUUUCGAAUUAUUUUUGUAAAAAGCGACAAAACCCAGAUUACCAUAACAGAUGUGUAAUAGCUAAUUUUGGCCCAUGUUUAUAAAACAAAAUAAACCAAAAAUUGGUGAAAAUCCAAAUGUUUAUUAAUAAUCCCUUUAUACAUUAAAAUGGCCCAAAUCAAACAAUAGCCCAAAACCCAAAUCUAACCUACCCUAGCCCAACUACACAAAACAAUUCAGCAACCCUAGCCCUUUCGCUUCACCUCCUCACGAGCCAACCACCAGCCUCUCAUGCGCCUGGCACCUCUCUGAUACCUGCAAAAAAAUUGAAUCCAAUGAAAGAGGGCAGCAAAAGAAACAAGCAGAAAUGACAAAGAGAAUAAAAGUAGAGGGUCAUUUAAUCAGCUUUAAAAAGCCAAGAUACACCUUUGUAAAUUUUUUACGCAUACCAUUAAUAAAAAAAACAGAACAGAAGUUUCGAAAGGUGGAUUUUUUUUACUAUCUAUUUUCGUUUUUUGCUUCUUUUAUUUUUAUUUUUUUUAUUUCAUAACUAAAAUCUUUCAAAAUAAAAAAGGAAGAAAUAAACUUACUUGAGUAGCCUCACGUCCUCCGUCGUCGUGGGUGUUUCACAGGCGCCGAGGGCCUCACAACCUUUUAAGGUUUGGCUAAAAGGACCAAAAGUCCUCUUUUAUUCUUUUUUUGUCGCAAAUAAGGGGCUAAACCUCUGGAUCAGGUCAAAACGAGGCUAAAGGGACCGUUUUGCGUCUCCCCGACCACCGUCUACUGUGGAGGAGCAGUGGUCCGACGAUGAUGGGUAUAUUACCCUAGCCAAAUGGGGAAAUUAGAAGAGGGAGAGAGAGCAAGAAAGGCUCUCUACCUUUUUUUGAAGAAAAUGAAGCUGAAAUGGAAAGAAAAAUAAAAAAAAAUUGACUUUAAUAGCCAUGCAAAACGCUGCCAUUUUGCACACACCCCCCAUGCCUCAAAACGACGUCGUUUAGGGGGAAACUCGCUACCCGGCCCGAUUGGAAGGGGGACCCGCGUGUUUUGUGGCCCAAAUGGGCUAUUUGCGGUUAUGGUCCCUCCUUCUUUCCUGCACCAAUCGAUUAAGUCCCAUUUUGUUUUUUUUUUCCUUUUUUAAUCUCGCCUUAUUAUUUCAUUUUAUUUCUGAUUCGAUCCCUCACCUGGAUGGUUGAAACGCAACGCAUUGGACUUGGGAUAUUGUCCCAUUUCGUCCUCACAACUUCGGGCGCGUUUUGAUUUAGUCCUUGGCAGCUUUCUGUCAUUUAUAAUUUAUUCCUUUUCUUUUACUUUGAUUUUAAUUUAAUCAUUUCCCCCUUUUAUUUCAAACUGUUUUAUUAUAUUUUAUUAUAUGUCCUAUAUACAAUUUAUUUAGAUACUAUAUUUUAUUUAGCUUCAAAUUUUAUGUGAUACUUGUAAAUGUGUCAUUUGUUUUUUUUUUUUUUUAAAAACUGUUUUAUUGUUGUUUAUUCCAAGUUUUACAUAAUAAUCUUUUUAAGUAUACACGUAUGUUAUUUACUUUAUUUUUACUUUUAUAGAGUGUUUGUUUCUUUUACAUUUCUUUAUUUUGUAUGUCUUUCACAUGAUAUUUUUGAUUUGUUCUUAUUGAUCAAUUAUGAAUACUUUAUACCAUUUUAUCUUAUGUUAAAAAUAUUAUUCAUAAACAUUAUUAUAAAUUGUUAUAUUUUUACUUUAAAGUACUAACUUCUAUUUCAAAAUCGUUUCAUGUAUUAUUUAUUUAAAGCUAUUUAGUACUUUAAAUUGUUUUACAUGCCUUUCAAAAUUCUAUUUAUUUAUUUUAAACAUUCUAUUUAUUAUUCAUUAUAUGUUUUUUUUACCCAUUUUGUACUUUUAUGUACAUAUAUGUGCAUUAUUUGUUCUAAAAUUUAUAUAUAUAUAUAUAUAUAUAUAUAUCAUCCUUUUUUAAAUUGUUUUAUGCUUCAUUGAUUUUAGAAAAAAUUCAUUUUUUUACUUUAUUUAUUUCUAAUCUUAUUUAUUAUCACUUUAAAUAGCUUUUACGUUUUAUUUAUUUUGAUUCGCUUUAUACUGUUUUUUUUUUAAAUUUGUUAUCUAUGUUUUUAUUAUUCCUCGAUUGCUAAUGUUAGUAUGUAAAUAAUGUAUGUUGAAUCAUUAUUGUCAUUGUAUCUACCAUAAUGUGUUCACUUGUAUUUUCACAUUAUCGUCGUACAUUUGCGUGAUGCUAUUCAUGUAUUAUCGUCCAUAUUCAUUAUUAUAUUGUAUUUCAUAUCAUUGCUUCAUGAAUUAAACCCCAAUACAUUUAUCCAAUAAAUCGCUUUAUUUUAACCUAAACAAAUAACAUACGUCGUUCAAAUGCCGUAUUCGCUACUAUUUAAAAACUAAAUUUCAAAAUAAGGCAAUGUUUCGCGUUUUGGAAUAUCGAAGAAUUGUGCCCUAACUUACGGGGUUUCGGUUCUCUCGUUAAUCCUAAAUAGCUAAAUAUAAGUUUUAAAAUACAUGGAAUUCAAAUUUAAAUUAAAGACGACCUUGCGCUCGGUAAUUCAUGUAUUGUGUUCUAACUUACGGGAUGUGAUACUCCGAUAUCUCGAGAUAAGGAAACCUUCAACAAUCGUUUUGAGCUAAUUCAAGAAUUUUAAAAUUGAUGUUAAUAAAAAGGAUCGUAUUUCAAACUCAUUCUCGAUUUUCAAUUUUCGACAUUAAGACACUAACUAAUCAAUUCGGUACCAAUUUUUGGGCGUGUCGAGGGUGCUAAUUCUUCCUCGCACGUAACCGACUCCUGAACUUGUUCUCUUGAAUUUCGUAGACCAAAAUGUCGUUUUAAUAAACUAAAAUUGUUUUAUUAAAACAAAGGUGAUUCGAUCACACCAAAUAAAGAUCGGUGGCGACUCACGUUUUAAUUUUCGUUUUCAAACAAACUCAGUGCUCGUUUUCAAAAAAAUGGUUUCGACAAGAUGCAAAAUCUGAUCGGUGAAGUUAAGAAAAUGGAGACCAUGGGAAAUCUUCUAAUCCUUUUUACAGCUUCUUUAUGCCUCUUCCUUUUCGUUGCUUGACUCAAUGUUUUCUACAAGUAUUGGUGGAUACCUCAUCGGGUACAGUUCAUCAUGAAUUCACAAGGAAUCAGAGGACCUCCUUAUGAAUUUAUCCGCGGAAACAACAAAGAAGCUGCCCAAAUGCUCAUGGAAGCAUCUACCAAACCUAUGGCCUUGACACACGAUAUAUUUCCCAGAGUCAUGCCUCAUGUUUACUCCUGGAUCAACAAAUACGGUGAGAAUAUGUUUUUUUUUUCUUUUUUGGGUUGUAUUUUCUGAUUAACCUCCACUUUCCAUGAAGAGAAAUCAUUUUCUUUCAGUGAAGACUUAUCUUAGUUGGAAUGGAAUUCGAGCUCAACUGCUAAUUACAGACCCAGAACUGGUCAAAGAGGUCCUUAAAAACAGUGACAGAAUAUGAUUCCAGCAGUAGUUGCUAGCGUUGAAACCAUGCUUGAGAAAUGGAAAAGUAAGGAGGGCAAAGAGAUGGAAGUUUUCCAAGAGUUCAGAUUAUUGACUUCAGAAGUGAUAUCCAGAACCGCCUUUGGUAGCAGUUACUUGGAAGGUGAGAAGAUUUUUGACAUGUUGAUGAAGUUGACAGUAAUUUCAUGCAGAAAUAUUUAUAAAGCAAAGAUUCCCAUAUCAGGUAACUUCAUCAAAUCUUUACUUUAUUAAUCAACAUACUGCAGCUGCCAAUGGGUUGAUUUAAUCUGGUUGUCCUUUUCAGCAAGUUUUGGAAAUCUGCUGAUGAAAUUGAAUCAGAUAAAAUUGCCAAAAUGAUACAUGAUUCUGUGAUGAAGAUUGUUAAAAAAAGGGAUGACAAAGUAGUGACCGGAGAAGCUGAUAACUUCGGUCGUGAUUUUCUGGGAUUACUUGUAAAUGUUUAUCACGAGGCGGACGAGAAAAAUAGGCAUUCGAUACAAGAUUUGGUAGAUGAGUGUAAAACUUUCUAUUUUUCUGGGCAAGAAACAGUCAAUUCCUUGCUUGCAUGGGCAACCGUGCUUUUAGCAAUACACUCCGAUUGGCAAGAUAAAGCAAGAGCAGAGGUGAUUGAGGUCUUUGAUACUCAAAACUCAGAUUCUGAAGGGAUGGCCAAAUUAAAUACGGUAAGCAAACUAUACAAAUUCAGAAGCUUGAAAACUAACAGUGAUCAUUUAUAUUGCCUUUUGGAUUUUUUUUUCUCCAAAAGAUUACCAUGAUUAUCAAUGUAACUUUACGGCUCUAUUAUCCUAUAAGUGGCGUGAUAAGAAAAGUAGGAAGAGAAGUCUAAUUAGGAACACUUGUCCUGCCUACUCAUUCAGAGGUCGACAUGCGAAUCAUAGCACUUCACCAUGAUCCUGACUUAUGGGAGAUGAUGUUGAUCUUUUCAAACCAGAGAGGUUUGCUAAAGGGAUAGCCGAAGCUACUAAGUACAAUGCAGCUGCAUUUAUGCCCUUCGGAUUGGGACCUCGAUCUUGCGUAGGCAUGAGCUUUACAAUCAUUCAAGCGAAAACUGCACUUUCCAUGAUUCUGCAACGCUACACUAUCAAUCUCUCCCCUAGCUACGUUCAUGCACCUUUACAACGACUUACACUCAAGCCACAACAUGGGAUUCAGUUGUUGUUUCAUUCACUACAUUAUGAUACUUAAAAUUCUAGGCUGUUGGUCUCCAAUAUAGUAAUAUAUAAUAAAAUGUGGCUGAUACAGUAUUUUGCAACCAUAUGAUGAUAUAUGGUUUGGGGAUUUCAUGUUUUGGUAACAAGAUUAUAUGCUUUUUUUUUGUUGAUAUUGUUAAAGGUUAAAAAGGUAUUACAGCAAACGUCGCCACCACAGGAGCGGGCCCUACAGUCCUGUGAAUAACAUAAUCAACAACAAAAUAGUCCACCAAAGAGAAAUCAAUUCAAACUACCCCAAAAAGCUGGAAUGGCAGCAGCAAAUCCAGUCAGCUCCCUGAACAUCAUACAGCAACAAGAACAUCACAACCCAAUCAUAUACAUGCCAUGAAGACAUUGGACUCCACGUUUUGCUAAAGUAUCAACAAAGCAGUUAGAUUCUCUUUACACAUUCACAUAGGAGACAUUAUGGGAUCUCAUCACACAGCUUGGAAUAUGACCCAUCCAGCAUUUGAGAAACAGUGAAGAUGCCAAGUCCAGGAGCUCCAAACAAUGCCUCAGGUGGUGGAUCCUAUUAUUAGGUGUCUUUCUUCUAUUACUACUGCAGUAGUGAAGUUUUUAUUCCACUUGGUUCCCUUCUUCCAGAGUUUCUGCUUGAAACACUCAGUCCUAGAGCCGGCCAUUACAUUGCUUGUUUAGCUUUCAUCGAAGGCUCGAAGCUCAUUAGACCAGAAACAUUGUUCCUUUGCCUGUGUAUCUUUGACAUAUUCUCUUAAGGAAGAGCUACUUAUAACAAGGCUCCAUCUUUUUGAGUUGCAGGGCAAAAGUCCGUUCUCCAUGAAAAACUACCCAUUUCCACUAAAGCACACGACCUUUCGCCAUCCCAUCCGCGAAAAAACCUGAAAUGAUAGACCAGAAACUCCCUCAAGACAGCAUAGCGAAGCCACUUUCUCGCUAAUCCCCUCCACUCAAGCAAAGCCAUUUCAUAUUUCAAAAUCUACAAUUGCCAUACAAAAUCUACAAAUUAAAAUGCAAAAGUAAUACAGAAAAAUACACAGCCAAAGCUCCAAAAUGCAAGAAAGUCCAUUUAAAAUACGAGCGAAAUUUGGAUUCCACCUUUUAAGUCUUCAGCCUGGCACGAUUCAUUUUUAAUUUUGUAAUAUAAUAUAUUACAAAAUAUGAAUUGUCAACCUUAAAAUUUAUUGCUAAAUGUUGUAUUACCGUUACUACAAUUUUAUUGUAACCAAAAAAAAAAUCGUUGCGAGGUAUAUACUGCAACAACUUUUUUCGUUUUAAAAUAUAAAAUUUUAAUGUUGUACACCUCGUUUGUAUAAAAUAUGUACGACUUUGCAAAUUAAAUAAUGGUUUUUAAUUAUAUAUAUUCCAACAACUUUUUUCAUUUUAAAAUAUAUUUUUUUAACGAUAUAAUUUAUUUAUCUAAAAAUAUUUUAGUUAUAAUAAAAUUUGUUACAAUAUUUUUAACGCAACGAUAAUAGUUACAAACACUAUUACGUAACAAUAAUAUAUUAGUUGCAAAAUAAAAUUUGCAACAAUGUAAAAUUAAAAUGCAAAGGUUUUUUUACGCAACAAUAAUAAUAUCUAUUAUCAAAUAUUAUUUUGUAAGGAUAUUUUAUUUAGUUGUAUAUUUCAUUGCUAAAAAAAAUAUUUUAACAACCAUUAAACGUGGUUGUCAAAUCAUUUACAUAACAAUUAUACUAUUGGUUGCUAAAUAUUAUUCUGCAAUAAUGUUUUAAUUGGUUAUGUAUUACAUUGCGCAACAACUAUAAAAAUUUAUUUUAACAACCAUAAAACGUGGUUGCCAAAUACUUUACGUAAUAACAACAAUAAUAAUAUGGUUUUUAAUGCUUUUACAUAACAAUUUUUUACUUAGUUGUGAAAUAUUAAUUUACAAUGACAUAAUAUUUGGAUACGUCUUAUAUUACACGACAUUUAAUCAUUGUGCAAAAUUAAUUUUAACAACCAUAAUAUUUUGUUUGCAAAAAUUUUAUACGUAAUCAUAUUAUUAUGUUCGUCGAAAUUUAUUUUGCACCAAAAUAUUAUCUAAUUGAUAAUAAAAAGAAGUAAUUAAAAAUAUUAAGGAAAUUAAUUAUUUGUUUAAAAAUAAUAUUAUCAAAAUUUUAAGCUUGUUUAGAGCCCGGGCUAAAAAAUAAACUUAAUUUUUUCUCUCAAACUUGGUUUGAAUAAAAAUGCUAAACCCAAUCUGAUCCGCUCCUAUUAUAAAAAGAAGAUAAAAUUCUAAAAAAAAAAAAAAGUUAUUAACACCACUUGAACCAAAACAUAUCUCGUCAGUCGUCAAGAGAAAAGGUUAUUUUAAUUUUUGUUUAUAGAAAACCAUCCUGUUCAUUGAGGGCCCUAGUAGCAGGUAUUGAAUAAUAACUAGAAUUAAAAUCCUGCAGGCUUCCCAUUUCUCUGUGUAGAAAUGGCUGUAAUUUUCAAAGAAAAAUAUACUAAGUAAAUGGGACAAAAUGACAUGAACCUUGAAGAGGGACAAGUGUAGUCUCAUGAUACGAAAAGUGUUGACUGUCACCUUGCAAAACCCAGAUUACCGUCACACUGCAAAAUCUGAUCGGUGAAGAUAAGAAAAUGGAGACCAUGGGAAAUCUUCUAAUCCUUUUUACAGCUUCUUUAUGCCUGUACCUUUUCAUAGCUUUGCUCAAUGUUUUCUACAAGUAUUGGUGGAUUCCUCAUCGGGUACAGCUCAUCUUGAAUUCACAAGGAACCAGAGGACCUCCUUAUGAAUUUAUCCACGGAAACAACAAAGAAGCUGCCCAAAUGCUCACGGAAGCAUCUACCAAACGUAUGGCGUUGACACACGAUAUAUUUCCCAGAGUCAUGCCUCAUGUUUACUCCUGGAUCAACAAAUAUGGUGAGAAUAUGUUUUUUUUUUUGGGUAGUAUUUUUUGAUUAACCUCCACUUUCCACGAAGAGAAAUCAUUUUCUUUCAGGGAAGACUUAUCUUAGUUGGAAUGGAAUUCGAGCACAACUGCUAAUUACAGACCCAGAACGGGUCAAAGAGGUCCUUAAAAACAGUGAAAAGGCUUUUCCAAAGCCAAAG
rnacentral:lncRNA from 1 species